UUUGUGUUUGAAUGGUUUUCUCCGGUCUUGUCAAAAAGGGUGGAUGCAAUUGACCCAGCGCUAAGAAGGGCGGGACGUUUUGAUACUUUAGUUGAAGUUAGCACGCCAAAUGAGGAGGAUCGUUUCAAAAUCCUCCAGGUAAUAUUGUUAACUUCUUAAAUUGCUGCUUAAGUGAGAACUUUUUGGUUCUUGUGAGCUUUAUGUUUGUUUGCUACUCUUUUCAGCUGUACACAAAGAAACUCAGUUUAGAUCCUAGCGUUGAUCUGCAAGCCGUAGCAACAUCUUGCAACGGUUAUGUUGGAGCAGAUUUGGAAGCUUUAUGUCGUGAAGCGACCAUAUCCGCAAGCAAAAGAUCAGUAGACUCUCUUAUCCUAACAUUGCAAGACUUCAAGAUUGCAAAAUCUGUGGUUGGUCCAAGUAUAACAAGAGGCAUUGCUGUUGAAAUCCCUAAAGUAACAUGGGACGACGUUGGUGGUCUCAAGGACCUAAAGGUAAAUAGCUUCAACAUUGUUGUCUUCCUCUUCCAUUGGGACUAAUGUGUUUCAUAUUUUCUUUGCGGACAAAAAAAGCUCCAGCAAGCUGUUGAAUGGCCGAUCAAGCACUCAGCUGCAUUUACAAAAAUGGGCAUAUCGCCGAUGCGUGGAAUACUCCUCCACGGUCCUCCAGGUUGCUCAAAGACAACUCUUGCAAAAGCCGCUGCAAAUGCUGCUCAAGCUUCCUUCUUUUCCUUGAGGUAUAGUUUUUGUGCAGAUCACAAAAUUGAGAACUUGAUUGAUCAAGUUGAAGGAACUGAUCUUUUCUUGUGUCUUUGCGUGUUGUGUGAUUCAGCUGUGCGGAGCUGUUCUCUAUGUAUGUUGGAGAAGGUGAAGCGUUAUUGAGGAACACGUUUCAAAGAGCUAGACUUGCUGCACCAAGUAUAAUAUUCUUUGAUGAAGCUGAUGUUGUGGCUUGUAAAAGGUUUUGUCCUCUCUCUAUCUCUCCUAACUCUUGCUUUCACGUUUAUAGACUCUUUAACGAAGUUUAUUUCCGUGUGUCUGUUGUUCCAGAGGUGAAGAGGGCUCCUCAAGCAAUAGUUCAACAGUUGGAGAAAGACUUCUAUCUACACUCUUAACCGAAAUGGAUGGUCUUGAAGAAGCUAAGGUAUACAUAAUAAAUAAACAAGAACUUCAUAGAUUCUAUAAAAUGGUAUUGAUUAGAUUUUGCUUUGAGGGAAUCCUCGUCUUGGCUGCCACGAACCGCCCGUAUGCAAUAGAUGCAGCACUAAUGCGACCUGGUAGAUUUGAUCUCGUAAGUACUCAUACUGGAUCACUUUUGAACAGAAGAGUUCUGAAAAGUCAAAAACUGGAUUUGCUAUGACUGUGUUUAGGUGAUGUACGUUCCACCGCCAGAUGUAGAAGCUAGGUUAGAGAUACUGCAAGUGCAUACACGCAACAUGAGACUAGGAGAGGACGUUGAUCUCAGAAGAAUCGCUGAGGAAACAGAGCUCUUUACUGGAGCAGAGCUGGAGGGUCUGUGCAGAGAAAGCGGAACAGUCUCGCUUAGAGAAGACAUUGCAGCGACGGCUGUGUUCAACCGCCAUUUCCUAAUCGCGAAGAAGUCGCUUAAACCGGCAUUGACAGUUGAAGAGGUGGAAGCUUACUCAUCGUUCAGGAAGUUGAAAAGAUCUGAUUCAAAACCGGUUCCGGUCGAGAAAGGGAAUGUGAGUUCCUCCUCCAGUGUUUAGGGUUUAGGGUUGUCGUGGAAGUUUGGUGUAAUGAGCUUAGUGGUGUUUGCUACUGGUGGAAACUAUUACUUAAACCAGACUAAGCAUGAUGAACUAUUAUUAGCUCCUACUGCUGCUACAUGAAUUUUUAAAAUGUCUCUUUUCUUUUGUUGUUCUGAAAAUGUCUUUUUGUUUCAAAGUUCAAAUUUUUAAAUGGUAAAAACGGCUAAUAGUGACAAAAUGACAAAGACUGGCCAUUACAUGAUAAUGGUCCACAAGACCUUACUCUAUUGAAAUCGUCGUGAAAAGCACCAAUAAUUACACUGGUUUUGUCUUAUGUUACUACUAAUUGAAUAAUGUUAAGCUCCAAAUAACAAAAUAAUCAUAUGAAAUUUGUUAAACCUCCUAUAAAUUUACCGACCGGUUUUGGAUAACCACCUUUCUGAAUUCUGAGUUCAGAUAAGGCUGUUAAAUUUUUAAUUAUGAGCAUUUGAAAUUGAUGGUUAACCAAAGAACCGAACAAUUAAACAGGGACCGUGACACUAGCAGAAAACCGCCUUGAGUUUGUUUUAUUUUAUAUAAUAGAAGACUGGGGGUAACGCUUAUGACUCCGUAGUCAGUUCUACUGAGUCUGCGUUUGCAUCUUCUACUCCUUCCGUUUGCUUCUUCUUCUUCUUCUAGAUCUGAUCUCCAAUUUCACCCCCAAGGUUUGGUUUUCAAGCUCUUUUCUUCUCUUCUCCAGAUCGUAGAUUAUUCCUCUGUUUUGAUCCCUCGAUUACGCUGUUUUUACCUUAAUUAUAGGAGAUUUGGUCUCUACGGAUUUAGUAAGUUCAAGUGUUAAGAAUGUCAAUUCGCUUUCGCUGGUUUUAGAUCUGAUUUGUGUUUUACACAUUCCGAUUUUCUUUCCCCCUGUGUCAUCAUCCUCACCUCGCUGAGAUCAUAAUUGGGUUAGCAUAAAGCGGUUUUGCAUUUGGGUUUUGUUGCUAGGUUUGAAAAGUCUUUGUCACUUUAUUAUACAAAAUGGGUCGUGGAAACAGCUGUGGUGGAGGUCAAAGCUCACUCAACUAUCUUUUUGGUGGAGGUGAUGCUCCUCCUGCUGAGCCAACCAACAGGACUGCUGCACCUGCUCCGGCAGCUGUGACUGCAACAGCAGCUACUAGUACUACUGUUGAGCCUGCUAAGAUCAACAAGGAGAUCCCUGCUGGUAUCAAAACUCCUGUCAACAACUACGCCCGUGCUGAAGGACAGAACACCGGAAACUUCAUCACUGUACGUUUGGCUGAAAUGAAAUGCUCACUCUCUAAAACGACAUUGUAAUGCUUUCUAUCUCUGCAGGACCGUCCUUCCACCAAGGUUCAUGCAGCUCCUGGAGGUGGAUCAUCUCUUGAUUACCUCUUCACUGGUCGCAAGUAAAAAAACACACAUUGUGUGUAAUGCAAAAUGCGUAUCCAUUGCGUUUCUGUUCUCAAUUUUAAAACUGUUUGAUGUGAACCUCUAAAUGAUAAGAAGUCGGUUUCUUUGACAACCCUAUCUUAAUCGUAUAUCUCGUAAUUUUCUGCUGAAAAUGUUCAUAUCAUUUGAUUCAAAGACACUUCAAGUUCUCUCUUAUUACCCCAAUCAAUGCAAGUUAACUGAACCAAACAGAUACUGAAAGUCUUAAACAAAUUACACUGUAAGCACUUCUGUUUAAACCAAGUACAAAGUCUUUUCUCAAACGUGUGAAAAACUCAUCACUUAGGAUGUUGAGGAGCGGGUAUGAUCCCCCAUUGUCUCCGGACUUGCUCCAAGUCUUCAUUGAAAUGACGCUCAUAGUACACACACAUGAGGUCUGUACACUGUCUUCCAGCUCUAACAGCCCAAGGAAAGUAAUGCUUAAAGAACAUUGACCUCUGCUUCUCGUUGAACCUGACGGUGCCUCCAAUCACAGAAAGCAUGCACAUCGGAAGAUACAUCUGCUCAAACUCUAUCACUUUCAGAGCCGACUCGCCUAUCAGAUUCGUAGGGAGGCCGAAGAGCGUGUGCCACAAGUCGUGAACUUCACGUGCCCGUGUGGCUACAUACGCCAGUUCAUCAGUCUCCAUGAACCUCACAGGAGGACGAUCGUCAGGAGAGAAGUUUCUAGAUCCCAUGAACUUGGCAUACGCAGCUCCAAAUGUGUUGUCUGGUAGAUCCCAAGCAUGGCCUACUUGCUCUGACACAACACGAGGACGCUCCAGCAAGAUAGCCUGCCAGGAGAGAUAAAAGAGACAAGAUUCAAACCCAAAGACUUUUAACUUUAUUAAUCAAAGAGGAAACCCAUAAGCAAAGUCUCUUGCUUUAGCGCUAAGCCAUUGAACAUUAACAAUUAAACCUUCAAAGAACUAACUCUGUAGCUAAUGAAACAGAAAUGGUAAUAAGAGAAGACGAGAAGCUUAGAAGAAGACUCACUCUUCCUUCAGGACUCUUCUUCAUCCUCUCAAGAACCAUUUCAAAAGCUGGUUUCCCGGUGGUUUCCCCGAGAGCGGCGAUCAGAUCCGCUCUACGAGGAUUUACCAACGCGCCGACGGCAGACCCAACCGCUACAGCAGCUUGUUGCCACCGGCUCAACGGGACUCGAGCUCUUUCGAUCGCCAUCUUUCGUAGAGAUCCCUCCAGUUAACGAACAGUGAACCUCUUUAAUAUUCAGAUCAAAAUCUAUAGACGGCAGCGAGGAGGAAUUUAGACGACACGCGCUUAUGCCCCCGCGUCGACUUUCUGUUCUUAUGAUUUAACAAUGGCCUUUUAAUUGUGUCAUUUCAUGUUUAUAACUUUGUUGUUAAUAAAUACGCCCAUUCAUCGCACUUUUUUUUUGGGUAAAAUGUUAAAUUUAUACUUUUUCGAUCCCAUUUUUGAAUGUUACGUACAACUUAUUUGAGAGAAAAGAAAACUAAACAACCUAGAAACUCAAAUAGGAUCAACCCUCAAGGGGGUUGGGUACAAGAAAAAUAGUACAUGAGAAGCGAAGGCGAGUAGUCCGGUGAUGGAAAGAAGAUGAGGCGGUCUCGGAGCAGACGGUCUAGAGCAUGACGAAGCCCAGCAGCUGAAGUAGACGUGGAGGUGAAAAUCCUGGCAUUUCUUUCCCGCCAGAUCAGAUAGAUGGCUGUCUGGAACAUAAACUUGAUCACUGGUGCUGAGAGUGAGGAAAGCCGACAAUGAGUGAUAAGAGCAGCCACAUAGUGAAGAUCCAAAGGUGUAGCUGCAAGGAUUUGCUGUGAGAAAUGCUUCCAGAUGUUGUAAGAAAAGUCGCAUUCAAAGAAAAGAUGGUGAUGUGUCCCUAUACCGGAGGAGCAUAAGACACAGUCAGCAGGAACAUUUAAUCCCCAUCUUCUCAGUCGAUCCCGAGUCGGCAGUCUCCGCAACAGAACAAGCCAGGAGACAAAAGCAGUAUGUGGUAUAUUCUCCUUAAACCAUACAACCUUAGACAGAUAUGUUCCCAAGUUACCCUGGAAGAGAAUUUAGGUCCAAAACUACCAUCAGCUUUGCGCCAAAGAAAUUGAUCCUCACCUCGAGAUGUUGAAGGAACAUGGACUGUGGUCAAAACAAUCUGAACAGUUUCAGCCUCCGGUGACCUUGCUGGUGGUAAACGCCAUGAGCCAUUGCUGGAAGCCUCGCAAACCAGAGCUGAUUUCCUGAUUCUGAGCAUGUGGGGACCGCUUUCACCAAGAACUGAAAUCAGAGGCCCCAAGAGUGUCCAAGUAUCAAACCAGAAGGUUGAGGUUGAACCAUCAUUGACUGAGCAGCGCAUAAAGUCAUUUAGUAGAGGCUUGAGUUGUCAUGCUUCUUACAACAGGAGACAGCCUUGGUGAGUCUUGGGUGAGCCAAUAAUUUUUCCUACCAAAUACAUUAGAUUUCAACCAAGCAACCCAAAGAGAACCUGAGUUCGAAAAUAAGUUCCAGGCCUGUUUAAGCCUAAAGACCAGUUGGAAAUCCUCAAGAAGCCUUAUGCCCACCCCUCCCUCUGAUUUAGGACGACAUACAUCCCUCCAAGCAACUCGUGAACCAGCGGCUGAUGAAGUUUUGUUCUUCCACAGGAAGGCUGCACACAUGGAGUCUAUUUUUGCAUAGAAAGCCUUGGGAAGAACGAAGACAGCACUCCAGAAAUUGACCAUUCCGUAGAUUACUGAAGCCACCAUUCCGAUUUUUCUGGCAAAUGAUAAGUAUACUGUCCAAGAGUGGAGUUUCCUUGUUACCUUGUCAAUAAAAGGCUGAAGAGUUGCCAUUGUAAUCCUAGAAGAAUUCUGUGGAAAAACAAGGUAACGCGUAGGGAAAGAACCUCUGGAAAAACCCGAUAGGUCAGCAAGGACUUGGGCUGCAAUGUCCUCAUACCCUCCAAAGAAAAUUUGAGAUUUCUCAGGGUUCAUACUCAACCCACUGAUCUGCUUAAUUUUUUUCAUGACAGAGCAUAUCCCGGUGAGAGACCAGCGAGAACCAUUUGAGAAGAUAAGCAAGCCAUCUGCAAAUAGCAUAUGGGUUACCUUCGGGUUUGAGCACUUCGGGUGAGGUCUGAUUCUGCCACUGUCCGCAGCUUUGACCAGAAGGCUUGAGAGAGCUUCCAUGACAAAUAGGAAUAGAUAAGGCGAGAGAGGGUCUCCUUGGCGUAACCCCUUCUUUCCAGGAAAGAACCCUGCAAGCUCUCCAUUAAUUGCCACAGAGAACCUAGGCGAUGAGAUACACUCUUUGAUCCAACAUCUGAAGUUAGGAGGGAAAUCUUGUGCUUCAAGGAGUUUCAUUACGAAGUCCCAAGAGACAGUGUCGAAAGCUUUCUUAAUGUCAACCUUCAGCAUUGAGCUUUUCCCACAACUUGCUUUUCCAUAAUCUCUUAUCAACUCCGAAGAGAGUAGAACAUUCUCCCCUAAGCUUCUACCCUUAAGGAAAGCAGAUUAGGCAGGGCUGAUACUCUCCUUGAGGACUUCUUUCAACCGGUUUGAGAUUAUCUUGGAAAUAAUCUUGUAUAUCAGAUUACAACAGCUUAUGGGUCGAAAAUCUCCAAGCUUACAUGCUUCUGGGACUUUGGGAAUUAAAGCAAUGACCGUGUUAUUCGUGUCCCUUAAAAAUCCUGUGUGCAAUGGCAUGACUUGGGUGACAGAGACACGGCCUUUUACCAUACAACGGUCGUACAACGAGCAGCCCACAACCACAUUCACUUCUUAAGAGAUACUGAAGACAGAUACAUUGGAUCAAUUGAAGAGAUAAAGGCUCACUCGGCUUUCUACUUCGAAAAUAUCUUCUGUCAUACUGAUAUGUCUGAAUCUCCUUGUACUGUCUCUGAGCUUCAGGAUUUGUUGGCUUUCAAGUGCUCCGCUGAUCAGAGCAGUAUGCUUAGUCGACCAGUCACUAGCGAGGAAAUCACCAAGACAGUCUUCGCAAUGCCCUUUAGCAAAAGUCCAGGUCCAGAUGGGUUCUCGGUUGAGUUCUUCAGAUCUUCUUGGAGCAUCGUUGGUAAUGAUGUUAUUGCAGCAGUGAGUGAGUUUUUCAUCAAUGGACGGCCCAUUCAUUACACUUUAUUAAACUCCAUGGGUUUUGUCCCAUUUUAUUUCAGUCUCAUCUUACUUUAAUGAAUCUUGUUUUUUAAGUAGCAGAGUCCAAUUUUCAUGUAUAUGUAUACUAAUAAUCAAAUGUAUCGACUAUGAUUCAAUCCUGAAACUGUAAGAAAAUAAACAUUAUGAAUAUUUAUGAAUGACUGGAAUGCAAAAGAAUGGAAUACAAGAAGUUGUGGAAUGUAAAAAUGGAAUUCCAUUCGUGAGCAUUAUUUAUCAUGAAUGUUUUAUGACUACGUUCUAUUUUUUUAUAAUUCCACAUAAAUUAUUGGAUGAGAUUUGGUUUUUAUCCUAUUCAAAUGGUAAAAAAAAUUGGAAUCUAAGGAAUAAGUUAUUCCAUACAAAUUUAUUCCAAAAAUCUGCAAUCCAUUUGCAACCAUUGGCUUUUUUAUCACUGUAAGAUUCUAUGGAUAAUAAUUAAUAAUAAAAAAAAAUUUACAACCAAAAAAUUACACAAUAAAAUUAAUAAAGUAUGAUUAUUGUCUACGUCUAAGUAAUGGUGGUGUAGUGGUUUUUAAAGUUCUCAGGGUUUGCUAGUUUGAUCAUAUGACUUACGUUUAAAAUAUGGUACUAUAUAGUAUACAAGAGAGGUGUCCGCGCUUCGCGCGAAAUAUUAUUUUACUGUUGUUAAUCAUGACUUUAUUGAUGAUAUAAUUACGUUUGUUAAGAACAUUUGGUUUUUUAUUUGUGUUAUAUAGUAGUAGGUGGUAGGUUAAUAUAUUUUAUGUUUGUUUUCUCACAAAUGUAUUGUUGUGUGUACUUGUUAGUGGUGCAAUGAGUCUAUGAUAUAAAGCAUAUUGUAUUUUUUUCAUAUUUUUGAACAUUAUUCCUUUAAGAUGUUUUUUCCUCUCUCUAUAUUUUGACAUUUAGUUGUCACCAUCUAUGUAUUUCGUUUACCUUUCCAGCGUACAGUGCUUCUCACCAUCACCGAAAAAGACUCAUCUCCGUGCUUGUUCUUCCUCGCAUUCUUUCCCUGUGUGAUUAUCUAAUAUUUGUUGUAGAUCUUGUUUAUGAGUUCCCACUUGUGCGGUUGUUUCUCACGGUUUUGUAGGCUGUUCCGGUUAAUAUUGGGUUUUCUUUUUUUUUCUUAGAUUUAAGCUGAUGUUAGAGACUGCAUAUCCAUGGAUUGAGUCAGAGUUUAUUCAUCUUUGAUAUUGUCUUCCUUGUCGUUGGCUUUCCGUCGGUAGUCUAUGCUCGUCUUAGGUUUCAAGAUUUGGUUUUUGGUGAUCAGACUUCUAUGCUCUCUUUCAUAACUCAAAGACGGCUUCAGAGUUUGCCGAUUUCGUUUUGUCUUUCUUUUCCAAUAUGCUCUCUCAUCUCGUUGCAGCUUUCAUCACUGCUCGCAUCUCUGGUGUCUCUCAGUUUCGCCAUGUUUGCCACUCUAAGUUUGGAUAGUGCUUUAUUUUUCGUGUAUGCUUUGUGAGCUUGGAAGGUUAUUUCUGGUCUCAAGCUUGGACUCUAGUUUCUCGGUGAUUGGCUUCCGUUCUCCCUCCUUCAGGUUGUUUUUCUUCUUCUUCUGUUUCCCUUGGUAUAGGUGUGCAGAAUUAGUUUUGGAGCUUUGGUCCCUUUUAUCAAGAACGUUGUGGCUCUUCGCUGGCAUGGAUGCCUUGUAUGUGCUUUUUUAGUUUGUGAGGUGUUUCUCACCUCUUAGUUGGUAGUUGUGCUUUCGGUACUUUAGGCAUAUGUAUUCAUGCUUCGUGGUGGUUUUGGCCUUCUGGUGAUUAUUCUUUCUCCAACCCACUUUUUUGAUUCUUUGCGUUGGUGCUUGAUCGUGCUCUUUUGUGUUCGGGGAUUACUUUAUCUCAGAUUUUUAUCUUCCUAUCAUUUUCUAACCUCUAUCUGUUCUGGCCAAAACACUAUAUAGUAAGGUGAAGUAAGUUAGUCUUUGUUCUUGAUCUCUUUUCAACUCCGGACCUUUAUUGUGUUAGUGUUAUUAUGACAUUUUAUUUUUCUCUGUGAUUCAAGAGAUUUUAUGUUUAAAUAUGUGUUUUGCUUUAGUUUUUUCUUAUUAGUUUGGUUAAUUUAUGAUUUUUAAUUGCAAAAUAAAUAUAUAAUUUGUAACUAAAAUAAUAGAAAAUAGUAAAAUUUUAUGUUAUUUUAGUUGUCAAUAAAUUAAAUAUUAAAAUAUAUUUGUAUUACUUUAUUUAUCUUUAAUUUUAGUGAUAAAAAUAGAUUAUAAAACUUCAUAUGAUGAUGGUUAGUGCGAGAAUGAUUAAAUAACAAAAAUUCUCAGUUCAACACUACCUAUCAAAUUAAAUCAUAUUCAAACUAAUAGAAAUGUCUGUCUUUUUGUCUUUUUUUAUUUAUUAAUUUAUCAUAAAUAUAUGAUUUUUUAUUUAAGUUACAUGGAUAAUUUUUUGAUUAACAAAGCAGUGAAUUUUCAAAGGAAAUGGAAGAGGACACGUGGCAGCAAACCCCCCUGCCACUUGUCAGAAGAAGGGAAGAAAUCUACUUUAUAUAUAAAGAUAUCAAGAGCAGUUUAUGUUUCAGGUUACUUUUCUAUGUUUUCUUGCAUGUUCACAUACUUUGAAACUGAGGAGUACUUUUUCCCUUACUUUAACUAUUUCUCUCCCCAUAAAAUCCUUAUGGUGGACAAUUAAAACUGACCGAACUAGAAGGUAGAAAGUAGUUUAGUUUCAUACUUUUUUUGAUAUACUAUUAGUAUAUUAUUUUACCCUUCCAUUUUUGUUCUGUUAAUUUUUUGUUGUUGAAAUAUAUAUAGCUAAUUUAUUUGAUAUAAUAAAUUGUAACAUUUUAUUCUCUAUAUUAUAACAUCCAAUUUGAUAUAUAUAUAUUUUUAAUUUUAAUAUUAUACUGAAAAUAUAUGUAUCUGAAAAUUGUGGACGUGGACAAGAUUUAUGGUCAAGUAGUUUUGUGGUUAUGGUCAAAUAGUUUUAUGGUUAUAUAUGUUUGAUUUGAAUUGAUUGAUAGAUGUGAGCGCAUAAAACUGGUCAAGCAAUAUGAAAUUUUUGAACAGUGGUAGUAGUGAUAGUGUAGGUUAUGGAGAUGUGGAUCCGAUGGUUAGAGGAUAGGAGCUUCGAAAAGGGGAGAUGUGGAUAGAGUCGGUGUGGUCAUGAAUAGCAAAUGAAAAUGAUCAAAGGUGAUGUGGUCAUGGAUCGUCUUUCAGGAUUUUUAUACAGCGGCUUCCGCUGUUCUGCGACGAAAGGGGAUCUCCGUCAAUCACUACCGGAGGUUUAGAAUGAAAUUAGAAGAGGUAGGCUCAGAUUCGUCAUACCUUAAAGAAGAUCAUGCAGCUUUGUUGAAACCCAGUUAUUCAUAUUUUGACGGUGGUGAAGGUGAGAAUCUAUGGUUUUAGGGUUCGUGUGAAAGAGAAGCCUUCUGGUGAAAGAGGUGUGGUCCCGAGAAAGUGAUGUGUUUUUUAAGUUUUUUAAUGUGUAACUAAGAUACCAACGAAAUAUUACUUUUUUUUUUAAUGAGUAACCAAACUGGUUCUGGUUCUAGGGGCAAUUGAGACAAUAGAGCAAGGAAAAGUAUUGCACAUGGCCAAAGUAUGCCAACGUGUUAUAUGUCCAAGGAAAAGUAUGUCUACAUGUAAAUUUUCAUAUAUCAGAUGGUUGGUUCCAAAAAUUUAAAAGAUUAUGGCUCAUAAGUCUAGUACUUAAUAAGGUAACAAUGUAAAAAAAGUUCUGUUAUUGGCUGGAACAAAACCCUUCAAGUUCUUUAACUAUCUUACUAAGCACCCCCUUUUCACUCAAGUGGUAUUGGAGGCCUGGAACCAAGCCGGAAAUACAGCCUUGAACCUUGGGGAUCUCUACUGGAAACAAAAAAACAUCAAACAUGACUUAAAUAGUCUCAACAGAGAGAAUUUUUCACAAAUACAAAGGAGAGUUAGUGAGGCUAACGUUUUGUUUCUAGAUGCGCAGGUACUUGCUUUGGAGUCUCCAAAUCCUGUCAACUUUGAGAAUGAAAAAGAGCUCUACAACAAAUGGUCCUUCCUGCGACAAAUAGAGGAAAGCUACUUCAAGCAAAAAUCUAGAGUUAACUGGCUUAAGGAGGGGGAUCUUAACACUACCUACUUCUUUCGGAUGUUUCAAACAAGAUGCAGUUAUAACUCUAUCAGGUCUUUUCUCUCUAGUGGUGUACUAAUCACAGACCCUUUGGCCAUGAGCUUUAUAGCUAUAAACCAUUUUAAAAGCAUUUUGGGUCCGGACCAUUUGCUGUUUCCUGCUCUCUCCUCGCCACCAGGGUGGUUUCAGUCAAUCUGUCCUUUUUCAACUUCUUCAGUAGCGCAACAGCUUAUGCAACUUAUACCCACAGAGGCAGAAAUCACAAAAAUCCUUUUCAAGCUAAAUCCCAACAAGGCUCCAGUCCCUGAUGGUCUCACUUCAGGCUUCUAUAAGGCAGCAUGGAACGUAGUGGGACAGGAAGUCGUUACCUCUAUCAGAUAUUUCUUUGUCUCCUCUUUUCUAUCAGCUGCUACUAAUGCGACUAUACUUUCUUUGGUGCCAAAAAGACAAGGAGCUUCUCAGAUUUUUGAUUUUCGGCCCAUUGCUUAUUUGAACACUAUCUAUAAAGUGAUCUCAAGGAUUUUGGUGAGGAAGCUGAAACCCAUUCUCCCGGAGCUCAUACUUCCAAACCAGACUGCGUUCGUCCGAGACAUAUUGUUAUUAGAGAACACUAUUUUGGCAGGGGAGCUUGUCAAUGGAUAUCACAAAGUAACUGGUCCUCUAAGCGCAUAACCAUAAAGGUUGACAUUGCAAAGGUUUUCGACACCAUCUCCUGGGAUUUUUUGUUCAACUGUCUCAAAGGAAUAGACAUCCCUCAUCAGGUUUUACGUUGGCUCUGAUCAUGCGUCUGUACAACAAAUUUCAUCAUCGGCUACAAUGGAUCGGUUCAUGGUUACUUCAAGGGCAAACGUGGUCUGAGGCAAGGGGAUCCACUAUCGCCCUAUCUCUUUGUCAUUGCAAUGAAUAACCUCUCUCAUCUCCUCAACAAAGCUGCUCGGGAGUUCAAAUUUGAUUACCAUCAUAAGUGUCGCGAUGCAAAACUGACUCAUCUAAGCUUCGCUGAUGAUCUUUUGAUUUUCACAGAUGGUUCUCUGGCUUCAGUUCAAGCUGUUCUCCAGAUCCUGAAAGAGUUUGAGCAAUGCUCUGGCCUGGCUAUCAGUGUUCAGAAGUCGUCCUUUUUUGCUUCAGGUUUAUCGCAAGGGGAAAUUGACACUAUUCAAUUCUCCACUGGUAUGCCUCACAUGUCGUUACCUAUGCGAUAUCUUGGUGUUCUCCUCAGCUCCAAAAAGCCUUCACCCACCCACUGUGAAGUGCUUAUCCAACAGAUCAAGGGUCGCCUAUCAUCGUGGAGUGCUAAGGCUGUCUCUUUCGCAGGCCGACUUCUCCUCAUCAAAACAGUCAUAGCAGGGAUCAACACUUUCUGGUGCUCCUCCUUCAUCUUGCCGAAGUCUGUUAUCAAACGUAUUAACUCGCUAUGUGGGGUUUUCCUUUGGAAAGGGGAUGUCGAAAGUCACCACACAGCGAGAGUCUCGUGGGAAAUGGUCACUAAAGAAAAAAAAACAUGGCGGACUUGGCAUCAAGGAUCUAUAUACCUGGAACAAAGCUUGCACACUAAAAUUAAUUUGGCUACUGUUUUUUCAAUUAGGAUCGGUGUGGGUUGCUUGGUUCAAAAGCGAUAUCCUAGCUGGUUCACUAAACAACUUCUGGACUGUCAAGCCUAAUCAAAGACACUCAUGGCUAACAAACAAGAUCAUCAAGAUGCGAGACACCAUGUUUACCUGGAUCAAGCUCAGGAUUGAGAAUGGUCGAAACUGCAUGUUCUGGACUGACAACUGGUACCCAGAAGGGAGGAUUCUUCAACUAGCAACGGAAGGAAGGAGCUCAAGACUUGGAAUCAGGAAAGAUGCAACACUAGCAAGCUUGUAUAAUGAUGGAUCUUGGUCACUGCCUCCUGCUCGUUCUGAGAACCAGGUGCGCAUUCUUGCGUUCCUCUCUUCAGUUAAUUUCUCAACUGCAGAGGACUACUAUGAGUGGGAAAUUGAUGGUGUCAUAAGUGGUAAAUACUCUACGGGUGUUGUCUAAAAAAAACUACGAGGAGAGUUUCAGGAACAACCUUGGACUAAAGCCGUCUGGAUUAGCUAUGGGAUUCCGAAGCACAGCUUUCUUGUAUGGCUAUUCUCUUUAAAUCGAUGUCCGACGAGGGAUCAUUUGCGUCAAUGGGGACUUCAGACAGAUGAAUCAUGUCUCCUUUGUGGUGCUCCGCAGGAGAGCCGUGACCAUCUGUAUUUCGAAUGCUCUUACGCCUGGGACCUGUGCCACACAAUGGCAACAAGACUAGGCUUAACUUCUCACAGACAGUGGGACUUAUGUCUGAAUCAGAUGCAAGCAAUUACAGGCAAUAGGGACAAUCGCAGGCUCCUUCUUCUUUGUUGGCAGGCUGUAAUCUAUUGGGUCUGGACAGAAAGAAACGCUAGACUACACCGUCACUCAUAUCGCUAUAUUUCCUCCCUUCUCCAUACCAUUGAUCGACAAAUCAAAGACAAAAUCUUGAGUUUGCGAGACUCUAAUCAUGCAUCCUCCUCAGCGCUCAUGCAGUUGUGGCUCCUUGCGUCUGAUCCCGCGCUCAGUUCUCUGUGAUCUCCUCCAGAAACGCAUCAACUCUCUUCGUCACGUUUCAUUAACUCCCCUUCGUCACGUUUCUUUGAUCAACUGGUUUUCCUUAUGGGCUUAUAGUACUGGGUUUCUUAUUAAUCUCUUAUAUCACACUAGUUGGGCCUGAUCUAUUAACUGAAGCCUUGUGCUUAUGUAAAACUUUUUCUUUUUUCCUUUUAGUUUAAUGAAAGCCAGUUCAAAAAAAAAAAAAAAGUUCUGUUUCAAAAAACUUAUCCAUGAAAUAAAUAUUCCAUGCAGCUCUAGCCACAAAAAAAAUAAUAUAAUACGGUGCGACUUCCACCCGAAAUGGUACUAUGCUUCCCUAACAUAUCAUCUGCCAAUCUUUAGCGCUAUAUAACUAAUUAUGAUGUUUGAAUAUGCAGUUGUGCCAAUGGUGACAGACAAAUAAUUUUGCAUCUAAAGUGGAAUAAACUGGGAAAGAACCUGUCUCUCUCUAACCAUCCUUUUCAUCUCCAUUUAGCUAAGUUCAUCUUUAUUUCUUUCAUUCCUUUCGAUGCCGGUUAUAAUAUAUGCAGCCUUCAUUGCAUUAUACUGCGUCACUAUUAAGUAGAUUAGUAUCGCAUCACAUAUUUAGCAAUGAGUCUAACCCCGUGCGAGAAUGGCCCACACGUCUUAAUCCAGACUAGUAAUACUAAAUAGGCAGUGAUAUGUGGACACGAGUCUUUUCUGGCACGUGAUGUACGUAUGACUGCUUCGUUCGCUCGAACACAUCGGUCCGAAGAGCGUAUGGUAGGGAAAAUUGAUUUCUUGACCCAUUAAGAGUUCGACACGUAGCGUACGAGCUCUGUCCCUAACCUCAACCUGCAAAUGCUUGAUGCUUCCCUCAUCUUACUUUUUGAUAGUUAAAGGUAAACCAAAGACGAAAGUCUUUCCCAAAAUACAAUUAUAAAUGUUAUUAACUGAUUGUUUAGUCAGAAAACUAUAUUCAUAUUGAAUGUUACGACUUUUUGGCCAACUCUCUUCGUGUUACCUCCUAUUAUGGACUAGGUUAAAGUUACUUUUUCUAGAAAUUGACUAAGCAUCUACUAUAUAUUAUUUCAUUUAUGAAUUUUAUUCUAUUAUAAAAUAGAAAAUAGAACAAGAGAUUGAAGUAUUUCUUAUUUCAAACUUCAUUUUGUAGUGAAAAGUGAAGUGAAGUUAGAGAUACUCUUUUUUAUAGUUUUUCAUUUUAAUAUAUUGAUAUUCCACAGAGAAGCAAAAUGACUGAUUUUUGCAAGCUUUAACAAAACAUACAAUGUUAUAUAUAAACUUAUUCGGAAUCAUGAUACUUAACACCAAAAGCACUAAGAGCAUCAUUAUCCUAGAGACCUUUAAGGGUCUCUUAAUUAAUUUUUAAUACUAUUUGAAUAGAAAAUUUGGUUAAGAAAUUUAGUUAAGAACUUUCAAUUUUUAUGUCCUUCAUUGCAAGUCUCUUAUUUAAGGGUUCUAAAAAAAACCAAAUGAGAAAGAUUCAAGUGAUAAUGGAAACAGCUUUCAUUACACUUUCAUUCCACAAACCUUAGAGACAACAUGCUUUCAAGAUAGACGCAAAGCUAAUAGAAUUCAUGAAGCAAUCAAAUAUGUUUGCAUGAUGAGAAGAGCAGUCUACAUACCCGUAAGCGAGCAACCUCUCCAAUUUGCAUUCCGAUAACGCCUUCAUCCCAUCGUGUAAGCAAAAGAUUUCAACAAUUUUAAAUUCAUAUUAGCUCUUGUUAUGGAAGGAAUAACAGAACCAUAGCAAUAUGAUCAAACCAUAAAACAGAGGAAAAUAUUACCUUUGAUGACAGGCUUUUGCCCAGCGUCCUUUGUACUACUCAUAUACCAAAGUCCAAAACACAUUUAGGCUUCACCAAAUAACAAAGUUAACAAGAAAAGACAAAACCAUAAAGCAACAAUGUGUGUGAGAUGAUCUUUUUACCUCCAGAACUGCUGGGAUAGAUCACCACCUUUCCCUGAAACAAAACACAAAGCAUUACAAAUUACGAUUUUGAAACAAAGGGCAUAUAUAGAGAGUUUCAAUCUCAUACAAGAAAACAUGUAUUAUUAUUAUUAUUAUUAGAUAAUUAAGCUUACUACUACAAGAGGUCGAUUUAUUAUUAGAUCACCACCAGUUCAUCAACAAGUUCUCACACACACACUCACUCUGAUCUCAGAACAUAAACCCCAAUUAAAUAGAUUUCUCCAGAAAGUAAUCGAACGCAAAUAGCGAAACAUCCAGCCACUACCACAUCAGCUGAGCAGAAUUUUUUGUAAGAUCGAUUUUCCCUACAAUGGGAAGUUUCAAAGAUAAGAGAGGUUUACCGAAUCCGGUGCAGUGAACGGUGACGGUUUGAUCCGGAGCACGUUUGGGACCGGUCCCGGGUCUGAUGAUUUGUUUCUCCGCUCCGUUGCCGGCGGCACCAUCUCUCUCUCGCUGCGAAUUGGGAGAAAUUGAAGAAGAGCGAAGUCGGGGAAGAAGGAGAGCAAAGUCUCAAAAGGGGACACGUGUUAAUAACAUACGUCUCUUGUAGUCUCCAAAUAAGAGACGUGUUUUCACAUAUAAGCUAAUUUUCUUUUAUUUUAAUUCAUAAAUAAAAUAAGAACCCCACUAAAGACGUGGGAUAAAGAUGCUCUAAGCUGGCUUCAUUCACUGUGCAUGAAACUUACAUAGUUACAAGACAGAGGGUUCCAAUUUGGACUAAAACCACAAACCGAGAGAAUUAGUAUUUAUCUAACAGAAGACUUAAUAAACUUAUGAGAACACUAUAAGAAUCAUUUCAUCAAUAACCAGUAUAGACUUUACAAUUUUUAAUGAAAGCCUUAGAUAUGGUUUUUAACCUUGUGGAUUAACCUUGUGGAUUAAGGAAAAAUGAAAACCUUAAUCUACUGGUAAGGCAGUUAUACUUCCUUCACCCCUUAUGGAUAUUUUGUUUAGUUAAGCUCUUUAUUUUCCAUUACACAUAGUUUAUUUGUUUAAUAUGUGAUCUCAUAAAUAAUGUACGUAAAUGAACCAUAGUUUAACAAAUAUUUCAAUAUAACGUUUCCUAUACCAGCUCUGGUGUAAGGAACAAACGUUAAUUAUUCUAUAUUAUAUUUUCCUAUCGACGUUUAAUAAAUUAAGAAAAUCUAAGAAGAACGAUAUUGAAUUAGAUUUCAACUAAUACAUCAUAACUAGGUGCAUAAUAAAUAAAGUUCUUAUAAUUAUAGCUCAGACAACUUCAAAUUAAUGUCUAUGGUCAUUGAGUAACUAGGGUUUAAGCCCAUCAUGUGGUCUAAUCUAGCUCCAAUUUGUUAGUCUAAUGGCACAGAAGAACUCUGCAAGAAUCAGGUGAUUGGGUAGCUUAGGAUCCAUAGAGGUGUUCUUAGGUGAUAUUAGAUCCUUUUCGUGUUUUUGUGGUUGAAUUCUUUUGAGGUCAAAAUCACUGUAUACUUUUAUUUGAUUAAUGAAAAUUGAAAUUGAGCCAAAAAAAAUGUCUACAAGCAUCAGUUACCUACAUUAUACUGUUAUAGUGUUUGGAAAUAUUAAUGGAUCCCUUCUAUUUUGAAUAUAUGUAUACCUACAGUUUUGUUAUAUUGGUCCACAAAACAAUAAAACUUAUAAUGGUAGAUCCAUGGGACAAUCUUCUUCCUAAGAAAGGGGCGCAUUGCUACUACCCCAAACCUAUAUACAUAAGUUAUUAGAAACAAUGAUCGUGUUUAAAAAAAAAUUAUAUUGACAAUUUUUUUUUAAUAGUCAGAAUAGUAUAUUUUUAGUCAGAAUAAUAUUAUUCAACAGUUCGUACGAAACUAUUCAUUCUUCUAUUUAUUUUUCGUAAGUAGUAGUUGAUAAUGUAUUAGAAGUUACUAUUUUCUAACCAGUAACCAGAAGGCUUACAUAUCUAAAUAUUGGAUAUUUACUAGAAAACUAUUGAAGGUGAGUAAUUGAUAAGAGAUCAUUUUCUGUCUCUGACUUAUCCACCUAAAUUAUCCAUAUAAAAAGAUGAAAUAUAACAUUGCAGUAUUUUUUUUUUUUGAACUUCACAUUGCAGUAUUCUUUGGUAUUCAUUCCUUUUAGAUGUAAACUAGAGCAUCUGUCUAUAUGUUGCAUAUUGUAAGGUGACCACCUGGUACCAUAAAAGAAUGGUGGAGUUCGACCAAAAAAAAAAAAAGAAUGGUGGAGAAUAGCGAGUACGUAGAAGAUAAAUAUCUAACUAAUUUAUACAUGAUAAUAGGGAUAAGACAUGCAUUAAUUUCCAUCAAGAAUUUUAAUAUAGAUAAAAUAAAUAGAUCAUUAGCUAGCACAAAAGGACAAAAAUAAUUUUUAUAGUGAUUUAUCGGUUGAACAAAAUAACUAAGGUAGUGAAACAUGAGUCAGCAAGCAAGUUAAAAAAAGCUGUGCGAGACAUAUCACAUGAGUAGAUUAACAACCAUCAUCAUCAUGAAUGUAAUAUAAGAUGCCAAGAGGAGAAGUGAGAACAAACAAGAUAGCCAUGUCAAGUAAUCACAGAUUCACAGGACCUAGCUUUUUCUUUAAGUGAAAAUUUAUUUUGUUAACCCGACAAGAAGCAUCCUACGAAAAAGAUGAAAAAUCUUAGGAUUUGAGAGCUAAACUGUUCAUAAGAUAUUCUCUUUUGUUUUCCUUUCUCUUGCCAAGAUAAAUCAGAAUAAAUGGUGUCCAGCUCUUGUUUCAAGCAUCUUUGAGUCAUUGUUAUGUUUAUAAUACAUAUGAGUAUGAGCAUAUAGAUGCUAAUAUUAGUUUUAUCUUUAAAUCUAUCUUGGAUUCUACAUUAUUUAAGAGAAUAGACUAACAAAACUUUGAUAGUAAAUACUAAAUAGUACGUACUAUAUCAGUUUCUUUUUUACUGAUGAUUGUACUAUAUAUAUCAGAUUAACCCUUUCAAUUUCUGACACAAUUUGUCGGUAAGUGUAGAACUGAUUUAUGCAUUUAAACGAUCGUGAAGUAGCUGUCAUACGAAAGAACCUGUCGGCAAGAGAGGCAAAUCAAACAAAAAAUCUUUACAAGCCUAUCAUUUUCUUACUUUUAUUCCCUGUUCGGGAACGCGCUAGGCGCUAGUCGGGCGGUCGGGUUGGGCCUAGCACUUAAAGAGAAAAUUGGGGAUUAAUCGAAAGCUAUGCGGAACGAAAUUUUUAGAUGGUUUACUAUAUUAUAAAACAUGUUAAUCUUUAAUUGUGUAUAACAUUAAUACAUUUUCAUGUUUAAGAUUGUAUAAAACACACAAAUAGAAUAUAUAAAUUUAAUAUAGUGUAAUUUUCAUCAAAAUUACGAAUAUAAAUGAUAUUUAUAAAAUUUUAGAUCAAAAAAAAUAUAUUAUUAAAAAUAAUUUUUUUUUAAAAAAAAAAUAGAUUAGGCGGCCGCCUAGGCGGUCAUUUAGGCGGUCUAGGCGGAAAAAAUUGGAUAUCCGAUUUUUUAAACCGAUUUGGCAUAAAUCGGGGCGGAAGAGUGACGCGUAGCGCCUAGGCGGCUAGGCGGCCGAUUUUUAGAACAGGGCUUUUAUUCACAAACACACACAGUAUAUAUACAUUAUAGUGUUCUUUUCAUAAUCUAAACGUGUCAAUACCUGAAAAACGUUAAUUUAUUUCUCUUCACUUCAUGAAAAAUAUGUAACCAGAUCAUGAAAUACAAAUAGAUAGGAGUUAGACCUGUGAAUAUGGCUCUAUUUGAGGCAUAUUUUACAGGUUGUAUUUAUAAUCUUUUCUGAGCAUAUAUAUUGAUAAACUAGGGACUAGAUCUGAUGCAAGAAAGCAAUCUAUAUAUAUACAUAUAUGGCAGAAAUCGUCUUUAAAUCUAAUGGAGGACAUAGAGAAAAAUUGGAGCAUUUUGGUUGGACUAGGGAGAGAGAUAUCUUAACUCUCCUUGGAAAAGUACUAGGAAUCAAUUAUUAUUUUCUGCAAAAAGACAAAAAUGUAUAGAAGAAACCUAAAAAUAAAAAAAAUAAAAUUAUUCCCUGAUGUAGUAAGAAUAAAACAAUGUGGUAUAUAUAUACAUAUUGACAUAUAAACGAAAUUAUGAUAUUUUCUCUUUUAAAAAAGGAAAGUUUGUGAUAUAAGUUUGUAAGCUUUUAUUUGGCCAAGAAUGGCUUAGCAUCUGCAAAAAUCAAACACAAAGCUAUUCUCUUAUAACACUCCAACAAAAGAAGAACCUGAGUACCAUGGCCCACCAGCACCACUACCUCAACCACCACUACCAUCUCCUCCACCACCAGUAACCGGACAAGAGAGGAAACCAAUUCAUGCCCUAGAUUUAGAAUCCUUUUGUGACAAGAUCUACACUCUUCGCAUUUCACUUAUACAUACACUUCUAUAUAUAUGUAUGUGUAUCAACCUUCUGUAAAUCAUUACUUGUGCGUUUAGAGGUGAAAAGAAAGAAAAAUUUCUGUUGUUUUUUUUUUGUUUCUUGAGAGAAAGAGAAGAGAGAAAACUUAAGGAUGGGAAGAGGGAAAGUUGAGUUGAAGAGGAUAGAGAACAAGAUCAACAGGCAAGUUACUUUUGCAAAGAGAAGGAAUGGUUUGCUUAAGAAGGCUUAUGAGCUUUCUGUGCUUUGUGAUGCUGAGAUUGCUCUUCUCAUUUUCUCUAACCGUGGCAAGCUCUACGAAUUCUGCAGCAGCCCUAGGUAACUAAAAUCUUUAACCUUUGAUUCUCAUCUCUCUCUUCUACAGUUUCUGUUUUUGUCCUCUCUUUUUCAGAUUUUUUAGGUUUUUGAUUCUUUUUAAGGAUUGUGGGUGAAUAUAUAAAGCUUGGGCCUUUUCUUGAUUUUGUUAGGAUCGGCUGAGUAGGGUUUAAUGAACAAAUCUGACUUCUAGAGUGAGAUUAAAUUAACAUCAUAUUCUGAGGGUCUAAAGAUGGUCUAGAUAAUGAGCUUGAGACUUUGAAGAAAAAAGUACAUAAGAUUUGUAUAUAGAAGCUAUAUCUAUAAUAUAAAUCUAUAAUGAAAGCUUUUACACAUGAGACUAAGUCUUGAAGGGGGUGAUCCAAAUUUCCAGAGAGACAAAGGAUUGACCUCUGGAUAUACACAAAGCUGUAAAUUAAACAACACACCAAAAUACUUUCUCUACUUCUUUAAGUUCGUAUCUCUCAAGUACUUAUAAUCCUGUUAAAGUUAAAAGAGACAACUGUGAUGAUACUCAAUUUCAUAUGUUUCUUUUGCGCAUAACAAUUUUUUUUUCCUUUUUGGAAUAAACAGCUUUUUGUUUUUGUAAACCCAUCAUGAGAUUGAUAUUGAUCUUUAUGUUCUUGGAUUUAACAUGGAGAUUUUACAAUGCUCUAAAGGGUUUUUCUUAAAAAAUAUUUCUCAAAAGAAAUUCAAAGUUUGAUUGCUUUAAUAAAUGUUAAAUAUCAAGUGAUCAUUUGUUUAUAUGAACUAGUGGUAUGGCCAAGAUGGUUGAGAAGUAUAGAAAACAUAGUUAUGCAACAAUGGAUCCAAAUCAAUCAGCUAAAGACUUGCAGGUAUAUCUUCUCUCUCCAUAUAUGAAUUAUCAAAAAACUGACUCCAACGUUGAAACUUGAAACUGUCCUUAAUUAUUUUAGCAAAAAAAAAUAAUCCUUAAUUAAUUUUUUAUUUUAUGGCAGGAGAGGUACCAAGACUACUUGAAUCUCAAAUCAAGAGUUGAAGUCCUUCAACAUUCACAAAGGUACAUAGCAUAAUUCAUACCACAUCUUGAAAAGUAAAUGCUUACUCCUACUACAUUAACUCUUCUGGAAUUUGCUUGUUUUUAGGCAUUUGCUAGGUGAAGAGAUAGCCGGGAUAGGAGUGGAUGAGCUUGAGCAGCUAGAAUGUCAAGUAGAUACAUCACUAAGGCAAAUAAGAUCCACAAAGGUAUACACAAUCUCAAGAAAUCGUCAAGUUUACAUUAGAUUUUUUGGUCCGAAGAACAUUUAGAACAGUACCAAAUCUUUGUGGCUUUAUUUUCUCAUUGCCAGGCCCGGUCGAUGCUUGAUCAACUAUCUGACCUCAAAAGCAAGGUACAUAAAGAGUAACACAGUAUCCAAGAAUCUCAAUACAACACAUUCUCAUAUUCAUUAAUUUACAGGAGGAAAUGUUACUGGAAACCAACAGAGAUCUUAAGAGAAAGGUAGUGCCAUUAAAAUAUUAUAUCUCAAGAAACUGAAUUCAUUUGAGAUCUUUGACAACAUUUUCUCCUUUCUCUCUAUCUAUCUCAGUUGGAGGAAAGUGAUGCAGCCCUUAAUCAAACACUAUGGGGAGCUUCAUCUUCUGCGGAACAUUCCCAACAACAACAAGAAGGCAUGACUUCUUAUCAUGCGAACCCUCUUAGUCAAGAAGUGGGUUUCUUUAGGCCUUUACAGGGCAAUGUAGCAUUGCAGAUGAGGUAGGUAUUUACCACAGAUAAACAGUGAAGACCUAAUGAAUUUAUAAUUGAUUUUUGUCUGUUUUUAUGGAACAGUCAUUACAAUCCUGGUGUGCCAAAUGCAAGCAACUCUGCAACAACAUCACAGAAUGUUAUUAAUGGGUUCUUCCCUGGAUGGAUGGUCUGAAGAAAACACAUAUCAAUGUAUACGUAUGUGUGUUUUAUAGAUCACAUAUCAUUGCUUGUACCAUUUUGUGUUUUUGCAAGAGAACAAUAGUUCAUGAUUACAAACACUGUUAUAUAAUCAAGAGCUGUAAUGUCAUACUCCACAUUAUCACUUUUUGCUCCCAUAAUAUUUAAAUAUUUUUGAACUUUUUAAAAAUACAAAAUUUGUGGGAACAUUCUUUUAAUUUUAUUUUUAAAUAUCAUUGAAACUUAGUCGAACUAUGAUUAAAUUCUCUAGAUUAGAAUUGGAUUCUGAAACAAGUAGUGCUCUGCAUUUGUAUCAAGAUUAUGAUCUGUAUUAUUAAAAAGACUAAUUAAUUUUAUUAAAAAUGAUUAUGAGAACAGGUCCAAAAGGGGGUAGUUGUUUAUUUUCAUGGCAAGCACGUUCAAGAAAUGGCUCCAACCAAAACCAUACAAACAAAAGGCACUAUUUAAAACACAACCAAAAACACAAAACAUAAAACGAAAAGAACAAUAGAGAGAAGGAUUAUCAAAAUGGGGAAACCAGCUGGGUAUUGGGUGAAUAAGAUUAGGACAUCAUUCAAAGGAGGAUCAUCUUCGAGCAAAUCACUAGAUGAAGGAAGUGCUUCUGGUUCUAGAAAGAACGGUAGUAAGAAUCAGAAAACAGAGGAAGGCAAUAAGAAGGGUGAAGCUGAGAGUGGGAGGAAAGUGAUGGUUGUUGUGGACACAACUUCACAAUCAAAGAAUGCUCUUCAAUGGGCAUUAACACAAUGUGUUCAAGAUGAAGACAAUAUCACUCUCCUCCAUGUCACAAAAACACCUGUAGGGCAAGGUAAUAAGCAUAAUUUAUAUACUGUAUGUACACAAAUUUGCAUUUAACAUUUAAUUGGAACUUAGAAGGUAUCCCAUUCCCAGUAGAACCGUCAUCGAUGAACAACCAAAAAGAACAACUUAUCGGCUUUCUAGGGUAAUUGGGCUUAAAUUCGGCCCAACAUUGUUACCUGCGUGAUUAAAGUUUCUUUGUUUCAUUAAUUGAUCCUCGGUUUCAUACUUUCAAAAUUUGUAUUUUUGUUUUGUUUUUUUAAAUAAUAACUCUUCUUAAUUUUUGUGUUUAUUUUAAAAUGAGUUGUAUAAUUAGGAACUUUUCCAACAGUCAAAUUUACAAAGAUAUACUAAUAUACACGGCAAAGUCAAUUCACUGUUAAAAAAAAGAUAACCUGGGAUAUUUGUGUUUUUUUUACUCAUCUAAAAAUGAUCAAAAAAAUUAUAUAAAGAUGAAGAAAAUUGUUUACUCAAAAAAAAAAGAUGAAGAAAAAUGUUUCUUUUAUUGAGUUCGAUGUGUUAAUUAGUGAACAGCACAGACCUAGAUUCUAGAUUUAAUUACAGAAUUGCCUUUUAUUUAAAAAAAAAACAGAUAUCUAUUUGAACCAUCUUUAUUUGUCAUAAAUUUGGUUUUACUUUUUGUAUUUGUCAUUUAUAUUCGGCUUCAGAAUUUUUGGUUCAUACUCGACUCAACCCUAUACUAUUUAGAACAGGCCCCAACCCAAAAGAUGAUAGGACUGGCCACUGGGCAGGGGCAGGCUAUCACGUUUGGUAUUGCUUAAUCUCUAUUAACCGUAUGUUUAUUAUGUUAAAUAGCUACAGAUGAGACACAAGGGCAGAGAAACUCAAGGGCUCAUGAACAAGUUCAUCCACUGAAGAAUUUUUGUCAGCUCAAGAAACCUAAUGUAGCGCCUUUAAUAACAAAAUCAGAGAAAUUGAUUCGAUUCAAAGCUCAUUUUGACAUCAAUGCUUUCUUUGCUUAUUUUUCAGGUGAAGACGGAGAUAGUGGUGGUUGAAACGGCGGAGGAGAAAGGGAAGACGAUAGUGGAGGAAGCAAAGAAACAAGGAGCUGGAGUUUUGGUUUUAGGUCAGAGAAAAAGAACUUCGAAGUGGCGCGUGAUUUGGAAGUGGCGAGCAAAAGGAGGAAUAGGAGGCGGAGUGGUUGAGUAUUGUAUUCAUAACUCCGAGUGUAUGGCUAUUGCCGUGAGGAAGAAAAGUAACAACGGAGGUUACUUGAUCACCACGAAACGUCACAAAGACUUCUGGCUCUUGGCCUAAUUUUUAUUAUUGCUAUCACACAUCUUAAAUCAAAAUCCUUUUCUCUUUUGUCUUCUGUUAAUUGAAAUGAUCUUUAUUGCUUUCUUUUGAUUUGUUCAUGAAUAUGAUUGUUCUCUAUCAUGUACUGCUCUAAAGAAAAAGAACAAGAGUGUAAAGACUUUAGUUUUCCUUAUAUUUGUUAUUGUGUUGACUUUUUUUUUUUUCGUUGAACUUUUUUUUUCCUUAUAAUUUGUUAUUGUGUUGAACUUUUUUUUUUUGGUUGAAUUUUUUUUGUUGCUAACUAUCGUGUUGAACUUAAAUAAACUAAUUACAUUAUAAGCUAAUAAGAAGCAUUCUUCAUGCAUACACAAACCUGUAGCUAAGCAAACAAAAAAAACUAGUCCAAAUUUUUUGGAAAUUUUUUGAUUUCAGUUGUCAGUUUAAUAUUUGUCAAAAUGUUUUGAUGUAUCGAUCGCCAUAUCGUUGAUAACACUUGUCUAGCGAUUUUUAACAGACCAUUAUUUGCAUUCACUAAAAAAUACUCUGGAUAAGGCAUGAGUUGAUCGAUGGUCUCAUGGUCAAUAGUUAAGCUAGUUUAUUUUCACCUUAAAAGAGUGCGCAAAGCUUGACUAUCAUCAAGGCAUCAGUUGAGACUUGAGAGAGAUAAACAAAAGUAACAUUUCAAUUUUCACUGAAGAAUACUCCAUUCCUUAUUAUAAGAUUUCCUGUCUUGCACAAAAGUUAAAGCAAUAUUUUAUCUAAAUUUAAAUUAUUCAACUAAUGUGAAAAAUAUUGCAUACAAAUUGUAAGAAAAGAUAAAAGCAAUUGAUUAAAAGUUUUGCAGAUAUGUAAGAUAAAUAAACUUAAACAAACAAAAAAAGAUAAAACAUUACAAAAUAAGAGGAAGUAGAAAUGUAGAAUUCAACUCGAAUCAUCAUUCAGUCAUCCUUGCAAAACCCGUCUUUCGUAUAGAGAUCAUUUAUCAUUUGUUAAUCUUUUGUGCAGCAUCGUUGACGGCCGUGACAGCUCCGGCAACAGCAACGGCGGUACCGACAACACCAACGGCUGCAGCACCUACUGCCGUAACAGCAGUACAUACGCUUACUGCAGUAGCAACAAAAUCAAAAAACUCAUGUUUGUUAUUUUUUUCUUCUUUUUCUUAAAUGAAAAUAUAUCGUCCAAGGGAUUUAUAUAGUUGAACUGGAUAUUAAUCUUUUUAUCGGGGUUCGAAAAUUGAACUCAAUUUUCAAGGAGGCUUAAAAUGUUUGAAUAGUAAUUUAAUGAUUAUGGUGUGAGUAAUUAAUUAUAGCAAGAGACGAACGAAUUAACUAGCCUCUUAAAGAAGCGUGGGAAUUUAUACUUACAUAGUACCGUAUGUAUAUCGAUUAAAGAUACGGGUAAAUCUCCAAAAAUGAUCCAAAAAUACAUUUUUUAACCGAAUAAACACAAGCGGAGAAAAAUUAUCAAAAAAGUUUAGACGAAUAUUUAAAAUAACACAUUUCUAAAUUUAUGUCACAAAAAUAGCCCUCAAAAACUAAAAAAACCAAAAUAGCAUUUAUCUUUUAAAAAAUUUAAUUUUUUUUUAUUUUUCAAAAUUUGAAAUCUUAUCCCAAAAUCCCACUCCCCAACUCUAAACCCUAAAACCUAAACUCUAAACCCUAAAACCUAAACUCUAAACUCUAAAUCCUAAACCAUAAAUCCUAAAUUCUAAAUCCUAAACCCUAAAUCCUAAACCCCACCCCUUAACUCUAAACCCUAAACCCUAAACCCCACCUCUAAACUCUAAAUCCUAAACCCUAAAUCAUAAACCCCACCCCUUAACUCUAAACUCUAAUGUCUAAAUUAAUUUACCAUUGGGAUAUAAGUGUAUAUUUAUUUCUUUUGAUAAAACAUUAAGUGAUAUUUUGGUCAUUUUUAUUCUUAGAGGCUAUAUUUGUGACAAAAACUUUUUUAGCGCUAUCUUAGUCAUUUUCUCUAAAAGUUUUGAAGGUAAAUGAAAAUUACGUAAUACUGUAUGUAUAUCGAUUAAAGAUACGGGUAAAUCUCCAAAAAUGAUCCAAAAAUACAUUUUUUAACCGAGUAAACACAAGCGGAGAAAAAUUACCAUAAAAGUUUUGAAGGUAAAUGAAAAUUAUACUUCUACUCUAUAAAUAUAUAAAUAUAAAUAAAUAUCUAAAUAAAUAACAAAAAUAAAAAUUAUUUUUCGAAAAAACUUUAUUCUAUAGUUGAAACCUUUUCCGGAUUUUUUUCCAAUCUUCUUUUUUGAAAUUUUAUUUUGAAAUCUGAAAGUUCUUUUAUAAAAAUAUUUAUAAAAAUAUUAUUUUAUUUUUAAAUCCUAAACCUAUGUUACAUGGAAAUUUGGUUAAAGGUCUGUUUCAUGUUUCCGCGUUUUGGAAACGUUUCAGAAUCGGAGUCUCUCGAAAACUCGCGGAAACGUAUUGAAAAGUCAUUUUUUUAAAUCUUAUUUUGGAAACUUGAUGGAAACUCAUGUUUGGAAACUCGCGAUUUUGUUUGGAAAAUGCGUAAAAAACUUUUUUAGAACAAAUUCUAUAAAUAUUUAAAAAUAUAGGGAUUAAUUUGUUAUUUUGAUAAGUUAAAAAACCUAAUUAAUAUUGUUCCCAAAAAGUUAAACCUAAAAUCGUGUAAAGAAACCACGCUAAAGAUGAAAGUUAGAAACACAAGCAAGGUAUUAAUCUCUUUCUCUUUUGUCAGUUUUAAUUGUCUCAUGUUGAUUUAGCAACAGCUAUGUUAAUCGUUGUUGCGAAGAUGUGAGAUUGACAAAUUUGACUUUAAAUUGACUAACGUGUCUACGAUCAAUGUGCUUACACUUCACUAAAGGUACCUGUUACUUAUUUAUAUGAUAUAAAUAGGGUGAAUUUGUGGGAUGACCUGUUACUUAUUUACUUAAUAUAAGAAAAAUAUUAAGCAAUUAACCAUGUAAUAAAGUAAGAUGUUUGAUGUGACAAUUUGAUAUACAAACGGACCAUUUUCUCUUUUUCCGUGCUUGAACGUUUGCCAAAUAUACUGUCGAAAUAUACUAUACUCUAUUUGCUUGACAUGAUAUAACAAAAUACACCAACAGAUUACAUUUUAAUGUAAAUUGUUUACCAUGUUCAAAUGUAAAUAAUAAGAAUCAUUGAGAGAGAGAGAGAGAUUAUUUUUCGAAAAAAACUUUAUUCUAUAGUUGAAACUUUUUCCGGAUUUUUUUCCAAUCUUCUUUUUUGAAAUUUUAUUUUGAAAUCUGAAAGUUCUUUUAUAAAAAUAUUUAUAAAAAUAUUAUUUUAAUUUUUAAAUCCUAAACCUAUGUUACAUGGAAAUUUGGUUAAAGGUCUGUUUCAUGUUUCCGUGUUUUGGAAACGUUUCAGAAUCGGACUCUCGAAAACUCGCGGAAACGCAUUGGAAAGUUAUUUUUUUAAAUCUCAUUUUGGAAACUUGAUGGAAACUCAUGUUUGGAAACUCGCGAUUUUGUUUGGAAAACGUUUAAGAAACUUUUUUUUAGAACAAAUUCUAUAAAUAUUUAAAAAAAUAUAGGGACUAAUUUGUUAUUUUGAUAAGUUAAAAAACCUAAUUAAUAUUAUUCCCAAAAAUUUAAACCUAAAAUCGUGUAAAGAAACCACGCUACAGAUGAAAGUUAGAAACACAAGCAAAUGGCAUAACAAACAAGGUAUUAUCUCUUUCUCUUUUGUGAGUUUUAAUUGUCUCAUGUUGAUUUAGCAACAGCUAUGUUAAUCGUUGUUGCGAAGAUUGAAAAAUUUGACUUUAAAUUGACUAACGUGUCCACGAUCAAUGUGGGAUGAUCCGAGAAAAAUAUUAAGCAAUUGACCAUGUAAUAAAGUAAGGUUUUUGAUGUGACAAUUUGACAUACAAACGGAUCACUUUCUCUUUUUUCGCGCGUGAACAUUUGCCAAAUAUGCUGUCAAAAUAUACUAUACUAUAUUUGUAGUAUAUAACAAAAUACACUAACAUAUUACAUUUUAAUGUAAAUUGUUCACCAUGUUCAAAUGCGAAUAAUAAGAGAAAGACUAUGCAUUGAAUAGGAUAGUAUAACUAAAUAUUGUUUCUAAUAUACAUUAAAUCAUUUUACUAUUCUUUUUUUUAAUAUAGUAUAGUACAACUUUACAGUUUUUAAAUAAACAUUUUUAAAAAAAUUCAAGUUAUAACAUGUGUAGAAAAAUUUGUAUGUUUUCAUCUUUAUAAUUAUUUGGUUGAAUUAUAUAUGAUAUACAAAGAUGUAUAACAAAUAAAUUUGGAAGGAGGGAGAAGAAAAAAAAAACAAAGGAAAUAAAAAAAGCAAGAAUGCAUGUAUGAUCAAACGGUUGUAGUUGAUCAAUGGUAGUUAAUGUAAUAUUAUACAAAAUACAUAGAAUACUCUAGCCUAUAGAUUGUUAUGUGUAUAAACUUAAUUUAUGUGUUUGCUACGUAUAUGUGCUCUAAUUUCCCAUAUAAAUAUGUGAAACUAGUGAUUUUGGUUUGUAGCAAAAUAGUUUGAUUGCCAAUUAUUUUCAUAUGGUAAAUAUGUGAAAUAAUGUUUAUUUGUAUUUUUAGAUAUAUUAAACAUAGUAAAAAUGAAUUCACAUGUUAGUCAAUUGUGUGUAUAUAUAGACGUUUCUAAGACUUUCUAAAACGAAAAAAAUUCAAAAAUUAUGUUUUCACGUUUCGAAACGUUUCGUUUCCGCGUAUCCGUUUCUAAUUCCAUGAAACCUAUUCCUAAACCCCAUCUUCCUCUCCUUCCAAAACUCUAUGAUAAAUUAGUUAAUCUUAGAGGUAUAUUCAUUUAGUAAAAUUUAUUUUAAUUAUUUUGAUCAUUGGAGAUUUUUAUGAUAAAAAUUUGUAUUGAUAUCUUAUGGUAUCUCUCUAAAAAUAUAAACAAUUUUAGAAUACUAAUCGACAAGGUAAGAAGAAAAUAAAUGAGGUUUAAUACUUUCUUGAAUCACGAGUUAUAUACAUACAAAACACAAAAAGAUGUUAGUCUUGGAAUAAUGGCUUCAUGGUAGCAUUUCUUGAAGAGGUGCAAGCAGAAAAGAUCAUACAUAGUUCCCUUUUCAUUAAUUUUAGUUUUACUUUAUCUUUGACAUUUAGAUUACAUUUUUUGUGCCAAAAAAAAGAUUUAUUUUUUUUUUUUAAAUCAAAAUAUGUUACACAAGUACUUAAUUACGUGGUGUCUUGUCAGCAAAUAUUUUAAAAAUAAUAUAGUAAAAAUUCUAAAAGGUUCAGUUUGAACGGCCAUCAUUCGUAACUCAUGAUUUGAUAUAUUUUUUUUUUAUAUUUUUCGGCUAAAAUAAAUAUCUCUUAAAUAAGAGAAGAUUCUUAGCUUUAUUUGAUUAAAAUCUAAAAAAAAUUAAGAACCGUCUCUUAACCGAAUCUAGAAACUCCCGUUAAAAGACUGGGCUUAAUAACCGUCUCAGCUCUCUCUUUUUUUUCGUAAACGCGUGGGGGGUGAUGAGUAGAAUACGACGUAACGUCGGCACUCAAAAAUGUCCUAAACUAAGUAAACAUCUUGGUUUCUUACAUAUCUGGUUCCAUUGAUCGCUCAUUUUAUAUUGGACCAAAAAAAAUUCAUGACUAGCCUUUGUAUGCCGUUCGUAUCUAACACAUUACCGACGGAUGUUGAUGAUAAGCAGAGCAAAAUAGAUUAAACUUCGUUAUUACAUAACGAUCAUAACAAGGUUCAUAUGACAUACCAUGAGCAACCUAGCUAUUAUUGUCAUUAUUUUUAUUAUUUCAUCAUAUAGUAGAAAUCUGAAGUACAAUUCCCACAUACACCAUCAAACAUAUUCAUUUCUUACGCAGGUUCUGGAAAUACCCUUUCGGGUCGCUCUCGAAAGCUUUCCUGAAAAUCCGACCAUCCUUACCAGGAGCCUUCAUUGUCUUCAUUUCAGGUCCUGCUCCCAUCCCGGAGAACAAGCCAGCAACGGCUCCGACGACACCUAUGACCGCCAUGGCGAUUUCAAAGACUGAAGUAUCUCUUUUCUCGUCGUCGCUCAUUUUGAUAAGAUGAUAUAAUUUCAAGAUUUACUUUUUUUUCUUUGGAAUAGAAGUGAUGCAUGUGAUUUAUAGAUACCAAACGAUUUAUUAGAUGAAAUUAAAUUCUCAUUUCAAUUUACCAGGAAGACGUCUUAACUACGAGUUUGUACUUAAUGGCACCGUUCCGUUUGGAGUCGACUGGGUUUCCCUCCCUAGGGAAGAAUAUGAGUGGUAAAAUGAAAUUUUUUGUAUUUUGAAAAUUAAUCAAAUCAUACAAUUUCAAUUAUCAUUUGGCUUUGGAACUAACUUAUACGUGUUUGAUCGAAGCUAUUAUUAUCUCCAAAGUUUAUGAAAAUAUUUGUAUGUGAUAAUAAAAAGACAAAACAAGGGAAUAUUUCUUUUCGAUUUGUUCCAUGCAUGUGACGUGACGUGAUGGGAGAGAAUGGACCUCUAAGCGAUUUGAAGAAUCUACCAAGAUUUCAAGAAUGUGACCUCAAAUAUGUUUUUGCAUUUGAAAGGAUUAUACCUAAUUUUGACAUACAAAAAAAGCAUUAUACCUGUUUAUGUUUUGUUCUAUAAAUACAUGUUGAUAAAUUUAGAGAAUGGACCAUCCUAAUUGACAUAGAUGUAUGAUGUAAUAUCACUAUUGGCACCAUCAUGUAAUUGAAUAAUUGAUCAUUUGUGACUCUUUCGGUUUCUUUCUCAUUUUAGUUGGUAUCGUUCUUUCUCUGGUUUGGCUUAGUUGGUGUUUUGUUGUCUGUCACAAUUUUGUAGAGCCCUCUAAGAUUUUGUGUAGCUUUUUAGACCUGGGACUUUUAUCCGAGAUCCAAAUUCGAUCCGAGAUUCGAUCCGGAUCCGAUCCGAAAAUCCGGAUAUCCGGAGGGGCCGAAUCUGGAUCCGGAUAGUAAAAUGUUGGAUCCGUCAAAGCCGGAUCCGGAUCCGGAUAUCUUAAUUUUUUAGUCCGGAUAUCCGGAUCCGUAAGUUUUAUUAAUAAAACCGGAUAUCCGGAUCCGUAAGUUUUAUUAAUAAAUAUUUCAAAAAUAGUAAUACUUAUAUAUAAAAAUUAAUUUAUUUAAUAUAUUUUCAUUUUUAUUAUAGUAUAUAUAAAUUUUAUGUAAAUUUUGUAAUAUUAUACAUAGAAAUAACUAAAAACAUUAUAUAUAUUUUUAUUUUUAAAUUAUUGUUAAUAUUUUAUAUAUAUAUUAAUAUUAUUUUUUAUUUAUAUUAAAGAUCCAAAUCCGGAUCCGAAUAUCCGCCGGAUAUUAUAAUUUUUAUAAGGAUAUCGGACACCCGGAUAUCCGAGAACCCCGGAUCCGGAUAAGGAUGAUAAAAUUAUGGAUCCACCGGAUAAAGAUCCGGAUCCGGAUACCUUAAAAUCGUCUGGAUAUCCGAUCCGUUCCAGGCCUAUCGCUUUUGGUAUUUGUUGGAACCAAUGACAUUAUUUCAGACAAAAUAAAAGUAUACGAUAUCUUGCCGUCCAAAAAUAGAUGAAAAUGAUCGUGAAGGCAAAUAUACAUUUUCACAACAAAUAAUAAGUGAAGGCAAAUAUACAUUGGUCCAAGUUUUUCUCAAUUUUGUUUUUUCAUAAACAAACGAUUAAAAGCUAUGGAUAGAAGGAGAGACACAUGGGAAAUGUCAUGGUCAGAGGUGUGGCACACCAAUCAACGAGGAUCAUGAAACCACUUUCCUUUGACUUUUUUGGCUCAGAGUUAGAAUUCACGAUUACUAUUAUGCCAACUUGUUUGCUAAUUAUGAACAGUAACCCCAUAUAAUAAAAAUUCUUUGGCCGCCUAAAAAAAGAUGUUUCAACGGAGCCAGUCAAAAGGAAAUCUUAUGGAAAGUGAUUGUAAUCCAAUUUUAUAUACAAUCCACCAAAUGUAAAAGUACACAAGAAUAUACUUUAAAAAGCCCCUGUAAGAAUCUGAACUUUGAUGUUCUAAAAGCAGCUUCUUCUUGUACUACACAUUCACACAAUGCACUGCUACUUCUGUCAUUUACAGAUAUAAGAGUAACAACACUAUGUUGUUCAAGAUCUGAUCAACCCGAAAUUGACGAAAGAUCUAGACUUGAAAACCCCAAAGAGAAACCCCGUUUGAGAUUCUGGAGAACUCGGUUUCACCUCUGUGUUUCCGCCUUUCACUUGAAGUAUCUUCUGACCAAUCACUUGCCUGAUUGAAUCUAUGGUCUUUGCAUCAACUUCAUAACCAGAAGCAUCCCUCACGUAGAACGUGUUGAGCGCUUUGCCUCCUUUUGUCUUCACUUCAGCUCUUGUCACCGUAAGACUGUUCUCACGGAAUAUUCGAGUCACGUCUGAUAGUAAUCCAACUCUAUCCGAAGUGCAAAGCUCAAGCUUCAACCCCUAACAACAUAUAAACAAAAGUUAAAGCCAACAACAACACACAAACAUUCUUCUCCAAAGCAGAGAUGAGAACAAUGUUUUUACCUCAAAGACUCUUCUCUGAAUAGCUGCUUUAAGACACUUGAUCACUCUCUGUCUUUCUGCCUCAGACUUCACCGGAGAUCCAUCCGUAUGUCUUAUGUAGUACUCCUGAUAAGCUUCAGGGCCUUCAGCAUCAAUGCUGGCAUGCGAAACCACAUACUUCAUAUCCGUCAAUGUAAAGACAGUAUCAAAGAGAAGCUUUGGUCUGUCUUUGCAUUUGAUCAUCACAAUAGAGUAAUCCAAAUCAUGCAAGUUUGAGACAUCCACAUCUGGAACUACUCUCCCAAUCUUAUCCUCAUCAUCAACGUUAUUCUCCCACUCAUCGUAAUCUCUAUCCGCAAACAUCAGCUGGUGAAGCUUACGAUCCGCGUUGAGAGAAGAGGAAACCGUGGUUUUAGGUUCACGACAUCUCCUGCUCCUGCUCCCGCCUGUGAGCACGUAGCCAAGAAGCUUCCUGAUUUUGGAUAACCUCUCUGGAUCAGUAACCGCGGAGGAGGUUUCCUCGUCGGUUACUUGCAAAACCGCCGCUGCUUUUGCUCUGUGCGUCCAGAUCUCGGCGUUGACCACAUUGCAUUGAAGGUCGGUUAGAACAGCGCAGAGCUCAGACAGCAAACCGGGUCUGUCAGUUCCUGUGAGCUCAAUGACAGUGAAGUCGACAGAUUGUUUAACCCCGAUGGUUGAUCUCGGACUGUAGCAAGAAGACUCAUCAGGGCCAAGAGACUGCAAACAACCACACACACACAAAAAGGAGUUUAUUAUAAUCACAUAAUCAAACGUAACAGAACAUAAACAAGAGGUUCGUUCAUCACUUACUUUACGGAUGUAAUCAAGAACGAUUUCAUCAGUGACUUUGUUCCCAUCUUGGUUAGUGACGUUGAAGACAUCCAUGAACCAGCCACCAUCAGAGGAGAUGUAAGCUUUCUUGAUUGUGAGGUUAAGAUCAGUCAAGACUUGAACCACUUCCAGAAGAAUCCCCUGUUUAUUAGCACUAUCCACCUAACACAAAAUCAAUUUUUUUUUUGAUUAAACACAGUUUCCCCAACUGCUUUCCAGGCCCAAGAGACUAAUCUGUGUCGCUGCGGUCCGAAUGUUAAAUCCGCAGUGGCCGGGAAUCGAACCCAGAUGGCGGUGUUCACAGCUGUGAGUCCUUUACCACCAGAGCUAGACGCCCCGGUUCACAAAAUCAAAUUUGGUUUUUUACUUCAACAAAACCAAACCUAAUAAUGUGAAAAUGAAAUCUCAGAGAAGGUUACCUUAAUGACAGUGACGUUCUUGUAGACAUCGUUAUCAAUCACAACCCUAAAAUAAAUAAUAAUCAAAUUUAAAAAGUAAGUCUAAAUUGAAAAAAAAAAAAAACAUAAUAAAGAUCAAAGUUCAGGAGAUAUUACUUUGGGGGAUUAACUCUUCUGAUAAACCUUGCAAUCUCAUCAUCCAUGUGAUACGAAUAGCUCAAGCAAGCAUCUGAAAGAUACAAAAUAAAACCCAAUUAAACCCAAAACAGAGAGUUUUACCCUAGAACACGAUUACAAAAGAAACCAUGACGAAAAGACUCAAAAUUUAACAAACCCAUGACGAAAAGACUCGAAAUUGAACAAAUCCAUUAUGAAAAGACUCAAAAUUUAACAAUCAAUCAUCGAGGAAGAACAGAGAGAGAGAGAGAGAGGAGGAGUAACGAACCCAUCCUCGAUUUGAUCUGUGAUUGUGUAAAAUAUCUUAUCAGCCUUUUUUUUUGUUGAUGAUCGAUAUCUCUAUGGGAGGAAGAGGAAGACUUUGCAACUGCAAUUGCCAGGGGAGAGAAGAAUCACGAGAAAGUUUGUUAAAUUUAUAUUCAGGGAAAGAGAUAAUUAAUUAAUUAAUUUAAUUGAAUAAUAAAAAUCUAAAAGUGGUAAAAGAGAGUGGAGAUCCGAUUACUUCACAGUUCACACUAUGCUCUGUCUCUGACACAGAUUCAGCCGACACGAUUCUCCUCUCUAUACCUGCACAGAUUUUUUGUUUUUUGUUAAAUUGUGAUAUAUUGUGAUGAGGAUGAGUCUAGUCAUAUAUACACUUGGCGCACGUUAGUAGCCGCCCUUGGUUGUCAUGAUAACAUUAGACAGGUGUACCGGCCGGUUAAGCAGGUCCAACUUGAUUGGCUAGUAUAUUCCGGUUAAGGAUAUUUAAUGUUAGUUGGGGCAGUAAAUCACAGACAAUUCUUUUGGGAGUUUCGAUUGGGAAACAAAUCGAUUAAUUUUUGACUAAUUACAUACCAACUUUAGAAGAUUAUUUAGAGUCUUUGAAUGAGAAAAUAGUAGUACAAAAUAGGCCAAAUGAUAUUGAAAUUUAAUAAAUAAGUACACCAAUUGAUUCGGAUUCUAAUAUUUCUUUGUUGUCAACUAGUAAUACAUAUUAGAAUUUAGUUUCAUGCCAAACCAAUAGCAAAGUACCUGAAAACAAACUAGUUGAGUUAUGGCUUCUAAUCUUAAAAAUCAAAUAACCAACCUUGUGGUUAAAAGAUCAAAAAUAAAAGAAUAUGAAAAAUACAUUGUAAGAAAAUACUAGACAAAAGAUAUUUAAGAAAACAAUUACUAACUUGUACUACCAUAAAAAUAUAUGAAGCUAGUAAUUUCUUUUAGUUUUGAAGUUAAUUUGUUAUCAACUCUUUUCUAAGUUUUUUUUUUGUAAUCAAAAAGGUGUUUUCAUUUCUUUGCCGGGAACCCAAACAUUGUAAAUAGUCUCUUCUACCGUGAGUUGAACCCAAGUGACGGAAGUUACAGCCGCAACCCCUUUACCACUAGGCCAACUCAACGUUGGUCUCUUUUCUAAGUUUUCUAUAAUUGGCCGAAUAUGUCAUGUGUUCAUACACUCCAAAGAUAUUGGAUGUUUGGGAUUGAGUGGAAUCCAACCAUAGCGGCAAAACAAAGAACAUGAACAUUAAUGCAGUUAACAAGGACCAUAAUCUAAGGGAAUAUGUUUCACAUGUUUACACACUAACUAUCCCAUUAAAUUUGGUGGAUAUUAUGAAGUCUUUAACUUUUAAAUCAUCGUGAUUAGAGUAAAUGUAAAUUUGUGAACGAUACAUUACGUUGAUUUAAAUCAACAACUAAUUUAUACAUGAACUCCUUAUGUAAUCCUAUUAAUUUUAGUAAUUCAUCUAUAAACUGGAUAUAGAAUAGUAAUAUACUUAUAGAAUGUACUUGAAGGCUUAAGUAAAUUAAGUCACCGAACACAAAUCCCGUUGACAUGCCUCCAAUAAACGUAUUUUUAAAAAUCAUUAAGAACAGGAAAACACUAGUUGAAUUUGAUUAGCGUUUCUAUUUCUAUUAAAAAAGGUUAUAAAAAAUAUCAAGGAAAAGAAAAGCAUGCCGUUUAGAAUGUCAAAUGUUUUAGUAGAAGAGAAAUGCGUAGAGGAGGGACCAUGCCGGCCGCAUGUUACUACGAUCUCCAUUGCUCAUUGUCUUGUUUCUUCAAUUCUACCUUUUAUGCAUUAUUAAUACAUAACUUCUAAAAUACUCUCCUUAGCUCUCUAUUUUAAAAUAAACAAUAGCAAAACUCUUAUAAAAAUAGAAACAAAAAAAAAACAAGUCUGAAAGGGGUGUUUCUACAAAACAUAAAAAAUUAGCUUGCUACUAUGAUACUUCGAAACAUACGAUUAGUGAUAAUUUCUGAGCUUACUAUCUGUUUUGUGGUAUCCUAUGGUUUUCUCUAAGUUUAAUAUCUUUGGUUUAACUGCUUAAAUAUACCGAAUUUUACCAAGACAUAGAAACCUUGGUUCGAACAUAUAAACUCUUGUGUAUGAUGGUUUUAUUUUGAACUCUAAGGUCCCUAUGACCGUAACUUUUCUAGCAUUUUAAUUGAAAGCCUUUCGUCGAAAAAAAAAAAAAACAUAGUAAUGUGACACUGGAGAAAAGUCUAAGCCAAUUUAGACUGAGUCAUAUAUUUUCUUAUAAAUGUUGUCCUUGGUGUUUGUAUGACUCAUCAGAAACUCAUGUUUUUUAACUUAUUUUUUUUGUUUUGUUUUAUGUCAAAUGAUCAGAUAAUUUUUUUUUAAAAAUUAACGUUUGUUUUAUCGACAUUGUUGAUAACUAGAUAUAUUUUCAGAACGCAAUCACACAUAUCGAGAGUUAUACCUAGUAGAUAACUUAAAUUUGUAUAAAUAUUCGAAUUGGCAUUUUUAAAACAUAGUUGUUUUGGUAACUAAUUCAACGGUCGUCUGGUCAUUAGUGGUUAGAAAGUCAUGUAUUUAUUGAUGGAGUAUUAGGAACCGGAUGGCUGCUGAAUCAUUUAGACUUCGUGAUUGCCGCAGAAAUCUUUCAGCUUUUUACAUGCCAAGAUGGAAUGAUUGCUCUGGUUAAUAUCGUGUGUGAGAGAUAUGCAACUCUUCACGAUCCUAAUGGAGACUGAUUAUUCAGAUUUAAUUUAGUGGAUAUGAUUCACUGACCAGCUUUCACUUCAGAAAUAAAAGCGUCACGACUUUUACAUGCUCUUUGAGAGUGUAGGUUUAAUUCAUAUCUUGAGGAGCAAAAACAUUUAUGCAUAUGCACUAGUAAAAGAAGGUAGGAUGAGACAUAAUAUUUUCUCAUGUAAACCAGACACAAUCAAAUAAAAUUGCUCUUCGAAAUGACAUUUUCACCAACCAACUCUUGGUUUAAUCAUAUGGGCAUGCUGACACAAAAAGGUAAGAAUUAAACGAUCGUGUUUCUUUAGCUAAUAAAUUGCAUAUGUUUUGAAUAUAUAAUACUCUAAGAACGGUAAUUGAAUGAAAACAGCAAUACUACUAAUCACCAAGUUUAUGUAUCAAUAUAUUCUCACAAAAUAAAAAUAAAAUACAUCACUGCUGUUGUAAUUAGAGAGUUUAGAGACCGAAUAUUUCUCUGUUAUUAUUAAUGAUCAAGAGGGUUCCUUUAUAUAAGGAUUACAAGAUGAAGAUAAAUGGAAAAUAUCCAAAACCUAAACUCACUAUGAUUAGGAAAACUACUAAUACAUAAUAAUGGAAAGAUUACAUGUACUAGGAAAAAGAAAAAGUUUUCUUUUCUCCAAGCUUUGUGGCCACCUUUCUCUCUUCUGAAGUCGUCUCUCUCUCUCCUCUCUCUAGGGCUUCGGCCAUCUCUCCAUCUUCUAGGUAUUGGGCUGGUCUUGGGCCGGGCCUGGUUAAUGACAAUCCACUCCAUGAUUUAUAACACUCCCCCUUGGAUGCCAUAACCAUACUGGAUUUGUAGUACGCUUCAUGUUGCCUCAUUAAAACCUUAUCAGGAAAACCCAGUGGGACAAAACCAUGAUGAAGGAAAAAGAGUACAACACGCACUACUCCCCCUGAUGUGAACCUCAGUGUAGGUUCUACAUUCUACGCUUCUUGUGCAUGAUAUUUCUUGUAUGUAUAGGAUGGGAAGUAAUCGGCCAGUUUCAUUACUAAGCCGUAACUAGACCACUUCGACCUCUUAGGUCGUUUCUCAUGUCUUUUGACAUCGAGUGUCCCGGUAAAGCAUAUGUGCUAAGCAAUGUGAAUCACAUUAUCCUCGGAGAUCACUAUUGGGUCUUUGCAAAUCGUGUUUGCAUAUGUCCAUAGUCUAGACGUGAUCGUCUACUCUUAACUCUUUACUAUGGUCGGAUAAACCAAGUACUCAUGGACAAUGUACUAAACAUGGUUAUCAUGAACCUAUGUCUCGGUGUAUUUUCUAUACACAGAUGUAUAUCAAUGGCUUUAUAAUUUUGCCAUACUAUGGCUUAUUGGCCAGAACAUAUUCAUGAUCCAUACAUAUGGUCAGCGAUCUUUCUUGCUUUAGGCAAUACCAUAUGUAUUUCUCUCGGACAUUGCAGUCCUUUAUCCAUCUCUUAAUGGUGUCUCAUGACCUCUGUUGCUGUGGAUUAUAUCACACACUGAAAUAUAUAUUAUUAGGUUAUAGAUCUCGGCUCUCACAAGUUUAUGGACUACAAUACAUUUGUAUCCGGUUGAUCUUUUGUCUCUACUAGCCCGUGAUCAAGAAGAAGAGUCAGACGCCUUUUAGUCUUAAAAGCCGUACGCGUCUAGUAGAAGAGCCAAACGUUCUUUGCUGAAGAGCCGGACGCCCUUAGACGGACAGAGUCGGACAUCUUUGGUUUGAAGGGCCGGGGCUGGACGCUUUUGGUCGGACACCCACAUAGAUUUAUUCUAUGCCUACUAACCUCUUUUAGGUUUAUUAUAAUCACAAGGAAUUUCAACUAUAUGGAAUGUAUUGGAUUGUCUUUUAUACAACUCCAAGAUUAAUGAUCAUGCGUGAUCAAUUUCUUUUACAUACUAUAUGCAGCUGCUUUAUGUUUCAGUCCAUGAAUCAGCUUAGGAACAAAGCGGUUCUUUCAUCUUAUCCAGUGAUCCAUAUGCUGCUUACUACAUCAUUGUAUCUAAUUUCUUUCUUAUGACCAGACCAUUGUCAAUUUCGAAAUCUGUAGCAGCAACCACCACAUAGGAGUUCAUCUCCUUAUAAUAUGUUCCUUUGAUCUCUGUGAGUACCUUGUGUCACAAGCUAUAAUCGAAUGCUGUUAGUAGGAAAACAUGAACACUCUUAGACCUCGUGAUCAUGUGCCUUCUCUCACGGUUUCUUUAUCUCACAAGAUCCAUCUAUUUCACUGGUUUUAUCAGAUGGCGUUUCUGUAUAUGUAUAUGGCCAAUACGCCCAUCUCUCCUUUAGAUACUUUGAACAUCCACGUUUUAUCUUUUCAAAUCUCUAUGAUCCUUUAUGAUUGUAUGAGUACUCUUUCGUGGGUUCAUGAUCCUUGUUCAUCUCUUUAUGUUCAAGUGCUAUAACUUUAUGUAUCUUUAUACAAAUAUGUGUGUGUGUGUCGACACUUUCAUGUGGUUCCAUUAUGUUCCAGACAUGAUCUGAUCACUUUGAGAUUUCAUUAUUUAGGACCUUUGUUACCUAGUAGCUUGGCGUCCUAAGACUACAUGGUUUGGUACCUUAGAUGUGUAGCUGCGCAACCUUUUCUCAAUGUCUGGUAUGGUUUCUCUUAUAAUCUCGGAUCUGUAUUCUAUGCACUAUUUUUCUAUCCGAGAUUCCUUUAUCUUAUGGAACACUUGGUAUAUCUUGUAUAGGCUCUAUAGCAACUUGAUUAUGUCUCUUCUAGGACAUUCAUUUGGUGCUAAGCUGGUUAGUCAUUUCUCGGGUCAGUGUCUGACAUUUCGAUUAGCUUCUCAAUUAGCUAGCUUUAUAUAAUCUUUCUUUGGACGUCUUAAAUUAUAAUCUCUAGUCCGAGGAUCUUUGCCAAGACAAUGAUGGUUAAAACCAUUCUUAUCAUUCUUUUACCUUUUAAUCUUUCUUUGUCCAGCUUAUAAUCUUUCUCCUUUAAUAUUGAAUAUCUGGAUUCAUUUGUUUCAUGCAAUCCGUACCUGACCACUAUUUUAAUCACCCAUGUUUUGGCUCACGGUCCUUUGAAUUCGUGGAGAAUAUCUUAUUCUUAUAUAUUCCCAAUCCUCUUCUGAGGUUCCAUCUUUAGACGGCACAUGUAUGUAUGUGGUGGUUUAUUCAAAAUCUCUUAAGAUGGUGUAUGUUUGGUUUUUAUGACCCGUAUUCAAUCUGAGAUGGGAAUAUCUAUACUCACUUAUAUGGCCUGAUGCAUAUGAUCAUAUUAUCAUUCUAUACAUGUAAAACAUAAUGUCUCCAAGCUUAUAGACUUUGGAAUCUUAGUCUUAUAAAUAAUGGCUUACAUGGCCGAUCCUUUAUGGUAAUGGCCUUUCCGGCCGGUUAUGGCCGAGCCAUUUAUAACAUGGCCAAGUAAUGGCCUUUAUGGUUUGGCCGUCCUAAACAUGGUUUUAGACCAUAGUAGUACAUGAGGCCGGUUAUUUGCCUUUGCGGCUGAAGGCCGUUGUCUCUCAUGGUCUCUUCGGCCGAGUAAUGGCCUCUUUGGCCGGGUAAUGGCCUUUAUUGUUUGGCCGUUAUAGUAGUACACGAACUUGUAGUAUUGAUCAUGGGUUUAUCCUCUCUCCCCCUCAUGACCAUACUAUAAGGUCGUGGUGCUUGGGACAAUUAAGCCUAAUGAGUUUCCCUUGUGUACAUGUUACACAACGUGAGAUCUUUUAUGGGAUAACUCUUUGUGCCUUUUCAAUUUCAAUCUUUGUAUCAAGUUCUAGAUUAGGAUGGCUAAUCCUAUCAUGCCAUAUAGUGUAAAAUUUCGUGGUGUUAUCUCAAUAUGGUUACCACAUCUCUUGUCUCUUUAUCAUAGUUUUGAUCAGUAGAGAUCAUAGGUAUAGUCUCGACCACUUUCUUUCAAGGUCUUAGACGUUUUUCUUCUUAAAAUCUAAAGGAACUUGUUUCCUUUCUUACCCAUUGUUUCUACUUGGAAACCAUACAUUAUAACUUCAAUGGGUCACAUGUUCUUUUGGGUGUGUAUAACGCCUUUUAAGGCAAUGCCUUAGCCAUAGUUUCUUAUUAAAAUUUCAAAACACCAACAAUAAAAAUAAAAACACUAAAGCAAUCAUAAAGCAAUAAGACAAGUCGUAUCGAAAUUUAGUCCUUGAGACAAUCAGAAGUCUCAAAAUCCAUUUGGUCAUCUUUAGCAAUGUCGGAAUCAUCAUCAGCCUCAUAUUCGGAAUCAUGAACCAUGUGAGCCUCAGGGUUCUUGUUCUUAAGACUUUCUUGGUAGAGCUCACAUAAGUGCUUAGGGGUUCUACAGUUCUUGGCCCAAUGGUUGCCCAUUCCACAUCUGUGACAAACGGAUUUGGUCGAGUAAGACGGUUUGGAUAUGCCGCCUCAACCACGGCCAUAACUACCUCGGCCACGGCCAUAAUUGGAACCACGACCACGGUUAUUGUGGUUUCCUUUCCGGUCGGUCGAGUAGUUGUCUCGGCUGUUCGAGUAAUUGUCACGGCCACACCCCUUGUAUCCACCUCGGCCUUUGCCGUGUGAUCUCUUGUCAUUUUGGACAUAAUUGCACUCGUUGGGAUUUUUCCUUUCAACCUCAUUAGCCUCCGGUAAUGGUGUUGUUCCAACAGGUCUAGCUUCACUGUUCUUCAUCAGGAGCUCAUUGUUUGCCUCGGCCAGAAGUAGGCAAGAGAUCAGAUCAGUAUAUGUGGCGAAGCCUUUCAUUUUGUACUACUGUUGCAGUAUCACAUUCGAUGAAUGGAAUGUAGAGUAAGUCUUCUCAAGUAACUCUUCUUCGGUUACUACUUCACCACAAAGUCUCAGCAUCGAGACCGUCUUAAAUAAGACUGAAUUAUACUCAUCCACCGACUUAUAAUCCAAGGAUUCUUCCAGUCGUUUCUAGCCUUUGGAAGUAACACCGUUUUCUGGUGAUCAUAUCUAUGCUGUAAAGCAUCCCAAAGUUCUAGUGGAUUUUCCAUUAUGAUGUACUUAUCUUUUAGACCUUCAAUGAGAUGAUGGCGUAUAAUACUUAUAGCCGUGUACCGAUUCUUAUCGGUCUCAUUGUUGCCCUUGAUGAUAGUAUCACCAAGUCCCUUUGACCUUAGACUGAUCUUUGUAUCUAGCGCCCACUGCAAGUAGUUAUCUCCGGAGAGAUUAAGGGCUGCAUAGUCUGUGUUUGAGAUUUUCAACAUCUGAAUCACAUGAUCAUUAAGUUUCACAAUGUGAUCAUGUGGCCGCAAGAUAAUCAACAAGCUCGGCCACAAACAUGUCUUACGCAUUUGUGAAAAACAAGCAAUCUAAAACGACCAUGGCGCGAACAAUUAUCAAGCCACACGGCCAUGUAGUUCUACUUAAUGCAAACGGUUUCAAGACUUUAUAAACUACAUGCUGGUCGUUCCUUUUAAACAGUAUGAAUGCAAUCCAUAUUCAGAUUCAUAUGCAUGCAAGUAACUUUAAUCAAUUCUAGGGUUUCGAUUUAGAACAUUAGUAGGAUUCGAUUUUAAGGUUUCAAGGCUUUAAGAUUUAAACUCUAGGUCAGAUUAUUUCAAUCAAUCUAACAAUCCUAAACCUCAGAUUUUAUCAAAACAAUCAAUCAAGCAAGAACAAGUAAAAUCGAUUUCAAGCUUAUAGGUUUAGGGUUUUCGAUUCCAAAAUUAGGGUUUCUCAAAUUCAGAUCAGAAACAAAUAAUCAAUCAAACAUAUUCUAAUGUAAUCGAUUCUGGUUACUAGUUAUGAGAUUUGUAGAUUUUAAUUAUGUAAUUUCUAUGGUUUCAUCAAGAACAAAGUUUCCAUAAUAAUGGAUUAUGGUUUUGUUAUGUCUAGGUUCUUAGAUCGCGGUAUACCUUUGCUUUGUAGAGGUUUAGAACCGGACCACCAAAGAGAGGGAGAACAGGAACGGAUGAUACUCCAAGCUGAGACGAACGGAUGCUUGCAAGCCGGAACGCAAUCAAGAACGAAUUAGGGUUCUUUGGGAUUAGGGUUCCAAAAGACCAAGGCGGCGCCGUUUAUUGUUUCUAUGAGUGAGGGCGCGUCUGAGAUCGGAUCGACAAACGGUUUGCGCUGAUGGAUUUGUCUCGUCAAGAGCUUCAAGAUGAUAUGUGGCUCGUCGUCUGGUUCCUCAGGGUUGGAGAGAUAGAUCGAUUUUAAGUUGCACCUGGUUUAGGGUUAAUGUAUGACGGAUUUUAGGUUAGGUUUUAUCUCAGGGUUUUGGAGUCUAUCGUGCUGAUAACGUGUUGUAAUUAGAGAGUUUAGAGACUGAAUAUUUCUCUGUUAUUAUUAAUGAUCAAGGGGGUUCCUUUAUAUAAUGAUUACAAGAUGAAGAUAAAUGGAAAGUAUCCAAAACCUAAACUCACUAUGAUUAGGAAAACUACUAAUACAUAAUAAUGGAAAGAUUACAUCUACUAGGAAAAUGAAAGAGUUUCAUUCUCUCCAAGCUUUGUGGCCACCUUUCUCUCUCCUAAAGUCGGCUCUCUCUCUCCUCUCUCUAGGGCUUCGGCCAUCUCUCCAUCUUCUAGGUAUUGGACCGGUCUUAGGCCGGACCUGGUUAAUGGCAAUCCACUCGAUGAUUUAUAACAACUGCCUCAAAUUUAUUUAUAUGUAUAGGUUCCCAAUGUACAUCUGAGAACCGGGAACGACCAACAUAACUGUGUAUGGCUUAUUUUGCAAAUAUAUAUAUUCGAAUUCAAAUUUUCACUGAAAAGAUAAACCACUGAUUAAACGGUUUUUUUAUUCUUACGUGAUAAAAAUUAUGUUUUGUAUAUCAACAUCUUGUAUUUGUUUAGACGUUAGGGAUCCAAACAAAUACAAUCUAUUCUUCAGUUUUUGGAGGUAAUAUGGCUUCUUUUGCCUCAGCAGCUUUCUCUCCAACGUAUAUAGCCGUUCUUUUGCUCAUAUCCGUCGCCAACUCUUUGGCGUCACCAGCUUUUUCGACAAUGAAAUCUUUAGCUUCACCUGUUUUUUCGACUACGAAAUCUCUGGCUUUCUCUGUAAUUGAAACAGCUUCUUCCUCCAUCACAUUGGCUUUUUCCGCCACAAAAUCUGAAGCUAUAUGAGCAUUUUCAGUCAGCAUGUCCAUGGCUACACCAGCUUUCUCCAUAAAGUAGUGUUUUGCUCUCUGUAUGUGAUCUAAAACCUCUUGUCCUUCAUGUGCAGUCAAGUGGCCAACUUCGCUUCCUUUCUCCUUCACGUACUCGGAAGCUUUCUCUCUUUCAUUUGUGCGUGGGUGUGACACAGUUUUACAAAAUUAUUUCAGUGAACAAAAUGGUUAUAAAUACUAUAUAGAUAACAAAACUGACAAUUAGCUCAGAAAUUAAAAGGAAAUAUUUAAAUGUAUAUAUAAUUUUUUUAACAAACUGAUUAGAUAUAUAUAUCAAGAUUUGAAUAUAUCUUACACAUCUUUAUUAGAUUAAUUUUAUUGAGAAAAUAUCAUGUGUUUGUAAUUCAUAAUAAAAUUUCAUCCGGAUGGAUAUAACGGACGAGAUUCUUGAAUAUUAAUUUUAAUUAAAUUUGUUGAUUUCUAAAUAACGAACACAAAAUUUAUUUAACUUUAAAAAAUUUUGAUUUAAUUUUGAGAUAGAAGAGUUAAAGUGAUGUGAAAUCAUGCCAUGGGUCAUAAUGUGAUCUGCUUCUCUCUUUUUAUUCUAGCUAGAGAUUAAUUAGUCAAUUUUUGUUACCUAUGUUGAUCUCAGAUAUGUCUAAAACAUAUAGACUUACGAGGCAUCAUCGAGCCAUUUUGGAUCUAGCUUUGAGUUGCCAUCAUCGCCUUUCACGGCUGCCAUGACCCAUGACUUCUUGCGCUGAGGUGCAAUGAUCACAUUCUUCCAGCCAAAUCUCACCUCUCCACGGCCAGCGCCGCUUCUCCUGCCGAUCAAGAACGUUGAACCCAAUCCACUAAGCACAGCUCCGGAGAUCAAAGUUGCCAUGAGGUCACCUCUUGCCUUUCUCUCAAUAUGUGAGAAAACGAAAAAUCGAAAGUGAAGAUCUUAGAUUAGUAGAGGGACAGAGUGAGAAUCUUUUAUAAAUAAUCUCAGAGGCUGGCGUGGAAUAGUUUCUAACCAGUUAGAAUGAAAUGACAUCCAAUUUGCUUCGUUCCUGGUUUGCCAAUGGUACUCAGAUACGCAGGAUCAUAAGCAGACUAUGACAUGCUUGCAUGAAUAAACAGUAUAUCUAAGACUCACCCGUUCAAUAUAUACUUGGAUAAAGCAUAUGGUGUUUAGAAAGGUCGAAUGUUUAGGAUAGAGGGGAGAAAUACAUGUCAUGCUGGUCGCAUGUUACUCCUCAUAUCUUAUCUUCCUCGAAUAUAAUAUGAUUUAAAAAAAAAAACAAAUUGUAAAGUAGCAAAAGAAAAGAGGAAUUAUAAAAUAGAGAAUGGUGUUUAGAAAUUAGAAUUGGUUAAGGGGGACAUAAGUGCGUACAUGCCGGUUGCAUGUUGAUGUAUUGGUUAGACAAUCUUUAAACGGACUAUAUAUAUGUAGACAAAUCUAAACGUAGAGAUUGUAUACAUUUUUUUUGUUGUUAUGGGUGAUUUUGUAAUGUUAGUUUGGAACUGAUAAUGUUAUAAGCAACAUUCAAUUAUAUAUUUAUAGUAAGAUUGAUAAUGUUAUUCAGCAAAAGCUAGAUAUGUAGUAUUUGACUUAACAUGUGUAACAUGACCUAACACCUUAUAUUGACAUAGAUAAGUGGGCCUAUCCUGACAGGCCCAAUAUGUCUUAUAGCCCAACAGAAGUGAGACAUAAGCAAAAGCAACAAAAAAAAAACGGACAAGGAAAAAAAAAAAAAGAACAGGUGAUGGUGAGUUCGUCGCCGAAGGAAAUGAAUCCGACACUGUACAAAUUAAUAGAAAUCGUCUUCGGAGCUGUUCUCGUCGGUAUAGCAGGAAUGGUCAUCGGCGGCCAAGCUCAGGUUUUGUUCAGCUUCAUAAACCCUAAUUAAACCCAUUUUCCAAAGUAAUUUCAAUUUCUAAUCAAAUGAGAAUUGGGUUGCGUGAAUCAGUACGCUCGUAUGUGGACUCGGGACUAUUCAGCAUUUUUCGCUGCAUUGUGUGGAAUUGAAUCAGCAAUGAGUGCAAUCAGAGGGAAAGAUGAUAUCACGAAUCAGUAAAGUUUCAAAUUCUUUCCAAAACUCUACUUUUUGAUCAUCCUGUUUAUGUUUCCUAGUCAACGUGUUGCACUUUCCUUUGCCGAGAAUCUUCAAGUUGUUUCUCUAAUGCUUUCAAGAUGUGUUCCUUGGGUGAUAUUGAUUUUGAUGAAACCCUGUUUUAUUUUUAUAACUUUGCAGUUUGGUGUCAGGAUCAGGUGCUGGGUUGGCAUUGUCUUUUCUGAGACAAGGCUUUAAACUACGACCUGCACAUGCACUCUCCAGCGUUGCUGUUUUCGCUGUUAUUCAAGCAACAAUUUAUAAGGUGAUUGAUUGAUUCAUUGUUCAUUGAUUGUUUAUGUCCGUGCUAACAAGAGCAUAGUCCCAUCAGGUGAAGGAAACAAUCAAAUCGCGCAAUGCCCAAGACGCCCUUUACACAGAGGCAAGAGCUAUGCUGUCGAUGCUAGGCCUAGAGGAAUACGAGAAGAACUUCAAGAAGGGACGUCUCACUGAUCCCACCUUGCCAUUGCUCACUGAUAGGUUAUACAUACACACAAGCUUCAGUCUAUUAUGUAGUAACUAUAAACCAAUCCCCUUUCUGAUGAAUUCUGACUCUAGGGAGCUUCGAGAAGUUAACAUUCCACCAGGGGCAAGGCUUUUGAUACUAGAUCAUAUUAAGAGGUUUGUUCACAAGCUUCUCUACUUUUACAUGGAUCAAAUAUAUGAAUUCUAUCCAACCAUUCUCUGUUGUUUUGAGUGCAGGUACCCUAAGAUGGUAAACCGCAAGUGAGGAAAGCAGUAAUUUGACUCCAACCUUUUUGUCUAUAUGGUGAUGGUGAUGGUGAUGGUGACUUAGAAUUUUGGAGGUGUAGUUCUGAGACCUAGCCUUGCUAGUUUGUAAUAAUAACCUUAAGACUUAACCACCAAUGAAAUUCGAAGCCAAUAACAUAACUUUGUUCGCUGAAGUCUAAUGUUUGGUUAAGCAAAACAGCGUGGUGGCGGCUUCAGGUGUAUUCAAGUGCAUGCGUGUAGAAAAUAUCAUAGGAUGCGUGUGUGCUAUUUAUAGUAAGAAUAAGAUUGUUGUGCUGAAUGAGAAGUUUGCUCUACAAGUAAAUAGCGCUAUUAGCACUGAUACUUGAUACUCGCUUGUAGCCGCCGCUAGUGAUCCAUGCCUGUCGAAAAUCAAGCCAAGUACAAAUUAUCAGUUAUCUUCACUUAUUUGAAUCAAGCAAGCCAAGUACCAAUUAUCUUAAAUUGAAAAUUUGCAAAUAUGUCAAAUACCAAGUUUUAAAUUGUUGGAACUCGUUUUUGACAAAGUGGUGUGGACCAAUUUUCCGAUGGGUUUUUCGACGGAGACGUCUGUCGGAAGAACCGGAACUUGGGCACGAUGCAAUCGUCACCGUGAACACUAUGAGUUAGUGUAUUUGGUUGUCAAAAUCAGAGUUGUGUUGAAUGAGAAAUGGAGGUCCAAAGUGAGUGACUUGCAAAACUUAUAAAGUUUUAAAUUUGGUUAAAUAUAAAAUAUUUAGCAAAUUAGAUCACUUUGGAUAUAUGGGUUGGAAUUUGAAUUUAAAUUUGUUAAUUGGACAUUAUGUCAAUCAACUUAUUUAGUUAUUCUUAUUCAUGAUAAUUUGUAUAUUUAUAUAUAAAAUUAUAAACCCAAGCAAAGUAUAAUAAAGGUUGUUGAAUUGGUCAAAAUCAAGACAUUACUUUGCAAAGCUAACUUACAAGAAUCUUGGAAAUCAAUGCCAUUACUACAAUUGAUUCGUACGCUGACUCCUUAGAUUGCAUAACGUGCACUUCCUUUUGAUUAUAAAAGGAGAGCACUUGUGUAGAAAGCAACACACCCGAGACAAUUAUUUAUUAUUUUCUCAUCUUUCUCUUUGAUAUUUUCCUUGAGUCUGAGAGUAUACACAAAACUAGUUUCGUCAGGCUUCUGAUAGAGUGACGCAAAUCAGAAGAUUUUUGCAGUUGUAUCUUGGGACUCAUUACGUUAUCAAACCGUCGCACUACGGGACGUAUUUUGAGUUAAGGAAAGAGAUAAUAUCUCGCCUCUGCAGUUGUAUCAUCUUUUUCUUAAUCUUUGGUAUACUUUUAUCAAUUUUAUUCUUUACAAUAUUCAGCUCUCCGUAAUUUAUAUAAUACGGUCCCAUCAUAAAUUACUACACAGUUUAUUUGGACUUGUUACGCGCUCGAUUUUUUUGGUUAAACAACAUUGCAUGAGUUUUUACGGUUUCAAAAUCUUGGUCCACUAAAAUUUUAAAAUUAGCUGACCAUGAGUUUUUGUGCUUGGCUUAUAAUUGUUAAUUUGUUAUAAAUCAUGGAGGGGAUUGCCAUUAACCAGGCCCGGACCGAGACCGGCCCAAUACCUAGAAGAUGGAGAGAUGGCCGAAGCCUAGAGAGAAGAGAGAGAGAGCCAACUUCAGGAGAGAGAAUGGCGGCCACAAAGCUUGGAGAAAAUGAAAUUCUUUCCUUUUCCUAGUAGAUGUAAUCUUUCCAUUAUUAUGCAUUAGUAGUUUUCCUAAUCUUAGUAUGUUUAGGUUUUGGAUACUUUCCAUUUAUCUUUAUCUUAUAAUCCUUAUAUAAAGGAACCCCCUUGAUCAUUAAUAAUAACACAGAAAUACUCAGUCUCUAAACUCUCUAAUUACAACACGUUAUCAGCACAAUAGACUCAAAAACACUGAGACAAAACCUAACCUAAAAUCCGUCACACAUAAACCUUAAAUAAGGCGCAACUUAAAAUCGAACUAUCUCUCAAAUCCUCAGGAACCAGAUGACGAGCCACAUAUCAAAUUGAAGCUCUUGAAGAGACGAAUCUAUCCGCGAAAACCGUUUGUCGAUCCGAUCUCAGACGCGCCCACACUCGCAGAAACAAUACUCGGCACCGUCUUGAUCUUUUAGAACCCUAAUCCGAACCAACAAGAUUUUCUAGCCAAAUUCAAAUCCUGUGAAAGAUAAGUUUAUCAUACCUUAGUUGUUUGAUGAUAUCUUGUUCAGAUUAUGGUGUUCAUGUAAUCUAAUACUCCUUGUUUUUAUUUCAUGAGCUGAGAGGAGUUGGUGCAAAGAUCUCAAACACAAAGCUGUUCGCGAUCCAUAUAUUGACCAUGAACCGACGAUCUCAAGCUUGACCAGCUCACGGUUCUUCUCAUAUUGCUUCCUGUUCACAACAGAGCCAGCCCACGUUCGCAUUACAGCCAGCUCGCAAUUAGAUCAGCCGCUUGCAAAGGCAGCAGCUCGCGAACUAGAUAAGAAGAAGACGCGUCCCGAUCGCGUCCGACUACCUCAGCACACAUCCGUGACCAGACGCAAAAUCGUUCCAGACAGCUCGCGUCCAUGUGCAACUAGAGGUUCAUCUGACUUUGGUGGUUCGGUUCAACCCCACAAAAUAAAGGUAAUUCGAAAUCUGAAAACAAGAAUCGAAUUUGGUUGUUUUGUAAAGAUUGAAACCCUAAAAGAUAAUCUCUAAAACUAAAAGCCAUAGGUUAAAUAGAUCAAUCCCCUAUGAGUAAAUCGAAGAUCUAUAAGUUUGAUCUAAAACCUAAAAACGAGAUUGAUCCAUUGAUCAAUUAAAAUUAGAACCUUAAAGGGUUUUGAAUCUCAAAUUAAAUCCCCUUGAUCAAAGAUCAAAGUUUUCGAAAUCCCCUAAAAACCCUAAUUUUGGAAAAUCGGCUUUUAAUUUUGAUUUGAAACUUGAGUGUUUGAUUGAUCGCCUAGAGCUAUGAUUAAGAUUGUUUUAAAACUUGAAUCUGAAUCUUGUUUAAACUGAAACCCUAAUAUCGAAUUUUAAAAUUCCUAAAGGCCUUGAAACCUUAAAUCUCUCAUUACUUAAAAGCUUGAAAGAUUGAUUUAAAGAAUUUACAUAUUGAAUGAGAGUUAGGUUGCUAGAUUAUUUAAUUCUAAAACCUAAUAGAUAUGCAACUAAGAAAUAGGAUUGAAUGCAUCUAGAUCCCGUUUUGUAUAUGGUCGUAUAGCCUAAUACAUUGUUCAUACUUGCGGCCUUGUGCCUUUGAUUGAUUAAAAGCCGUGUGACUUAGUGCAUAUCAAAGUGACCGUGUGGCCUAGUAUCCGGAUGGUAAUAUAAACCGGAUUGCAUCAUGAUCUGAUCCUUAAGAUCGUUGUAUCUUAUAAUGGCCGUGAGGUAUAAGCAUCACAAUGAAAAGCCCUAUGGCCUAAGCAUCAUAGACAGACUUAUGAAAUCAUGUGCACUGAUUAUUUAAAUUGGUUGCAAGAAUUCUAAAUCAUGAAUUGAUUGAUGAUUUCAGAUGCCGAGAUUUGAACCCAUGGAUUAUGCCAUUCUAAAUCUGUCUGGAGAUAAUUAUCUAGAAUGAGAAAUGAACACCUCAAUUGCCCUGAAGUCUAAAGGACUCGGGAAAUGUAUCAUUGAAAGAAAUGAUGAAAUUGAAAGUGAAAAGUUAAGAGCCAUUACAAUAAUGCGCCAUCAUCUCACUAAGGAACUGAGAAAUCAGUAUCUACAUAUUGAGAAUCCUCGUGACCUUUGGACAUAUUUAAAGUCCAGAUACACUAUGGUAUUAUUACCAAAGGUCAAACAUAAAUGGAUGAGUCUCAGAUUCCAAGACUUUGAGACAGUGGCCGAGUUUCACUUUGCCUUGUCCAGGGUCGUGUACCAACUGAGAUUAUGUGGAGAAGAGGUAACAGAUAAUGAUUGUCUAUUCAAGCCAUACUCUACAUUCCAUCCAGAAGAUUUGUUCUCAAAACAUAUAUACAUAGAAAGAGGUUCUACCACUUACAAUGACCUGAUCUCUUGCCUAACGGUGAUUGAGAAUGACAAGGUACUAAAGAAAAGCAGUGAGAUGAAAUAUCUUGAGGAAAUGGAUCAAGAUGAAUCCAAGGCAGUCGUGUCCAAUGCAAUAGAUGGACAUGCCAGCUUAUCUAUUUAACUAAGAGGGAUCUCGACAUUUUAUUUUAAAGUCCUUGUGCUUUUAACCUACUUGAUGGUUCACGAUUUUAUAUAUACAAUGGAAUUGGUUUUGAAUUCAUUGUCUUGUCUUAUCUUACUUGAACAUAUAAGUUGCCUAAAGGGCAUAAAACCAAGUAAGAAAUCAUGAAUGAGUAUAGUAAGCAUAGUAAAGAAACUAUGGCUAAGGCAUUGCCUUAAAAGACAUUAUACACACCCAAAAGAACAUGUGACCCAUUGAAGUUAUAAUGUAUGGUUUCCAAGUAGAAACAAUGGGUAAGAAAGGAAACAAGUUCCUUUAGAUUUUAAGAAGAAAAACGCCUAAGACCUUGAAAGAAAGUGGUCGAGACUAUACCUAUGAUCUCUACUGAUCAAAACUAUGCUACAGAUCAGUAUGAUAAAGAGGCAAGAGAUGUGGUAACCAUAUUGAGAUAACACCACAAAAUUUUACACUAUAUGGCAUGAUAGGAUUAGCCAUCCUAAAGUCUAAACUUGAUGCAAAGAUUGAAAAGGCACAGAGUUAUCCCGUAAAAGAUCUCACGUUGUGAAACAUGUACACAAAGGAAAACUCAUUAGGCUUAAUUGUCCCAAGCACCACGACCUUAUAGUAUGGUCAUGAGGGGGAGAGAGGAUAAACCCAUGAUCAAUACUACAAGUUCGUGUAUGGUCUACGACCAUGUUAUAUGGCUCGGUCAUUACUCGGCCAUAAAAGACCAUUCCUCGGCCGUAGAGGCCAUGAUACAAACGGCCAAACUGAAGAGGCCAUUACUCGGCCGAAGAGACCAUGUUAUGGUCGGCUGCAAAGACCAUCACCUAUAAACGGCUUGGCCACGACUUGGCCAUGACUUGGCUAUAUAGUGCAGGCUUGGCCGCAUAUAAGCCAUUACCUAUAAAAGGUUCGGCCAUGUAAGCCAUUAUCUAUAAGACUAAGAUUCUAAAGUCUAUAAGCUUGGAGACAUUAUGUUUUACAUGUAUAGAAUGAUAAUAUGAUCAUAUGCAUCAGGCCAUAUAAGUGAGGAUAGACAUUCCCAUCUCAGAUUGAAUACGAGUCAUAAAAUCAGACAUACACCAUCUUAAGAGAUUUUGAAUAAACCACCACAUACAUAUAUGUGCCGUCUAAGAUGGAACCUCAGAAAAGGAUUGAGAAUAUAUAAGAAUAUGAAUUUCUCCACGAAAUCAAAAGGACCGAGAGCCAAAACAUGGGUUAUCAAAUAGUGGCCAGGUACGGAUUGCAUGAAACAAAUGAAUCCGAAUAUUAAAGGAGAAAGAUUAUAAGCUGGAUAAAGAAUGUUAAAAGUACGAAUGGUUUUAACCAUCAUUGUCUUGGCAAAGAUCCUCGGACUAGAGAAUAUAAUUUAAGACGUCCAAAGAAAGAUUAUAUAAAGCUAGCUAAUUGAGAAGCUAAUCGAAAUGUCAGACACUGACCCGAGAAAUGACUAACCAGCUUAGCACCAAAUGAAUGUCCUAGAAGAGACAUAAUCAAGUUGCUAUAGAGUCUAUACAAGAUAGACCAAGUGUUCCAUAAGAUAAAGGAAUCUCGGAUAGAAAAGAAUGGUGCAUAGAAUACAUAUCCGAGAUGAUAAGAGAAACCAUACCAGACAUUGAGAAAAGGUUGCGCAGCUACACAUCUAAGGUACCAAACCAUGUAGUCUUGGGAAGCCAAGCUACUAGGUAAUAAAGGUCCUGGAUAAUAAGAUCUCAAAUCUAUAGAUCAUGUCUGGAACAUAAUGGAACCACAUGAAAGUGUCGACACACACACACAUAUUUGUAUAAAGAUACAUAAAGUUAUAGCACUUGAACAUAAAGAGAUGAACGAGGAUCAUGAACCCACGAAAGAGUACUCAUAAAAUCAUAAAAGAUCAUAGAGAUUAGAAAAGAUAAAACGUGGAGAUUCAAAGUAUCUAAAAGAGAGAUGGGCAUAUUGGCCAUAUACAUAUACAUAAACGCCAUCUGAUCAACCAGUAGAUGGAUCUUGUGAGAAGUAAAGAAACCAUGAGAGAUGUACAUGAUGUAAAGGUGUUCAUGUUUUCCUUAUAACAGCAUUCGAUUAUAGCUUGUUACACAAGGUACUCACAUAGAUCAAAGGAACAGAUUAUAAGGAGAUAAACUCCUAUGUGGUGGAUGCUGCUACAGAUUUUCGAAAUUGAAAAUGGUCUGGUCAUAAGAAAGAAAUUAGAUACAAUGAUGUAGUAAGCAGCAUAUGGAUCACUGGAUAAGAUGAAAGAACCGCUUUGUUCCUAAGCUGAUUCAUGGACUGAAACAUAAAGCAGCUGCAUAUAGUAUGUAAAAGAAAUUGAUCACGCAUGAUCAUUGAACUUGGAGUUGUAUAAAAGACAAUCCAAUACAGUCCAUAUAUAUUUGAAAUUCCUUGUGAUUAUACUAAACCUAAAAAAGGUUAGUAGGCAUAGAAUAAAUCUAUGUGGGUGUCCGACCAAAAGCGUCCGGCCCCGGCCCUUCAAACUAAAGAUGUCCGACUCUGUCCGUCUAAGGGCGUCCGGCUCUUCAGCAAAGAACGUCUGGCUCUUCUACUAGACGCGUCCGGCUUUUAAGACUAAAAGGCGUCUAGCCCUUCUUCUUGAUCACGAGCUAGUAGAGACAAAAGAUCAACCGGAUACAAAUGUAUUGUAGUCCAUAAGCUUGUGAGAGCCGAGAUCUAUGACCUAAUAAUAUAUAUUUCAGUGUGUGAUAUAAUCCACAGCAACAGAGGUCAUGAGACACCAUCAAGAGAUGGAUAAAGGACUACAAUGUUCGAGAUAGAUAUGGUACUGCCUAAGGCAAAGAGAUCGAUGUCCACAUCCAUGAGAGUGUUCGGCCGCAGAGCCAUAAUAACAGAUUAUAAACUCACAUCAAUGAUCAUUGAUCUUGAACACUCAUGAGACAAGUAGUGGCCAUGUAUAGACGAGGUCUAUGACCCAGACAUGGAUCAGCCAAAUCGAGACAUAGGUUCAUGAUAACCAUGUCUAGUACAUUGUCCAUAAGUACUUAUUUCGUCCGAUCAAAGUAAAGAGUUAACAGUAGACGAUCACGUCUAGACUAUGGACACAUGCAAACACGAUUUGCAAAGACCCAAUAGUGAUCCCCAAGAACAAUAUGGUUCACAUUAUUUAGCACACAUGCUUUACCGGGACACUCGAUGUCAAGAGACAUGAGAAACGACCUAAGAGGUCAAAGUGGUCUAGAUACGGCUUAGUAAUGAACUUGGCCGAUUACUCCCUUCCUACAUAUACAGGAAAGAUCACGUACCAGAUGCGUAGAAUGUAGAAACCUACAGUGAGGUUCACAUCAGGGGGAGUGGUGCGUGUUGUACUUUUUUUCCUUCAUCAUGGUUUUGUCCCACUAGGUUUUCCUGAUAAGGUUUUAAUGAGGCAACAUGAAGCGUACUACAAAUCCUGUAUGGUUAUGGCAUCCAAGGGGGAGUGUUAUAAAUCAUGGAGUGGAUUGCCAUUAACCAGGCCCGGACCGAGACCGGCCCAAUACCUAGAAGAUGGAGAGAUGGCCGAAGCCUAGAGAGAGGAGAGAGAGAACCGACUUCAGGAGAGAUAAUGGCGGCCACAAAGCUUGGAGAAAAUGAAAACCUUUCCUUUUCCUAGUAGAUGUAAUCUUUCCAUUAUUAUGUAUUAGUAGUUUUCCUAAUCCUAGUAUGUUUAGGUUUUAGAUACUUUCCAUUUAUCUUUAUCUUAUAAUCCUUAUAUAAAGGAACCCCCUUGAUCAUUAAUUUACUUUUUGUUUCAAAAUAAGGUACUUUUACUAAUGUUGAAAAGUUGUAUACUUUUAAGAAACAUUAAUUGAAAAUAUUUGAAUUGGUUGAAUAUUAUUGGUUGAUAUUUAUUGGAAAAUAUAUAGUAAAAUAAAUAAUAAAUUCAUUUGUAAAAAAAUAAUUAUUUUCUUAAUAUGCGUGAAUACUCUAGAAAAUCUUUUUUUCGGAAACAUAUGAAGUAUUCGCCCAGUUCCUUCUUGAAAAAUCAACAGACUAUAACAUGCUGGUAGGAACAAGAAACAGAACAAUCUAAACCUUUUAAAAGGUUUGUACAAUCUCUACGUGUAGAUUUUAACCACAUACAGUUCAUUUAAAGAUUGUCUAACCAUACAGAAACAUGCGACCGGCAUAUAAACAAUUAUGUCCCCUCUACCUCAUAUACAAACAACCAACUCUAAACAACAUUCUUUAAUUUUUAAUUCAUUUUUUCUUUUAUUACUUUUACAAUUUUAUUAUGUAUUACAUCAUAUAUUCAAUAAGAGGAAGAUAAGAUAGUAACGUGCAUAUAUUUUCCCUCUCUAUCCUAAACAUUUGACCUUUUAAACACCAUAUGCUUUGCCAAACAUUGCAUAAAAGUUAUAUUACUCAAGUGGAAUGAAUCGAAAAGCCAAAAAAAAAACAUACACGAAUCGAGAAAUAUAUUCCAAACUCGAGACGCAUUAGAGAUAUGUGAAAGUAUUUGUAAACAAGAGUGAAGAAGAAACUGAAAUGCUUUUGCUUUAGCUUUCUUGCUUAACGUUUGUGGUUACAAAGCUAAAGUAUUUUGUAAACGCAUUUGACAGCUUGGUCUGAAAAGCAUGGUCUGAGCUGUUCGUGGUAGUCUAGUCAUCAUCCUUGUCGUACAGAUAUCUCUCUUCUCCUUUUGAUUUAACGAGUGCUGCUCUGUUUGUCCUGAUCUCUCUUGGGCUAUGUUGGGCUUGUCUGGCUGUUGGGUUUCAAACUCACCGUAGCCCACUUUGGCCUUGCCUUUGUCGAGUCUUAAUAAUACUAGUGUUACUUUCCGUGCUAUGCACGUGCAAGAAUCUGAUAUAUUUUUAAUUUAUUUACUAUAAUUGUAAAUUUAAAUAAAUUAGUAAUCUUUAAAUAUAUUAUAUUUUUGGAUAACACUGAAGUAAAUCUGUUGAAACUAUUUUACAUAAUAUCUAAAAUUGUUUAAGAAAAACAAUGUUCAUAUCUUUAAUCUCAACCGGGAUUUAGAGGCUUUUAAAUGUAAAUGUUAAUUUACAUUUAAAAUUAUCCAACCUAAACUCAAAGAGAGAGUGGAUGAUGUAUUAGAUAAGAAGAAAAGACUUAUAUUAAUAAUAUUGAUAGAAAGCAAAAACCUGUGCAGAGUGUUUUGGCUACGAUGGUGAGAACAAAAAGAAGGUGAAAUGGUGGUGAUAAAGAAAAAGGAAACGAGAAAACUAUCGUAUGAUGAUGGUGUUCGGUUGAGAAUAAUUAGGAGAACGGUUUGUGAGAUAAAUAAUCAUGGGUGGUUAUUCUAUAUUUAUCUCUUGUAAAUGUUAAUUUAAUUUUAUGGAGUUGGUAUUUUAUCUAUCCUUGAUCCGUAGAUUUUUUUAAAUCAUAGAAAAUAGACAAUGUAAAAAAAAAAGUUAUAAGAAAUUGCUUUACCUGAUUGGGUCGUAAAAGGUUGGUUAUUUGUCUUAUUUUCAAAAUUUUAUAUGUUGAUAACGUGUUUUACUUUUCUGUAUUUUUCAAUUUUUUUUAAAAAAAAUAGAUUUUCUACUUGUCAGUUUUAGAUUGGUGAUGCAGACUUCCGCUUUAUUAUAUAAGGAUGAUGGUACCAAACACAAAUAAAUGGGCCUGAGGCCCAAACAUAUAUUAUAACUCAAUGGAGGCGACACGAUAAAUAGAAGCAAAAGCGAGGCGAUUUGCCGGCGGAGGAGUUACGAUGAUGUUGGAGCGUUCGUCGCCGAAGGAAAUGAAUCCGACUCUGUCCAAGCUGCUGAUAAAACCCGUCUUAGCUACCGCAUAUGGCGGUAUCGUCGGAGCUUUUUUGGGCGGUACCGUAGGAAUGGUCGUGAUGGGCCUGGCAGGGCGUAACCCUCAACUCCUAGCCCGUUCUGGUGCGUCGUUGUUUCGAAGUCUUCAGUCACCAAUUUGUCACUGCCUUGUUCUGUGGAGUCUCGUGAUUCCUGUUCUUCAAGCCUCCGGAAGGAAGCUGGGGUCGAUGUACUCUGCCUCUUGGACUCUUGCUUUAACAUAUCUUCUCGUGAUGGAGCCGGAGUAGAAAGUAUAAACCUCCACCUGCAUUGCAAGAGACUGUUUGUGUUUCAAUGAAUGUUUUUGCUCUUGUCCUCUUGGAUCUACUACAGGUACCUCCUUCUUAAGCUUCUGGAGUUUGGUCAGUUUUGGAGUCAGCUUCACCUUGCGAUGGCCGGGGCCGGGACGCCUAACCGCCUCCGCCUAUCUGCGUUGUGAUGUCUCCUUCCGGAUUGUCUCUAUACUGAUCUCUCUAAUGGCGUCUUGGCUUUUUGCGGUUUCGACCGUUUCUAAACUUUGCCUAACGGAUGGCCGAUAGCUGAUCUCUUUACCUUUUAUUUUAGCCUUAAAUUGUUCACCAUGAAUUAGUUUAACCCUAACCUUGAGUUUAAGAAUUUUUUUUUAUCUUUUUUGGGGGUUUUUAGAUAGCUCAUUGCUAAGUCUUAGCAGCUUUAGAUUCAAGUCUUUCUUGUAUCUCAAUGCCAUUUCUAUAAAAUGAAAUCACAUUUUGUCCCAAAAAAAAAGUCCUAGCCCCACUGAGUCGAACUCGGGUUUUGUUCAGCUUCAUAAACCCUAAACCCCCAUUUUUUUCCAAGUAAGGUGGUCAUAACUAAUCAAAGAGAACUGGGUUUCGUGAAUCAGUUUGUUCGUAAGUGUGCUGGGGUCUUUUCAGUAAUUUCCGCUGCAGAUUGUGGAAUUGAAUCCGUAAUGAAAGGAAUCAGAGGCAAAGAUUGUUACGAAUCGGUAAAAGUUUCAUUCUUUCCAAACUCUUCAAGUUGUUUCGCUAAUGUAACUAUGCUUUCAAGAUGUCUUCUUUGGAUUGAUGAAGCCUGUUUUAUUUUAUAAUUUGCAGUUUGGUCUCAGGAUCAGGUGCUGGGUUGACAUUCUGUUUUUUGAGCAAAGGCUUGAAAGCCCGACCUGAACAGGCACUCUUCAGCGCUGCGGGUUUCGCUGUUAUGUCAGCAACAGCGUAUAAGGUGAUUUGAUUGAUUCUUCAUUAAUCAAUUCACAAGAGUAUAUAUCUUCUUCUUACUUACAAAACACCGUCUUUGUUUUCCCUUCAGAUGAUGCAAACAACCAAACCGCGCAAUGCCCAAGACGCCUUUUACAUAGAGACAAAAGCUAUGCUAUCGAAGCUAGGCCUUGAGGAGUACGAGAAGAAUUUCAAGAAGGGACAUCUCACUGAUUUCACCUUACCAUUGCUCACUGACAGGUUACAUUAUACAUCUCCUUCAAGCUUGAAUUUUAUUAUGUAGCAACUAGCAACUAUAAACUAAUCCCCCUUUCUGAUGAAUUUUGAAUCCAGUGACCUAAAAGACGUGAACAUUCCAUCAGGGGCAAGGCGUCUGAUACUUGAUCAUAUCAAGAGGUUUGUUCACAAGCUUCUCUACUCUCACAUGGAUCAAAUGUAUGAAUUGGAUCCAACCAUGCAUUCUCUGUUGUCCUGAGUGCCGGUGCAAUAAGAUGGUAAACCGCAAGUGAGGAUAGCAGUUAAUUGACCCAACCCUUUUGUCUAUAUGGUGGUGAUGACUGAGAAUCUUGGUGGUAGUUCUGAGACCUAAACAUGCUAGUUCGUAAUAAUAACCUUUAGACUUAACCAUGCAUGAAAAUCCAAAGCCAAGAACAUAACAUAAUUUAUUUGAUGAAAUUUGAUGUCUGCUUAACUGCAUCUCCAAUUGGUAUCCUUAAAUUUUCUUUCCAAAUGAGUUUGUUUUUACUCUAAUAGUUGCUUUCAUUUUUCCCAUUUUAAAAAUACAUUUUAUGUAUAUUCUAUUAUUACUAUUUACUAUUAAAUUUAAUAAUGAUAUUUAUUUAAAAACUUACAAAUUUUAUCCAACUAUAAUUUUAUUUUAGCUAAAUAUUUAUGUUAUAUAUGAAUAUUAACUAUAUAAGAAUUUAAAGACAAUACGUAAAUAAAAAGUAUUUUCUCAAAUUUGAAAAAUACCUUUUUAUUUUUUUCUUUCUAAAUUUUAUAUAUUAAAACAGAAGUCACAACCUUGAUUCAUGUGUGAUUUUUUUUAAAUAGAUCUAAUAGACAUAUUCCUAGAAAGUCAUGUUACAUUUAAUCUCUAAUCUUAUCAUUAAAAUUUUGGACCUGCCAGAAAUUUUUAUUGGGCUAUCAAUAAUUGGAUUUAAACAAUAGAUGAUCUAUUGAAUUUAUAGAUAGUAUAAAUUAAAUAGAUAUGAUUUAAUGUUGUAAUACUAUACCUCCAUAUGUUAAUUAUUUAAAUAUUUGUCGAUGUUAACUUUUAAAAUUAUAAAUAUUUUUUUUUAAAUAAAAAAAAUCAUAUUAUCUAACAAUGAUUAAUCUUUACUACCUUAAACUAAUGAAAACAAAAUUAACUAUAUGGUUUAUUUUAAAAAUUAAACAAAAAUUAAAUGUUUAAUUAUUUACUCGAUAAUAUGAAUAUAUGAAGCGAAAAGUUUAAUUUUUUAAAAAAAAUUUAAAUUUGUUAAAUGUUACAAUAUUUUUGAAUAUGACAAUAAAAUAAUAUUUUACUAAUCUCUCUAUAUAUAUAGUUACGAUUUUAAUAAUGAAAUAAUAAUCCGAAAUAUAUAUAUAGAAGAAGAUACAAAUACAUGUGAAAGUUUGAAACAAUUUAUUCAAUGAAAAAAUAUACCGUAUACUUAUUAUGUUUUAAAAAUUGAUAGACACAUAUAUAUUAUAAUAUAUACCAAUUUAGAAUUGAAAACAAAAUAUUUAUAUAAAAAUAAAUGAAAAAGAAAAUCCGCGCGGUUGCGAAGGUCGAGAUCUAGUAAUACAUUAUUAAAGAUGAUUUUUUUUCAUUUUUAAUGUUUUCCUCAGAUUGGAGGAUCACUAAAAUGGUCUAAAUGAAACAACAAGUUAGCACGACCUUAAUUCAAAUAUCAAACCAGAACCUCGUAAUCUACAUUCAUUGAUCUCAUCUCUCGUCUUCGCCAUCAUUUGAAGAGAGAGAGAGAGAUGUUUCUUCUAGUCACCAACCUCACCUUUUCUAGAGAACACAUUAGAAUGUCCAAAAUUCCAAAAGUCUUACUUUAUAUGUUUUAUUUUCUGUUUUAAUUUAUGAUUUAGCUGUAUAAUUUUUUGUUUACAAGCGUCAUUAAUUUUUUUAGGGAGAUUUUAAGUUUACCUAAUUUUUAUACCAUAAAUAAUUAUUAAUAUAAAAUAUCUUCUAAUUUUUAGGGACAUUAUUACAAAUAUCUUCUUUAUUUAAAAUGCAAAAGAUCUUUGAGAAAAAGACCAAAAUAGCACUAAAUCAAGUUUUUGUUCCCAAACUAGCACUCAAGGCUAAAAAUCACAAAAAUAGCAUUCAAGUGGUGGGGUUUAGGGUUUAGAGUUUAGGGUUUAGGGUUUAGAGUUUAGGUUUUAGGGUUUAGAGUUGAGAAGUGAGGUUUUGGGGAUAAGAUUUCAAAUUUUGAAAAAUAAAAAAAUUUAAAUUUUUCAAAAGAUAAAAUGCUAUUUUGGUCAUUUUAGUUUUUGAAUGCUAUUUUGUGAUAUAAACUUAGAAAUGUGCUAUUUUGGAGAUUUGCCCAAGAUCUUUUUACCAUUGCUUUUUAGAUAUAUAAAUAUAUAUAAUUAUUUCAAUGAAUAACAAAACAUAUUUUUUUAAUAGUUUUUCAAAUUAUACGUAUUCAGAUUUGAACUUUUAAUAAACCAUUUUUUGUACUUUUUUGAAUUUUUUUCAGACUUUCUUUCGAAACUCUAUUUUUUUUUUACUUUUAAAAUUUUUUAUUUUAAAUAUUAAGUAUUAAUUUAUAUAUUUAUCAAAGUGUUAAUCCAAAACUCCAUCCCUCAAAUUUAAAAUCUAAGUUUAGAUUAGUUAAUCCUAGUGUUAUAAAAGUAUAUUUACUUCUUUAAAAGCUAAGGGUAAAUAUUGUUAAGAUACAUGAAAAGUGGUAUUAGGAAUGUGGUAGUUUAAAUAAUUUCUCUUACUUUUAUUAUAUUUUUAAUAAUAUAAAACUUUCAAUAUUAAAAUUUAAAAUUUAAUUUCAAUUAUUAGCUGUUUAUUAUUGGUUACUUCUUAUAUUUUGUUUUGGUUAAACUUUACAUACCUCAGGAUUAUUAGUGUUUAUUUACUUCUUUAAACUAAAGAUAAAUGUGUUUAAGAUAAACAUGAAAAAAGGUAUUAGAAAUGUGGUAGUUUAAGCAAUUUCUCUUAUUUUAUUAUAUUUUUGAAUAAUAUAAAACUUUAAAUAUCAAAAUUUUAAACUUAAAAUUUAAUUUCAAUUAUUAUUUGAUUAUUAUUGGUUAUUUUGAAAAUUGAAAUUUUAUAUAUUUGGUUUUGGGCAAACUUUUUUUUUUGAAAAAAAUUUUGGUUAAAUUUUGAUGGUUUUAGAUAAAAAGCUGAACUGAAACAGUAUUAUAUUGUGGAAGCACCGUAGCCUAAUGGUUAAGGUUUAAAGGCUUCUACACCCAGGUCUGGGGUUCGAAUCCCAGACUAUGUAAUUUAUUGCAGAAUACAGGAAAUCCAAGUUUCAAAUCCCGGAAAGAGCAAUUUAUUACUGCAGACUACUGAAGCAAAUCCAGUCAGGCGUGGAUCUUCAUAGGACGGCUCAGGUGAUGCAGUUAGGCGUAGAUCCUCGUAAAGCAGGUAGUAUUUCCGGUUGUUAAAUCGUCUAUGUAAUAUUUCUCAUAAUUGUAAUGUCAUAAUAAAUCAGCUUAAAAAAAAAAAAACCGAAUUAUAUCCUAUUUUGAGUAUUUAUAGAUACAAAAUAUCUGGAACUGAACCGACACGAAAUCGAUCGAAUACCUAAACGUAUAUGCAUAUUUGCAUCUAUGAGGUAAUGUGUAUAUGCCUUUUGUAGUAAAACCGUUGUGCUAAAUGAUAGGGGUGCGCAAAUAUCAAAUAUUUGAACUUUUAGAGGUAUUAGUGAUUCGAUUCAUUUUAUUUGGAUAUCAUUUAAGGUGUAUGUAUCUUAUAUAUUAAAAUGGAAGUCACAAUCUUGAUUCAUGUGUGAUUUUUUUAAAAAUGGACCUGAUAGAUCUAUUCUUAGAAAGUCAUGUUACAUUUAAUCUCUAAUUUUAUCAUUUAAAUUUUGGGUCUAACAUAAAUUUUAUUGGGCUAUCAAUAAUUGGAUUUAAAUAACAGAUGAUCCAUUGGAUUUAUAGAUAGUAUAAAUUAAAUAGAUAUAAUUUAAUGUUUUAAUACUAUACCUCCAUAUCUUAAUUAUUUAAAUAUUUGUUGAUGUUAACUUUUAAAAUUAUAAAGAUUUUUUUUAAAUAACAAAAAUUAUAUUAUCUAACAAUGAUUAAUCUUUACUACCUUAAACCAAUGAAAACAAAUUUAAAACUAUAUAGUUUAUUUUAAAAACUAAACAAAAACUAAAUGUUCAAUUAUUUACUCGAUAAUAUAAAUCUAUGAAGCGAAAAGUUUAAUUUUUUAAAAACUUUCUAAAUUUAUGAAAUGUUACAUUAUCUUUGAAUAUGACAAUAAAACAAUAUUUUACUAAUCUUUAUAUAUAUAGUUGCGAUUUUAAUAAUGAAAUAAUAAUCUGAAAAUAUAUAUAUAGAAAAAGAUACCAAUACAUGUGAAAGUUGAAACAAUCUAUUCAAUGAAAAAAUAUACCGUAAACUUAUUAUGUUUUAAAAAUUGAUAGACACAUAUAUAUUACUAAUUUAGAAUUGAAAACAAAAUGUUUAUAUAAAACUAGGAGUUUUCCUUCGCCAUGCGCAGAUAUAAAAUAUUUAAAAAUGUUAUAUAUAAAUAAAAUUUUCUAUUUUUAUAUUUUACUUUUAUUAGUUUAAAAAAUAAAACCAUAAUGUAAUUGUUUUUAGUUUGAUUUAUUCAAGUUUACUUUGAGCUUUUAAUUUUUCAUUAUUUAACUUUUGAUAAAAAUAAUUGAAAUUUAUAAAGUUACUUUAUUAUAUUAUUCUUUAUUUAAUUACCAUUUUUAAAUAUGUCUAUUUGUAAAUAUAUAAAUUAUUUCUAAUAAUAUAUACAUUAAAUAAAAAUAACUUAUAUACGUUGAUAAAUAUAUUUUAAACUACACUUAUUUUAAUAAUAAAAAUGUGAUUCAUAUAUUGAUGUAAAAUUUUAAUAUUCGUAAUUAUUAUUUAUAUAUAAAAACAUAUUAUUUUAAUAGAUAUAGAAAAGUUAUUAGGUAUCAUAAAAUCUUACCAAAAUGAAUAUUUACUGAGAAAAAAAUGUUUUUGAUAUAUAAUUUAUUAGUUAUUACUAUAUUAUGAAACUUUUUCAAAAAUAUAAAUCUGUAUAUAGAAAAUCAUCAUUAUUAUAUUUAAGAAAUCUUACCAAAAACAUAAAUGUAAAUAUAGUAAAUUUUACAUGUCACAUUUAGAUUUAUGCCAUGUCAUAUUUUUUUUAAGCCAUGUCAUCAUUUUUUUGUGAAAGUUAAUGUAGUGAUGACAUAUAUACAAAUCACUUCUCAAAUAUAGUCUAAGGGAUUAAAUGAAAACAAAAACCGCGCGGUUGCGCGGAUCUAGAUCUAGUGUCCACCUAAAUGAGAACUUUCCUCUAGAAGUAAAUGGCAAUACAGUAAUUAGAAAAUGGAUAUCCGCUGUAAAUGGUUUAUGGAAAUCAACACAUCCCAUCCUUUACUUGACGAGCACGUCGAAUAACAAUAUCUAAAGAAUAAAAAGACGAAGAGAGAAAAAAGCAAAGAGGGAUGCAAGGCGAACAAACAAUGGCGACGCGAUUAGCCGGCGGCGGAGAUACGAUGGCGGUGGAUCAUUCAUCAUCGAACCAAACUCAUCCGACUCUGUACAACAAGCUGAAAGAAACUGUCUUGAAUACCACAAUUGGCGGUGUCUUCGGAGCUGUUUCAGGCGGUAUAGUAGGAAUGGUCAUCAUCGCCCCAAUAGGCCGGCGUUACCCUCAAGUCCUAGCCCCACUGAGUCGAACUCAGGUUUGUAUAGCUUCAUAAACCCUAAACCCCUUUUCCAAGUAACGUCAUUUCUAAUCAAAGUAAAUGGGGUUGCAUGAAUCAGUACGCUCGUCGGUUUGCUCGGGAGUAUUCGGCUUUAUCCGCUGCAAUGUGGGGAAUUGAAUCCAUAAUGCUUGGAAUCAGAGGCAAAGAUGAUCUUACAAAUAGGUAAAGUUUCAUUCUUUUCAAACUUUGCUUUUGAUCAUCCUGUUUAUGUGUCCUUGUCUGAGUACAGACUACAAACUUUACACUUUCCUUAGCUGAGAAUCUUCAACUUGUUUCUCUAAUGCUAUAUCUUUGACACUGUUCUUUACUAAUAUUGAUUGAUGAAACCUGUUUAUGUUUUAAUUACAGACUUUGUUUCUGGUUGAGUUUUGACAUUGGUUAUAAAUUUGCAGUUUGGUCUCAGGAUCAGGUGCUGGCUUGGCAUACUCUUUUGUGAGACAUGACUUGAAAGUAAAGCCUGCACAUGCACUCUCCUGGGCUGCUUAUUUGGCUGUUUUGUGUGGGACAAUGUAUAAGGUGAUUGAUUUUGAUACUUAUGAUGAGGCCAAUCCUCUAGACUUAGAAACGCAAGAAGGGCCUUGUUGCAUAAAGGGCUGAACUAUCAUCUGCUUGUAAUUAUCUGAACCCAAGAAGAGUUGGUUCUACCUUGUGGAUGCUUCUAGAAGUAAGGGAAGAAGCUGGUUGAGCAAGGAACAGUUGCACGUGCAGCUAACGGAGUCGCAUGGGAUGUUGGGUGACGUGGGGUGUCCUUGUUAUGGGUUUAAGUAAGGGUGUGAGGGGUUUUCUUUAUCAUUUUAACGAUCAUCAUGUUCAUGGAGAGAGAGUCUCUCAUCGUUGUUCUUUCUCUGUAAACUCUUGUCAUUCAAUAAGAAAUACCCUUUUACAUAUUACAGAUCCACUGAUUGUUAGUUUGCUCAUACAACCCAUAACAGAUUGUUCAUUAAUCAAUACAAAGAGUUAUAUCUUCGUCUUGCUUCACACGGUUUUUGAAGAGCACGUCGGGUGAAUGAAACAAACAUAUCUCGCAAUGCCCAAAAUGCCUUUUACACAGAAGCUAGGCCUUGAGGAAUACGAGAAGAGCUUCAAAAAGGGCCGGGACAUCUCACUGAUUGCACCUUGCCAUUGUUCACUGAUAGGUUAUACAUACUUCUCCUUCAAGCUUGAGUUUAUUAUGUAGCAACCAACUAUAAACUAAUCCUCUUUCUGUGAAUUCUUUAAUCCAGUGACCUACAAUAAGUGAACAUACUCCGUUAACAAUUUUUUAUGUGUCUUUCCGCUCCCAUAAAUUUCGGUUUAGUGUAAAAUUUGAUCCGUAUAUUUCUAACAGAUUUUGUCACGUAACAAAGUGAACGACUGUAGUGAGAGAGGCUUUGUAAAGAUGUCUGCAAGCUGUUGUGCAGACGGCAUAUUAUAUCCCCUCUCUACGUCAUAACUUGCCACUUCAGCAGCUUUGUUCUUCCUCCUCGAGUAAGUAUAUUUAUGCCUAUCAAAUAGUUUGUGGUGUAGUUAUGUGACCGUUCGAUAUUAGUCUACUAUAAAUCUAUAACAAAGAUCGAUAUGAGUCUAUUAUAACAAUGAUGCGUUGAAAUUAGUGAGUAAAAUAUUAUAAAAAUAGUUUUAAUUAUAUUAUCGUGUUUAAUGAUUAUUUAUUUUAAAUAUAUAUAUAUAUAUAUCUUCGCAUCUAAUUUUAAAUAUAUACAUAUAUAUAUAUAUAUAUAUAUAUAUAUAUAUAUAUAUAUAUAUAUUUACAUAUAAAUAUAAAUUCUAAUAAAUUUGAGACUAUGUUUGUUUUAGUUAAACUGAAUUUUUUUUUUGAUGAAAUAUUAAAUUUAUUGAUCAUUUUUGAAAAAAUGUUUAUGUACAUCUAUAAGGCGUUUACUAACUGAACCUUAUUAAAGAAUCAACAAAUUUGGAAGCCUAUGAAAAAAUUAUAGAUCACUUCUUUAAUUUAAACGAUGAAGAUGAACAAAUAAAUUUAAAUAAUGUUUAAAUAUUUAACUAUCAAUUUUUUUUUGGAUUAGUGUUACUUUAUUUAGUUUAUUUUUAUUAAUGUGAGAUACAUAUAUACAUAUAUAUUAUUAUUUUAAUUGUGAUAUAUGAAUUAUUAAUAUAUUUAAUAGUUUACCAUAAAUAAAUAUUUAUAUGAAAAAUUGACAUGAUAUAUGAGUUAUUUUUAUUACCAUAUUUAAAAUCUCUGCAAAAAAAAUUAAAUUUUUAUAAGGAAAUUUUACAUUUCACAAUUAAUAUGAUGUAAUGUCACUAUUUUCUAAAACCAUGUUAUCUAUUUUAAAUGUCAUGUCAUCUUUUUUUCAGCGAAAAUGAUUGUAGUGACGACAUGUGUAUAAAUAACUUUGCAAAUACAGUCUGGGGAUUAGAAAGCUAACAUCAUUAUUCCAUUCUUCCAAUUUAUUAUGUUGUUGACCUUCUGAACACCAUAUGAUUUGCCCAUGAUUUGCCCAUGAUUUGCCCAACAUAGCAUAUAAGCUACGUAACUCAAAGCAAAAAUAAAUCAAGAAAAAAUAAACUAAACAAUGGGGAUAAAUUAGUAGCGGAGACCCAUGCUCGGCCAUAAGAAUUUAUAUAUGGAGUUUGAAACAAUUACAGAUUUAAAACCAUAUAAUCAAUACUAUAUUUUCAAAAUCACUUUGGAGGUCAAUCGAUACACAUAUUAACGACUAAAAUUUGGGAACCAAUACAAAUGCUUUGUCUCACUGCCUACUGCCUAGUACAACAGCGGAGAUAUGAUGGUUUACCAUCCGUUCUGGAACAGAAUUUUCUAAAACCAAUUCCAAUUAUUAAAAGUUUUAUUUCUUCCAUUUUGAAAAGAUCAAAUUUUUAACAUUUUUACUGCAUUUUUUGAAAAAGAGAGAGUACGUAGAAAAUGUGUAAUUUCUAUAAUAUUUUAAAGGAACAUUAUAAUUAGAAAGAUAUAGCCAACUUAAACAUUUUUGGUUUUUUUUCUAGGUAUUCUCUUACGAAUAUAAUAGAGAUCAAUAGAAAGUGUUAUAAUAUUAUGUGAUAUUCAUUAUUAAAAAAAUCAUAAAUUUACUUAUUCUCCAAGUCGUACUUAAUCUCCAAGUUAAAAAGUAUAUUGAAUAUUCAUAUAUAAAAAAGAUCCAUUAUCAAUUCUCUUUUCUAUAACAAGUGAGACAUAAGCAGAAGCAAAGAAAGAAAAGAAAGGAAAACCAAAAAAAAAAAAAAAGGAACAAUGGCGAUCAUGGGAGGAGAGGAGAGGCGGAGAUACGAUGGAGCAUUCGUCGCGGAAGGAAAUAAGUCCGACUCAGUACAAGGUGAUAGAGACCGUCUUCAUGACCGCAUUCGGCGGUGUCAGCGGAGCUGUUUUGGGCGGUAUAGUAGGAACGGUCAUCAUGGCCCCAAUGGCCCGGCGUUACCCUCGAGCCCUAGCCGCACUGAGGCGAACUCAGGUUUGUUCAUCUUCAUAGACCCUAAACCCAUUUUCCAAGUAAUGUCAAUUCUAAUCAUAGAGACUGAAUCAGUAUGCUCGUUCGUAUGCUCUGGAGGGUUCAGCAGUUUUAGCUGCAUGGUUUGGAAUUGAAUCCAUAAUGAGAGGAAUCAGAGGCAAAGAUGAUCUUACCUCUGAGUAAAGUUUUCAUUCUUUCCAAAACUUUACUUUCGUUCCUGUUUAUGUUUCCUUGUCUAAUUACAUACUUUUGUUUAUAGUCAAUGCGUUCACCACAAAUGUUACACUUAACUUAGCUGAGAAUCUUCUAAUGCUAAUGUAUUUUUCAACAUGUGUUCGUUGGGUGAUAUUGAUUGAUAUAAUUGGCUGUUACAGACUUUGUUUCAGAUAUUGAGUUUUGAUAUUGGUUAUAAAUUUGCAGCAUGGUCUCAUCAUCAGGUGGUGGGUUGGCAUACUCUUUUGCGAUGAAAGGCUUGAAAGGACAACCUGCACACGCACUCUUCAACUCUGCUUAUUACGCUGCUUUUUCAGGAACAAUGUAAGGUGCUAACUGGAUUCAUGAAUUAAUAAUACAAGAGCAUAUCUUCUUAGUUAACACGGUUUGUGUUUUCCCUUGAGGUGAGUGAGACAAUCAAAUCGCGUAAUACCCAAGACGCCUUUUACACAGAGACAAGAGCUAUGCUAUCGAAGCUAGGCCUAGAGGAAUACGAGAAGAACUUCAAGAAGGGACAUCUCACUGAUCCCACUUUACCAUUGCUUACUGAUAGGUUACAUAUACAUCUCCUUCAAGCUUGAGUUUAGUACGAAGCAAACUAUCAACUAAUCCCCUUUCUGAUGAAUUCUGAAUCUAGUGUCCUACAAGAAGUUAACAUUCCACCAGGGCCAAGGCUUUUGAUACUAGAUCAUAUCCAGAGGUUUGAAUACAAACUUCUCUACUCUUACAUGGAUCAAAGAUAUGGAUUGUAUCCAACCAUGGUAUGUUGUUUUGAGUGCAGGUACAAUAAGAUGGUGAACCGCAAGUGAGGAAAGCAGUCUAAAUUUUGGUGAUGACUUGGAAGUAGUUGUGUGACCUAAUAUUGGUAGUCUGUAAUAAUAAUCUUUACACUUUAUUCAAAGCCAAGAACAUAACAUAGCUUUAACCGCUGAAAUUUUAUGUUUGCCAAAUAAAAACAACAACAUAACACAACCUUAUUGAAAUAUCAAACCAGAACCUGGUAGUUUACCUUCAACGACCUCGUCGAUUGUUAUAGCCAUUGGAGGAAUGAGAUGAUUCUUCCAGUCACCAACUUCACCUUUCCGGAAGAACACAUUAGUAUCUACACCAAUUCUUGUUGUCCCGUUCUUAUUAGUCUCCAAGUUGCUCAAGUUACACAAACUACACAAACUCAAGAUUUUCUCCACCGAUCCACUCUCUUCUUCAAGAACUCAGCGACAGCGAGUUUCUUGACUUGAAAAAGAGGCUCCUCAAUGAUUUCUUAAUACCUCAUAAAUAGAACAUUCACUUUAUCGUCUAAGCUUCCUUUCCAGUAGCUCAACAUUUGUUUCCAAUGGGGUAUAUGAAUCUAUCGUUUCAAGAAAACAUUUGCCACUUUAUAUAUUUUUGGUAAAUGUUGUUGCUGAACAAACGGGAAUUAAAAAAGUUAGAGAGAAUUUUGACUGAAGUAAAUGUUUUUUUAUUCUUUUUGUGGGGAUAAAUAAUUUACAACUCAUUGAUUUUGUAUUUAUACAGUUUUAAAAUUUUGAUGUUUCUUUUCCUUUUUCAUUAUUUGUAAAAAAUGCUUUUCCUAAUCUUAAAGAAUAUAAUUUAUUAAAAAAAAGAAAUGAAAUUUUAACAUAUUGAUGAAAACUUAAGAGAUAUUUGACAAGGUAACUCGUGAUAUGAUUCUUCCAGUCACCAACUUCACCUUUCCUAAAGAACACAUAAGUAUCUACACCAACUCUUAUCUUCCCAUUGUUUAUUAAUCUCCAAACUGCUCAAACUACGUAAACUACACAAGUUCUCCACCGAUCCACUCUCUUCUUCCUCCUUGGCGAAUGGACAGUUGCAAGAACUCAGGGAGUCUCUUGACUUGAAGACUUUGCUCCUCGAUGAUCUCUUCAUACUUCGUAAAUAGAAUAUGAUCCUUAUCUUCUAAGCUCCCUUUCAAAUAGUUAAACACAUGUUCCCAGUAGUAGGGUCCGUAUAAGAUAACUCCUCUACAGUAUGCUUCAAACAUGCGCUCAAAACUGGCUUGAUCAACUUUGGUGAGAUGCAACAUGUUUCUGUUAAUGACAACCGGAGAGACAAACGUUCUUUGAGACCUCUAGCCGUGAACCCACCAUAAUACAUUGCGUGAAGUUCACGCAAUACAUGCGCUGGACAUUAAUACAUUGCGUGAAAUUCACGCAAUGUAUUAUUGUCCAUGUCUGUAUACAAUACACUACAAGAAAACAGGGGGAUUCUGAUGGCCGAAAUCGUCGGAAAUUCGUCGGAAUAGACCGAUUCCGACGAAUUUCCGACGAACCUGUCCGUCGGUAUCGUUUCGUCGGAAAAAAAAAUUCGUCGGAAUUUCGUCAGAACUUCCGACGACUUUCUGACGAAUACCGAGAAACGUCAUUCUGACGAACUUCCGACGAUAUUACAAUGCGGAUACACGAGACCAGAGUUCAUCGGAAAAACUACGUACCGACGGAAAACGUUCGUCGGACAAUUCCGACGUAGAGUGUUCCUCGGUGUAUUCCAACGAACUUGGGCGUCGGAAUUUACCGACGGACAACGGUCGUCGGAAUAUACCGACGAACCUCGUUCGUCGGUAUAUUCCGACGGAAAUGUGGUUUGUCGGUAAAUUCCGACGGAUAUAUGUCCGUCGGUAUAUUCCGACGACCAUUGUCCGUCGGUAUAUACCCAUUUUUUUUUACAAAUUAAUUUUCCAUUUUAAUAUAUUUUUUGAUAUUAAUAAAUUUAAAAAAUCAGAAAUUUAAAACUAAUAAUAUUAUAAAAUUUAAAUUCAUAAAAACCGAAAUAGGAAAAAAACAUUCAUAAAGUUUAAAAUUCAUACAAACCGAAAUAGAAAAAAAAACAUUCCGAAAGUUUUAAAAAGCCGAAAUAAACUAAGAUGAACUCGAAGACAUCAAACGAUCUAGCUUCUGCAUAAUCUCGGUGUUGAACUUCUUCUGGGAUGCCAACUCAGCAAGGAUAGUGGCAUUCUCCGAACGGAUAGUGGCAUUCUCCGAAAGGAUAGUGGUGUUCUGCUCCUCCAAUGCCCCAAUCCGUUCAUCUUUGUCAUGUAGCUCCUCGAGAAUCAUGGGAUCGGCAUACGGAGCUUGCGAAGAAGAUGCCGGAUACGAAGAAGCACGACGGGCCAACCCAACUAAACGGCCUCCUUUCCUUUUAGGAACCGCCUACAAAAAUAUUUAAAGUAAGUAAAUAGGGACAAGUAAGUAAUCGACAUUAUAAAAAAAAAUAUAUUAAUAAAAAAAAUUACCUUUUCAACCAUCUCAUUUAUUUGCAAUAGAGACAGGUUGGUUGAAGCUCCCGUGGAGUCGCCGUCAUCAGAGAGAGGCUGAGAUUGGGAAACUAUUUCAGCUUCCACCAAAUCAACUACACCUUUGAUCACGGGGUCCUGAAUUUGACCCGUCGUCUUGUUAGUGUGAGCCACCUUAAUGAGUUGGAGACGAUCAACGGGAUUACCGUCAUUUGCUUCGAUCUAAAAAAACCGCCAUUAUUAGCCAAGAAAUAUAUAAAAUAUUUAUUUAAAAAAUAUAAAGAUAAAUAAUAAUAAAAAACUUACAAGUUCAGCCUCCUUAGUAGACAUAGAGCAAGCGCCGAGGUUGUGCACAUACAUACCUUUCCCGCCACGAUCGCUCUUUCGGUUCCUGGAGUUCCUAGAAGACGUCUCUGCAGUUUCGUCCUUCUCCCAAUGAGCUAUCAACUGCUCCCACACCGCCCCGUUGAUGAACCGUGGCUUCUUGUUCUUCUGCCAAACUGUCUUCCACGCGUUUAUCUGCUUUGUGUAAGAGUCCAUGGCCUUUUCGUUGAAUUUCUUACGGACUGUUUCCGUAAGAUCGGAGUGCCAGUUGAACUCUUGCUACAAAACAAACACAAUUUAAUAAGUAAAUAUAUUUAAAAAAAUGUAAAAACUUUAAAAAAAUGAAGAGUUACUAUACCGCAAACUGAUGAAACCACAACUCUCGUUCGUCGUUAGGGAUCACACUCCACUUUGGAUAUCCAAAACGGAGCAUGGAGUACAUCAUCUGGUUGAUGCUCCGGCUAAUGCCAUUUUUCGACUUGGUGAACCUGUAAAAAAAAAAUACAAGUUAGCAAGUUAAUUAAAGGAAAAAAUAUAACGGUACAAAUAAAAAAAAAUACUAACCAAGUGCUAUGGCCUCGUCGUGGGUUGGGUUGGAGAAACGGGAGAUGCUCUCGACCUGGUUGUUGAACCAAAAGAUGAACCGGCAUGACCCCUGGAUCCUGUUGAGCAGCAGCGUGAGGGGCAGAGGGAGCUGGAGCGGGAAUAUAUGCGGGAACCGAGUCAUGAGACGAUCCCGAUGCACGGGAACUGCUCACCGAACUACGUCGAAGACGGGCUGCGGGGCGGGCUUCAUCCUCGGCCCAAAAAAAAAAAUUUAAUACAUCAAACAUAUUUUCAAAUCAUUUCUAUUUUUAAUGUUUUCAUUUAUAUAUUUACAAAAGGUUUUAUAAACUUUUAAAAAAAAACUAUUAAACCUUUUAUAUAUAUAUAUAUAUGUAUGCAAAAUUAUAAAAAAUUUAUAAAUAUAGAAAAAUGUUGUUAAAAAUUUAUAAAUGAAGAAAAAUGUUGUUAAAUAUUUAUAUUUUUUUUUAAAAAACGUUUUAUUAUACAUAGUUUAUUAGUGGAAACUUAUAAAAAAUUAUAAAAAAUUUUAAAAUUUUUAUUAUACAUGAUUUACAUAUAUAUAUAUGUAUACAAAAUUAUAAAAAAUUUAUAAAUAUAGAAAAAUGUUGUUAAAAAUUUAUAAAUGAAGAAAAAUGUUGUUAAAUAUUUAUAUUUUUUUUAAAAAAACGUUUUAUUAUACAUAGUUUAUUAGUGGAAACUUAUAAAAAAUUAUAAAAAAUUUGAAAAUUUUUAUUAUACAUGAUUUACAUAUAUAUAUAUAUAUGUAUACAAAAUUAUAAAAAAUUUAUAAAUAUAGAAAAAUGUUGUUAAAUAUUUUUGAAAAAUUCUAAAAACGUUUUAUUAUAUAUAUUUCAUUACUGGAAACUUGAAAAACGUUUUUAAAAAUGAAAAAAACGUUUUAAAAAAUCAAAAAACGUUUUUAAAAAUCAAAAAACGUUUUUAGAAAUAAAAAAAUGUUCCAAAAAAAACUAAAACAACAAUCCAAACAACAAUCCUAACUUAUAUAUCCUAAACUAUCAAUCAAACAACCUAAAAUCCGAGAUCUAACAUCCAAAACCCUAAACAAUUGAGAUUAAAGAAGGUUUGGGAUGAUUCUUACAUGAUUUAGGGUUUGGGGGAGGAAUCGCCGGUGUAGAGGGAUGAAUCGCCGGUGUAGAGAGAGGAAUCGCCGGUGAAUCGCCGGUGGAGAGAGGAAUUUAGAGAGAGAGAUGCGGAGAUAACGAAGAAAGAAGAAGGAGGAGGGUUAUUAUAUCAGACGAUUCCGACGGACACGGGUUCGUCAGUAUUCCGUCGGUAUAAUUAAAAUAUACCAAAUGCCAAUUCGCGAAAAUAUUCAAGCGGUUUGGUUCUCCCGGGCAAAUUUAAAUUCUGACGGAAUGUGUCCGUCAGUAUAUUCCAACGGACACAUUCCGUCGGUAUAUUCCGACGGAAUUCCGACGACUUAGUGUUUAGGGUGUUGAUUUCAAGUUUCUAAAUGCAAAAUCCAAAUCUUUGAUAAUAUAUAUAGUAUUUUGCAUAAAGAUUUAACAAUAAAAAUGUUUUAUAACACGAUUUUAUACAAUAACAUUUUUUGUAGUGUAAGCUUAUAUAAAUAUGAUUGUAUAAGUAUAUAAUGUUAAGAUGAGAUGUUAUGAAAACAAUGAUAUGCAUACAUAAAUAUUUUAAUGAGUUGUUAUAUUUGAACGGUUGCGAUCUAAUACUAUACUAAACACUUAUUAUGUGUUAUUUUCAUAGUUUUGGCAUCUAAAUUUAUAGAUUUUUAUGAUUGAAACUUUAUAGAAACACAUGUCGUCGGUAUUUUCCGACGAAAUACCGACGACCUUUCCAAUUUUCAAUGAAACCCAUUAUCGUCGCUAUGUCAUCGGUAUAUUGCGAGGGAUUUCCGACGGACCAUUAAAAAAAAAAAAAAAAAACUAAUCAGAAUCUUCUGAAUCUUCAUCAAACUCCCCAACCUCGGCUUCCGGCUCUGAAUGUACGACAGCAUCAUGUCCAAACACAGUCAAAUUCUCAACGAGUUGAACAUUUUCCAAAUCUUCAACUGCCUGGGCGUUGCUGGUAGACUCUGGUUGCAAUGGUUCAUCAUCAUCAGAAGUUUCAUCCACUCGUCCUCUUGGGUUGAUUUGCGUUACAGUAACCCAUGGAUCGUCUCUGUACGUCACCCGAGGGUAACUGAUGUAGCACACCUAUACAUAUCAAUUAUACAAGUAUUAGUAAAAUAUAUAACAUUAAUUAAUUAUAUUGGUAAAAAAUUAUGAAUAGAUUGACAUACCUGAUCAGCUUGCGAACCAAGAAUGAAGGGAUCAUAAUAUUGAAGUUUUCGCCGCGAAUGAACUGAUGUAACACCAAACGCAUCAAUCUUCACUCCUCUAUCUGGGGUGGUGUCAUACCAAUCACAAUAGAAUACUACACAACGCAAUCCAACCAUUCCAGGAAAUUGGAUUUCCAAUAUUUCUUUUAUGUUGCCGUAGUAGACAUCGUCACCAGAAGAAGAUGAAACACCAGCAUCAUAUGUUGUCUUAGAAUGACCUUUCCUUGUGAAUGCAUAUCCUCGCGUACAAAAUUUAGGAUAUGAUUUGACCACAUAGUUUGGUCCCUGCACAAAUUCGCGUAUCCAAUCAUCGAACACAAGACCUCUGGCCAAACCAUCAUUCACCUAUAAAAAAAAAACAUAUAUGAUUGCAAAAUUAAUUAGUUUAUAUAUAUUAAAUUUAAACUAAUCAUUUGCAUAGGGUAAUAUGAUAUAUGACUCACAUAACUACGAAGCCACGCAGCAAAUCCGUUAUCUCUAAGUUGUCGAAGCUCAUCUUCUGUUGCAUGCCUGUGAGUCAUACGCAACUCUGCCAUAUAUACACUAUAUACAAAAAUAUUAUCAAUAUGAAAUAAAUUUAUUGAAUAUUAAUCUAACAAUAAAUGAAUAAAUAUUUUUACCUCUCAUAUUGUAGAACAUCUUCACAGUUGGUGAGCAAAUAUGUUUGCAAAUGAGCGUGCUCAGUGUCCGUAAGUCUCCGCUUCGUGAAAUUUCCACUAAGUCGUCCUAUUUCCUUGAACAUGCUUGGGACAGUAACAUGAUAUGUUGCUCUCUCCCCUCUAUCAUCAUGCCGAGCAGGUCUUCGGUGUUUUGUAUGCACUUCUGGUGGAAAAUAAUUUUCAGCAAAGAUUGCAGUUUCUUCAUUGAUCACCUGUGCCACUAUAGAUCCUUCCACCCUGCUUUGAUUUUUGACCAUCUUCUUCAGAUGAUGCAUAUAACGCUAAAAAAAAACAUCCAUCUGUACAGCACAGGACCACCAAGUUCCAAUUCUCUUGCGAGAUGAAUAGCAAGAUGUUCCAUUACAUCAAAGAAUGAUGGAGGAAAUAUCUUCUCAAGGUUGCACAUGCUGACUAGGGCGUUUGUCUUCAAAUUAUUAAUACCCUCUUCAGUCACUACUCUGCUGCAUAAGUCGCGGAAGAAAACACUAAUCCCUACAUAGAUAAAAAACAUAAUUUUCGUAAGUAUUAAGUUUUUAUAAGCAUAAUUGUUAAACAUAAAAAUAAAUUAAAUUGUAAAAAUAUAAUAUACCUGCAAUUGCUUCAUGAACAUUACGUGGCAAUAAUGCUGAAAAAGCAAACGGAAGGAGGCGCUGCAUAAUUACAUGACAAUCAUGACUCUUCAAGCCAGUAAACUUUCAUUCGCUUCUAUCAACGCAGUUCCCCAAAUUUGAUGCAUAUCCGUCAGGAAAUUUCACUUUUUCUGUAAUCCAAUCAAAGAACUCUUCUUUUCUAGCACCAUCUAGCCGAUAAAUGGGAAAAGGGGUCGUACCGUUCUCAUCAACGUGAAGUUCAGAACGAUCACAAAUAUCGACUAAAUCCAACCUUGACUUCAAAUUAUCCUUCGUUUUACCUUGGAUGUUAAGGACUGUGUUCAUCAGAUUAUCGAAGAAGUUCUUCUCAAUAUGCAUGACAUCUAAAUUAUGCCGCAAUAGAUGACUCUCCCAAUAUGGCAGUUCCCAGAAAAUACUCUUUUUGUGUCAGUUAUGUAGCUCUCCAACCGAAUUGACUCGAAUGUUUUCAUGUCCACCUACAUCUGGCGUCCUUUCUGCAUCAAAAUACCUAAACUGCUUCAACAAAUCUUUCCCACUAACUUCCUCAGGUGGACCAUCAAACACCUGCUUGUUCUUCGUAAACGAAGUCUUACUCCUGCGGUAUGGAUGAUCAGGUGGUAGAAAUCGUCUGUGACAGUCAAACCAACACGUUUUCUUUCCGUUCUUUAGUUGGAAAGCAUCUGUGUCAUCUUGACAAUAUGGACAUGAUAGCUUCCCAUGUGUUGUCCAUCCAGAUAACAUACCAUAUGCUGGAAAGUCACUUAUUGUCCACAUAAGUACUGCCCGCAUCUGAAAGUUUUCUUUGCGCGAAACAUCGUAUGUCUCAAAACCAUGCGCCCAUAGUUGUUGCAACUCAUAUAUUAGUGGUUGAAGAAACACAUCUAGUGAUCUUUUAGGAUGAUCUGGCCCGGGGACGAGAAUUAAGAGAAACAAAAACUCUCGUCGCAUGCACAAGCUCGGCCGUAAGUUGUACGGUGUCACAAUAACUGGCCAUAGAGAAUACUGCCUUCCAUGCUUUCCAAAUGGGCUGAAACCAUCAGUAGAUAAUCCAAGAUAAACAUUUCUUCUCUCUUCCGCAAAUUCUGGAUAUGUUGACUGGAAAUGUUUCCAAGCCUUUGCAUCUGAAGGAUGUCUAAUCUCACCAUUUGUGGAAUGCUCUGCAUGCCAUCUCAUUGCUUUUGCUGUGCGCUCACACUGAUACAACCUCUUCAAUCUUUCCGUCAAAGGCAAAUACCACAUUCUUUUGAAUGGGAUCGGAACUCUUCCCCUUGUGUCCUGAUAACGAGGUUUCCCACAAAAUUUGCAUACAUUCCGUGUCUCAUCCGCUCUCCAGUAGAUCAUGCAGUUGUCAAUACAUACAUCUAUCACUUCAUACGGUAGUCGAAGACCUGCAACAAGUUUCUGAACCUCGUAGUAUGAACCCGGUGCAAGGUUAUCCUCAGGUAGAAUACCUUUGACAAAAUCAGUAAUCGCAUCCAUACAUUCUUCAGCCAAAUUAUAGUCUGUCUUAAUACCCAUUAAUCUAGUUGCAGAUGAUAAGACUGAAUGACCAUCUCUACAAUUUUGAUACAAAGGUUGUUUUCCUGCAUCCAACAUGUCAAAAAAUCUCCUAGAUUCGGGGUUUGGUUCUUCCCCUCUAUAAUGAUCAUGUACCAUCUGCUCAGUACCUACAUCAUAAUCUAUAUCCGUUCUAGAUUCUUCUAACCUAAUAUCAGGCUGAGGUUCACUAACAGGCUGAGGUUCGCUAGUACUACCAUAUUCAUAACCAGUUUCCCCAUGAAGGUACCAAACUUUAUAAUUACGUGAAAACCCUUUCAUAUACAAAUGAGUCCAAACAUCAAAUUCUUUUAUAACCUUAUUAUUAUUGCAAGAAGAGCAGGGACAUCUUAACAUACCACUUUUUACAUCCGGUUGCUGUUGAACAAGCCUCAUGAAUUCUCCAAUCCCUUGAACGUAUUCUUCCGUAAGCAAAUUGGUGUUCGGAUCCAAAUGAGGUUUAUCCAUCCACGAACGAUAAUAAACUCCUGAAGACAUGAUUUUCACGGAAUUGUUAUGACUAAAGAGAAUGAAGAGAGAAUGAAGUGUGAAUGAGUUGAAUGAGGAGGGGUUGUAUUUAUAGGAAAUUGGUUACGGACCUCCGACGACUUUCCGACGAAAUUCCGACGGAUGUAAAGCAGUCCGUCGGAAUUCCGUCGGUAUUGUCCAAUCUCAAACGGCUAUACAACGGUCAUAUAUAUUUAUCGGCAACGGUCACAUGGUUCGUCGGAAUUCCGUCGGAAAAUACCGAAGGAAUUCUGACGACUUUGCUGUUAAUCGGAAUGUCGUCGGAAAUUCGUCGGAAUAUACCGACGAACUUCCGACGACUACAACGGUUACAUUUUUUAUCGGAAUGUCGUUGAAAAGUCGUCGGAAAAUUCCGACGAACCAUAUUUCGUCGGAAUUCCGACGGAAAUAGCCGAUGGAAUUCCGACGACUUAAUUUUUUUGGAUUUGGUCGGAAAUUUGUCAGUAUUCCGUCACAAAUGUCCGACGACCUUGGUGUCCGUCGGAACCUCCGUCGGAAUUCGGUGUGUUUUCUUGUAGUGAUAUCAUAAGAUGCGUGUGUGCUAUAUAUAGUAAGAUCAUUGUGCUGAAUGAGAAGUUUGCUCUACAAGUACACAGCGCAUGUAUUGUACUUUGGAUUUAUCUUUUGUUCCUAAAUGUCAUUCUUGGUAAAAGACAACACAAUCCUUUAGUAGCAGAAACCGAAAGUCAAGAUACAGAGACCUCAGAGAGACCUAAUAGUGCUAGACUUGCUCGUCUCUUCUGGAAGCAAGACAUUGAUCUUCAAAUAUUGUAUUCCUCAAAAAAUGUAAUUGAUACGAUCAUCUCAUAUAAAGGAAAAACUUUUUUGGCUACUUUUGUUUAUGGAGCGCCAGAAGCACCACACCGUUCUGCUAUAUGGGAUAUUCUCAUCUCAUUCUCGCUGACAAGGAACUCUCUCCUUGGAUUCUUGUUAGAGACUUCAACGAGAUCGUCGAUAAUAGUGAAAAAUCUGGCGGCCCGAAAAGAGCUGAAGGCUCCUUUGGUGCGUUUUGCAGCAUGCUAACCAGCUGUGACCUUUUCGACCUCAAGCACACUGGUAUCCCUCUCUUGUGGCGAGCAAGAUGACGAACGCACCUUAUGUGCUGCAGACUCGACCGAGCCUUAGUGAACCCCGCUUGGUCUGAUCGCUUUCCAACGGGAAGAUGUCACUACCUAUACUUCGAUACGUCUGAUCAUAGACCACUGAUCACGGUAUUUGAUUCAUCAAACCGAAGACGAAAUCGCCUCUUCAGAUAUGACUGCAGGCUGAAAGAUAAGAAAAGCCUCAUUGCUGAAGUAUGGAACGCAGAACCCACCUUGACGAUGGAUGCUAAACUCUCAACAGAGCAAUCUCCGACUGGACUCGGGAACAGUCUUUCAACAGCAAAGAGACAAUCAACAACCUCAAACAAAGCCUUGAGACUGCCACGUCUGACCCCAAUGGAGAUGAUUCACUCCUUGCCUCUUUGAACGCUAAGCUGUGCCUUGCAUACAAGGAAGAAGAGGAAUUUUGGCGCCAACGAAGCCGUAUCAUGUGGCUCUCUGCGGGUGUUAAAAAUUCAGGUUAUUUCCAUGCAAUUGCCAAAGGGUGCAGAGCACGCAACAGAAUGUCAGUGCUGGGCGUGCUGGAGGGCUCCGAUGGGAAAGCUUAUUUUGAGGAAGAUCAGAUAGCCGGGCAAAUCUCAUCGUAUUUUGACAACAUCUUUACCUCCGACAGCUGCUCAGGCGCCUCUGCGACCACCACGUCAGAUAUUGUCUCCACAACAAUCUCUCCUAGUAUAUCGGACGAGGCUAACAGUCGACUCGGGGCCAUUCCAGAGGCGACGAAGAUCAGACAAGCCUUGUUCCUAAUACAUCCGGACAAGGCGCCAGGUCCAGAUGGGUUCUCCGCGAGGUUCUUCCACUCCAACUAGAGUACUAUUGGACCCUCCCUGAUCUUGGAGGUGCAAGCGUUCUUCCGCACAGGUAUUAUGCCAGACGAGACAAACACUACAUACAUUAGGCUGAUCCCGAAGUCGACUAGUGCGAAAGUGGUGGCUGAUUACAGGCCGAUCGCUUUGUGUAAAGUUUCAUACAAAGUCAUCACGAAGAUUUUAUCUCUACGUCUCAAACCGACUCUACAGGACAUCAUCUCAGAGACCCAAUCAGCGUUUGUUCCUGGUUGAGCCAUCUCCGACAACAUUUUGAUUACACACGAGAUCCUUCAUACCCUCAAGGCAUCAGAGGCGGUGAUCAAUUGCUCCAUGGCGGUGAAAACCGACAUGAGUUCAUAUGAUUGCCUUGAAUGGAAGUUCAUCGAGACAGUCUUGCUUCGGUUCGGCUUCGCGACAGGUCUAGUUCAUCUGAUCAUGCAAUGCAUAUCAUCGGUAACAUACUCCUUCUUGGUUAACGAUUCUGCUCAUGGGAGAGUCGUACCAACUAGAGGCAUACGACAAGGCGACCCACUCUCUCCGUACAUUUUUAUUCUCUGUGGAGAGGUUCUAUCGUGUCUAUGCAAACGAGCACAGCGCAGCGGACAUCUAGCCGGGCUUGGUGUGUCAACGUCUGCCCCUCGGCUAAACCAUUUGUUGUUUGCAGACGACACCAUGUUCUUCCUCAAUACUGAUGAGGAAAGUUGCUCGACACUUAUGGACAUUCUUCAGAAGUAUAGGAUGUCGUCCGGUCAGCUAAUUAACGCAUCAAAAUCCUCUAUUUCUUUUUCCGCAAAGACCCUGCAGGUAAUACGGCAACGUGUUAAAUUGUACCUCGGGAUAGAGAAAGAACGAGGAACGGGCAAGUACUUGGGUCUCCCUGAGCACUUCGGACGACGCAAAAAGGAUCUCUUCACUAUCAUUGUUGAUCGUAUCAGGGUGAAUGCUGCGUCCUGGUCGUCGAGGCAUCCCUCGAGUGCGGGGAAGCUCGUUAUGCUAAAGUCAGUUCUUUCAGCGGUUCCCUCCCACGCAAUGACUUGUUUCCUCCUCCCGAUCAGUCUCUGCAUCCGCAUUCAGUCUACCUUGACCAGAUUUUGGUGGGAUUCUUCCCCGGAGAAGAAAAAAAUGUGCAUGGUAGCUUGGAGCAAACUUACCAAGCCAAAAGUGCUGGGAGGUCUGGGCAUUCGCGACAUUCAGGCCUUCAACACUGCUCUUCUUGCGAAACAAGCGUGGCGAAUCAUCACUAAACCUGAUUGCUUACUGGCGUGGGUCUUGAAAGGGAAAUAUUGCGGUUCUGCUCAGUUUCUUCAGGUCCAAGAGACGAAAACGAUGUCACGUGGGUGGAGGGGCAUUCUUGCGGGUAGAGAUCUGUUGAUCACUUAUAUAAUUAUAAAUAAAUAUUUACAUAGUAUGAAAUAAAUAGAACAAAAGUAAGUUGGGAAGCCAGUUAGAACUCUUUUUAUAAAUAAACCAAGUGAAGACAAAGCAGAAAAAAAAAGAACAAUGGCGAUCAACGGAGGGGAGGCGAGACACCGGCAGCGGCAGCGGAGAUAUGAUGGUGAUAGUGCGUUAAUUCCUCGCCGAAGAAGAAUCCGACUCUUAACAAGCUCAAAAAAGCCGUCAUAGUUACCGCAUUAGGGGGUGUCGGCGGUAUAGUAGGAAUGGUUAUCAUGGCCCCACUGGCGAGGCGUUACCCUCGAGCCCUAGGAUCACUGAGUCGAACUCAGGUUUUGUUCAUCUUCAUAAAACCCUACAACCCCAUUUCCCGAAGUAAUGUGCUUUAUAAUCAAAGAGAAAUGGGUUUCGUGAAUCAGUUCGCUCGGGACUAUUCAACAUUUGCCGCUGCAGCAUGUGGAAUCGAUUCGAUAAUGAGAGUAACCAGAGGCAAAGAUGAUCUUACGAAUCAGUAAAGUUUCAUUCUUUUCCAAACUUUACCUUUUUAUGUUUCCUUGUCUGAGUACAGAGUCUGUAUUUUUCCUUAGCUGAGAAUCUUCAAGUUUACUUUUUUACUAGAGACUUUUGUUUCCUAGUCAAUGUGUUACACUUUCCUUAGCUGAGAAUCUUCAAGUUGUUUCUCUAAUGCUGAUAUAUUUUUCAAGACAUGUUCUUUGGGUGAUAUUGAUUGAUGAAACCCUGUUUUAUGUUUAUAAAACUUUGCAGCUUGGUCUCAGGAUCAGGUGCUGGGUUGGCAUACUCUUUUGUGAGCCAAGGCUUUAAAGUACGACCUGCACACGCACUCCUCACCGCUGCGGGCUCCGCUGUUGUUAUGUCAGGAACAGUGUAUAAGGUGAUCGACUGUUUAUGUCGGCCCUCACGGGAUUCAUGAAUACUCUACUAGUGUAUACCUUCUUCUUAUUUAAUCCGUUUUUUUUUGUUUUUUUUCGUUAUUUUUUGUUUUUCCUAUCAGGGUUAUGAAAUAAUCAGAUCGCGCAAUGCCCAAGACUCCUUUUACACAGAGGCAAGAGCUAUGCUAUCGAAGUUAAGCCUUGAGGAUUACGAGAAGAAUUUCAAGAAGGGACAUCUCACCGAUUACACCUUACCAUUGCUCACUGACAGGUUACAUAUACAUCUCCUUUAAGCUUCAAGCUUGAGUUUAUUAUGUAGCAACUAUAAACUAAUCCCAUUUCUUCUGAAUCCAGUGACCUAAAAGAAGUGACCAUUCCACCAGGGGCAAGGCUUUUGAUACUAGAUCAUAUCAAGAGGUUUGUUCACAAAUCACAAGCUUCUCUACUCUUACAUGGGUCAAAGAUAUGAAUUGGAUCCAAACCAUGCUCUGUUGUUUUGAGUGCAGGUACCAUAAGAUGGUAAACCGCAAGUGAGGAAAGCAGUAAACUGACCCAAAUAAUUAUAUAACUAGACGCGCGGGUAUGAAUUUUCUGUUUUUAAUUAUUUAUUUUAUUAAAUGAUGUAUUUGUAAUAUUCGUUCAUAUUAUAUUCAUUAAGUAAAUAUUUUUUUUUGCAUCUUAAACUAUCUAUUUUUUUACGAAUGUGUGAUAUCAUAUAAAAAAUAUAAAAAAAUGAGUAUAGAGUUAGUUAGAUAAUUUUAAAAACAGAAAUUUUUUUUUCGUGUGCGAUAUCAUAUAAAUAAUGAUCCGCCCAGUUAACAAAAAUCAUGAUUAUUUUAUGUGUAAUUUUUUUUUAUUUUGACCAUUUUCUUAAAACUAUAUUAAAUUUUACAUAUUAUAAUUAGAAUAUUUUUAAUAUCUUUACCUUUUUAUUUGAAAUGAAACUCAAUAUUUUUUUAACAAUUAUAACAAAGUAUUUAAAAAAUAUUUUUAGAAUUUGUUUGAAAAAUAUGAAAAUUACAUUUUAAAUUAAAAUUAUCCUAAAAUAUGAUAAGUUUUGAUGUAAACGAAAACUCAAAUUAUGUCAAAAAUAAUGAUAUUCAAUGAUAAUAACAAUUUUAAUUGAUUAUUUUUUAAAAAAUACAUUUACAAAAAUAUUGUUCGAAAGAAAAUUCAUUUAUCUUUCAAAUAUAAAAUGAAAAUAUUAUAAUUAAAUAAUAAAAAAUAUAAAUAAAAACCAUAAAUUUAGCAAAUGACAACUGAGUUAUUUAUGCUAAAAUUUUCUUUCUAACAAUUUAUCAAAUGACAAAUGAGUUAUGAGAAAAUAAUACCAUAUAAUUUUUAAAAACAUAGUCAUUCUUAAAUAUUUUUUGAAUAAAUAAUUAUUUUUAAAUUUAAUCAACUGACAAUAAUAUCCGUACAUAUGUGAGUCAAAUUCUAGUUUUAUUGAUGCAUGUUAUAUAUUAGUGCUGCAUGUUUUAGGUAACAUUUUAAUGAUGCACGUUUUUAAAAAUAUCCAUUAUUAAAAUUAUGCACGUAAGGAUAACUCAUGAGUUUUUUUGGUUGAUUAAAUGACAUUAUGUCCAAAUUUAUUUAAGGAUAUUUCAUUAAGGUAAAUGAAAAAGAUAAACGAUAAAAUAGGAAGUUUAAAUUCAUUUAAGCAUAUUUCAUUAAUGCAACUAAAAAGACAAGUAAUAAAUUAGACAGUUUUAUUCGUUUUAUGAUAUUUCAUAAAUGCAACUGAAAAAGACAAAAAAAAAGAGUUUAAUUAAUGAAGUAAGAACAUUUUCAAAUGGAUACUUCUCUUUUAAUAAUAUAGAUUAAAAUAAAAAAAUAAUAAAUGUAAGAAAGAAAAAGAGAAACCUCAUUUGAGAAUUUCUAAAAUACUGAUGAGAUAAUCUUAAAGUUAUUAAGAAUGAAGAUAUUUUUAGGGUAAAUUUCAUAAAUAUCAGCCCAGGAGAAUUUGUGACAAAACCUUUUAUUUACAUUCUUAGUGAUAUCUGAAAGUAUUUUUUACGUCUUUGUAGACACGCAAGAGUUACAUGCACACAUCAUGAAUUCAUUUUAAACCACACCCUUUUGACAUGUGAAGUAAUUUGUUUUUUUUAUUUCCUUAUUACCUUCUUAUGUUGGAAACAACAUGACAAUAUGGCAUGACAAAUAUGGAAUAUCCAAAGUCAGUGGCAUGAAGAUCUCUUCUGAUACUCUAGAGGUAACACACACAUAUGGUUGAUGCAAUAACAAUAUACUACAAAUUAAUGCAUGAUUAUGAUUCGAUUUUGAUUGUGACAUAUCCAAGCUUACUCAAAAUUGGAAGCGUUACCUCAGUUCUCUAACCUGUCUUGGGACAAUCGGAAGUGUUUCUAAGUUGCUGCCCUACACACUGGUCGUGGUGAGUCUCAUUUAAUUAUUGUAUGUAAAUUUUUCAUAUCACAUGACACUUAACUAUCUCUUUGUUUAUUGUCAGGAAUUUGAGUUCAAAAUAGAGGCAUGGCCAAUAAAACUCUCUUAUGUGCCACCAUGUUUUGUAUCAGCCCUCAUGUAUGUUCAGCUUUCGACACCAGUCACAACGAGAACAUCAAGCCAGAUGACAUUAGCAGUUUCUGAGGAAUUGCCGUGUUCUGAAGAACUUACUCGAAGCGAGAGAUUCCUUGACAUCGUCAAGAAAAUAAAAAAGGUUCAAAGAAAGUCUAGAAGGUGCAACAUUGUCAUUGGUUGAGCCACAUUCGUAGACAAGAUGAAGAAUGAAUCCAACCUAUACUUAAGCAGUAUUAUAUCUUUUAUAGCUUUUUUUUAUGUGUGUGGGCAUGGCUUCAGGUUUCCUAGGUUCGACCUAGAUGUUAUCAGUUCAUUCAAUUUGCCUUCUUUAGGAGUUUGCUCUCUAUCAGACUCAAUAAUUAGCCUUCUAUUAAAACUGACACUUGCACAGCAGGUCGUUGUAGCUUGUAACCCUCCAGGCGAAUCAGAGACUUUCCAUCUAAUAGACGGAAGUGAGAAGGAAACUAAAAGAUUUACACGCUAGUGUCAAAUUGUCCCACAUCGAGUGUGUAGGGAGCCGUAUGAUAACUAGUGUGCGUAUAAAAGAAGAACAAGUGCGGGACUUAUAAAAUAUGAUCCUUCAGGUUUAAAGGGGAAGUGAGGAUUGGGUUUAAUCUCGCAUAUUUUAUUGCGUGAAGAGCGUUCCGCUCAAACCUUUUUACGACAAUUGGACGCUCCAAUUUUCUUAUCAUCUGAUCCCUCUCUUGUUUCAAACUUUUUUUUUUAAUUUUUUUUAACUUUUUUUCUUAUUUUUUUUUAAAAUAAAAUAUUUAAAAGAAAUAGCUAGAAAUUUCUUUUUAAGUUUUCUAUAUAGUAAUAAUAUAACAAGGAAACGUAAAAAUAAAUAUAAUAUAGUUCUUUUUUUUGUCAAGGACUUGAUCCAAAACAAAGAGUUGGGUUCAACAAGUACAAAUAGAAACAUCAAUAGAUGCCAUAAGGCCAAAGUUUAUCAGUUUAAAAACUCAAAACACCUCCAUAAGGAAGCAACGUCCUUCAAGCAAGUAGGAGUCACGAUGACAGGCACUACGGCAUUGCCGGGGUUCUGAUAGCAGGAGACAACCAAGAAGUACCUCCUCUAGCAAUGUAUGAUUGGUAACGCUGACCUGCAAUAACACUGGAUGCAAUCUCGAGGGCUAUCGAGUUUAUCCCCUCCGAAACUAGCAUCACUUGACAGUGAUCAAAUUGAUGCAAGGACUGUAAUGUUUUUGAUAAGAGCAGAGGUACAUUAGGAAACAACAUAGGGGCAUUGAGGGCUUCCAAUACCAGAUGAGAAGAGAUAUCAAAAAUUACCUUUUUGAAAUGUAAGUUGUUGUGCAUGUCCUCACUGGAACAUAACAGAGCACGCAACCCUGCUUCAAAGGUUGUACCAACGGGCGAUACAGCACUCCUACUAUGUACCAAUGGUAUGCCAGUAUGACUUCGAGCAAUCCAGGCUGCUCCACUCUUCUGCAAAGGAUCUACCCAAGAUGACGCUACAUUACAUUUAGUAACUCCAGGUGGGGGUUUUUGCCAUUUACUUCUUGCCACAAGAUUUUCAGACUGAGAUGAUGGACCAUCUUCACUAGUGAGUAUGAGAUUCAACCACAUAGUUGCUUCCUCUGAAGCUUUUGAGAAGAUAAAUUCCUCAUCCAUCAUCCGUUGUUCAAAGCAAAAGGAGUUGCGAGCUAUCAAUAUUUGCCAAAGGAUCCAAGGAAAAGAUAGACGAGCUUCAUUCUCUUGUGGAAGUUUCUUGCUCACAGACAUAAGAUGAUAGAAAUUGAGCCACACAGAGUUGACAGAGAAACCACCAGCCGGUAAGGGAAAUCUGGAUCUUGUCCACACUUUCUUAGCAACCUCACAAUGGAAAAGGACGUGGCAGAUAGUCUCAGCUGCUGAUACACAUCUUGAACAAAUCGUAUCUAACAGAAUCCCCCUUGACUGUAAUCUGCUUUUGACAGCCAAAUAAAGUGCUUAAUCUUGGGUGACGUUUUGGUCUUCAAAAGGUCUUUCCAGUCUCUUUUCUAUCGGAGGAAGACCUGUAGAGGGAGACAACUGCAUCUCCUGCCGGGUCUCAGCUAAUUUAUAGCCACUUUUGGAGUUGUAGCUUCCAUUCCUUGAAAACCCCCUAAUAUAGUUCACAUUAUGAACUUUUUUUCUUGCUCCAAGAAGGAAGGGAAAAAGACGACAGAAGAAAAUUUCCACAUAAUUUUAAGGUAAUGUCAAACUUACAAAGUCUCAAAAUUACUAUAUUUGAUAAAAAUCAAGCAAUUCAACUCUUUUCAGGAUUUCCAGAAGCAUAUAAAUUAUUGGUUCACACACACUCCAAUAUAGUAUAAAGUUGUCACUUUAACUUAUUUCAGAGAGUAGAAUUUAAGCAGAAGGGAUUAUUCGAAGUAUACCAGCUUCGACAUCAGCACCUCCCACUAUGUAUGACGUUGGUCCAUUUUCUCCAAGCAGCGGAAUAUACUAUUAUCGUACGUGAACGCUAAAGCAAGCUCCUGAGACAUACCAAAAAAAUUACAAAACAAGCAUGAAGCAGAAAAUAUACUGAAUCACACACAUUUUCUAAGAUGCUUAGAUGCAUAUAUGAAAUUUGUGCAAUAUUAUUCUCUGUUUUGAUCACACUUUGAAGCAUCACUUCCGUCUUUGAUUUCAUGUAGUAAUUGCCUUCCAUCUGUGGCACCGCGACACUAGCAAGAGUUCCCCUAUGAAUCUCUCGGACAAACUGGCAAAUCCAUUGCGCGAAUUCUAUUUCACCAUUUGAUAUUCUGGCAAUUGCCAUCAGCAUUAGCUCUCUAGUCAAAAUCUGCAAACUGUGCAAGUAAACAAACAAUAACCAACCAAAGCUCAGUAAAACUAAUAAUAAUGAUAUUAUAACAGAUAAAAACAUAAAACCAAGAGAGUCUAAACACCCCAGAGGCGCAGACUCUAAAGGUAUUGAGCUCAUCGAGAGUGGAGAGUGUUCCAGGACAAACAGAACUUAUAAAACGUUGCAGCUUCAAUAUAUUCCUGCACCUGUAAGUUAAGCCAAAAUACACACAUGUAUCAGUUCACAGACACACAUGUAUCAUUCCCUUGAAACUAUUUCAUUAAACCGUGGAAAGUGUUGCACUCUCACUAAAGCUUUCCCAGCUUUCUCCAAAACCUCAUAUUUGUUGUCUUCCACACACACAUUGCAGCCCAAAACAAACAGAGAAGACGGCGUUCAAGCCAAAUAGCAAUAUAAAAUACAUGAAAACCAACACAUUUGUUGUCUUGUUUUCACCACUCUCACUCGUUUUUUAUUCUACAAAUACAAAUAUCAGGUGCUGUGGUGUAGUGGUUAUCACGUUUGCCUUACACGCAAAAGGUCUCCAGUUCGAUCCUGGGCAGCACCAUUUUGUUUUUGCAUUCAGUCACAUUUUGAUUCUGCCUUGUACAAAAUUUAAUAACUAGCCUGUACGCCACACAAAGAAUAAACUUUUCAGUAGUAGUUUCCAAAUGUUAAAAAUAAUAAUAUGGAAAUUGUUAUAAAAGUAAUGGAAAAAUCUAUAUUUAUUCAUAACAUAGAGGUUCCUUAUAUAGGAGAUUACACCGUUAUAGAUAAAUGGAAAUAUUACAAAUCAUAAUCUCUUGGUUAUGAGUCAUCCACAAUCUAGUUUAUAACACUCUCCCUUGGAUGCCAUAAUCAUUUAGAGCUUGUAAUGUGCUUUAAUGUUGACUCAUUAAAACCUUACAAGGAAAACUCAAUUGAGACAAAACCAUGGUGAACGAAAAAGAGUAAAACACACAUUACUCCCCCUGAUUUGGACAUUACUGAAGGUCCAUUGGACCUCUCCAAUUUUCUGCAAUCCGUGGGUGAUGAAGAUCUUGGGCAGAAUAUGCUUCGUCCUCGAACAUGAUAGUUGGUUCUUCUUUACCAUCGGCCAUGCCAUAAUUUGAUCGAACAUAUUGAGUCAUCGACCUCAAAUACACACACACGAAAUCUUGGAUGAUGUUGCUGUGAUAUGCGUGUACCACUAUGUGUAAAACAUAACAUGUCUGAAAACAAAUCAACAAAACCAAAUAACCCCUCUUUGGACUGGUUAGUAUAAAAUAAACCAAAAUCAAAGGUUUCUUCAUCGUCCUUCUUAUGGACCAAUCAGAUCAGUGUCUAAAACAAGACUUCUGCAUCGUCCAUCCCAGGACUAAAUGGACUUCUUUAUCGUCCACCUUUGGACUGAAUGGAUCAGUGUCCAAAACAAGUGAUCUCACGUCCAUGUACUAGAUAAUGGGUGAGAAUAGUCCAUAUUAAAUCUCUUGAGUACCCUAUUCUGUAUAUACUAUUUGAUGCACAAGGAUUUCAUUGUUAAUGUACUCAAGCUGUAAUCCCAAACAAAACUUUGUUUUCCAAGAUCUUUCAUCUCAAACUCUUUCUUGAGAUAUUCAACUGUUUGGGAAAUUGUAUCCACAGGUUCCUAGGAUAUUCAGAUCAUAUACUUUGAUGAUUAUCAAUAUGUUCUCGAGAACUUGCUGUACUUUCAGCUCAAUACCCUCUAGCACUUUAAUUAUCCAGUGGACCAUAUAAAUAUGCAGUCAUUACAUCAACUUGCUGUAAGUCUAAUUUUCUCUCUUAUAUAGCUAGACUUAUGAGAAAUCUAAAAGUAGUUGCAUCCACCACAUGAGAGUAUUUCUCCUCAUAAUCUAUUACUGGUCUUUGUGAGAAUCCUUGUGCAACAUCAGCUUUAUAUCUCACGAUUUCUAUUCCUCACAAGACCCAUUUAUAUCCACUGGUUUUAACAUCAUAUGGUGUCUUAAUCAUAUGGCCAAAUACGUCUUUCUUCCUUAAAUUAUUUAACCCCACGUUUCCAUUCAAUCCAAUCUGUUCUACGAGUGCGCACUCUUAUAUUGACGUGGGUUCAUGAUCCUCGCUUAUAUUCAUAAAUUCAAGUGCUACCUUGUAUGCAAAUAAAUCAUCUUAUGUCGACAUUCCUUAUUGGUUCCAUUAUGUUCCAGACAUGAUAUAAUCGAUUGAGAUUCAUUAUUAUCAGGACCUUUAAUACUUUGCAGCUUGGCGUCCCAAGCUACAUGUUUUGGUACCUGUACCUUAGAGCCGGCCGGCCUUAUCUCCAUGUCUGGGAUGGUUUCCUUACUAACUUCGGAUUUGGAUUUUGAUUAUCAUUUUCUGCACCUUUCUUUUGUUUCCGAGGAUUCUUAUCUCUUGGAACCUAUUUGGUCUACCACGUUUCAUACGUUGUCUAGACUCUGUAGCAACUUGACUAUGUCUCUUCUUGGACAUCAAAUUCGUUGGUGCUUUACAAGCUGGUUUAUAUAUGACUUAGUCAUUCUUUUUCGGGUCAGCAAAUGUGUCUGGCAUUUGAUUAGCUAGCUUUAUAAAUGUAUAAUCUUUGGACGUCUAUUUCACAUUCUUUAGUCCGAGGAUCUUGCCAAGACAUUGAUGGUUGAUUCCAUUCUAUUUCUUUUACCAUUCUUUUACCAGCUUUAUUAUUUUUUUUCUCCUCCUGGACUUAAAAUAAUCCGUGUACCUGGCCUCAAAUAUAACCACCCCAUAGUUGGCUCAAAGUACUUUAUUAUUGUGGGAGAAUCAUAUCCAACAUAUAUCCCCAUCCUCCUUUUGAGGUCCCAUCUUAGUUCUCUGUGGUGGAGUAAUUAGUACAUAGACAGCACAUCCAAAUGUCUUAUGAUGGGGUAUGUCUGGCUCUUGACAUGUUAAUAAUUGUGAUAGGGGAUAUCUAUGCUCACUAAAUGGCCUGAUGCGUAUUAACUUAGGUGCAUGUAAAUUUCGUGUGACCCAAGCUGUGAAUGGGAGUUUUGACCUCAUAAGUUAUGGUCUAUCAAUCAGCUAUUUGCGUUUUAAAAGAUUUCGGCCAAGCCGUUCUUGGUAUAGACAUGUAUCACAGAAUUGUCCACACUUACCCCCAUGGACAUACCAUAAUCAUUUAAACGCUUGGGACAUGUAUUCACCAGUAUUAUCUAGACAUAUAGUCUUUAUUUAUAAAAAAGGGGCUCGUAGCCGUUUUACUGGUGAUGGCCUAAUGAGUUUCCCUUGUGUACAUGCUACACACAUGAGAUUCUUUGGGAUAACUCUUCUUAUCUUUUAAUGUGUGCCUUUUGAAUAUCAAUUUUUGCAUCAUGUUUGGACCAGGAUGACCAAUCCGGUCGUGCCAUAAAGUGUAUAUUUUUGCAGGCUUUUAGCAUCUAUCAUACUGAUCUAUGCAUAGUCUAGGUCAGUAGAGAAUGCAGGUAUCGUCUUUAGGACUUAUUAUGGUCUUGGGAGAUUUUAUACAUAUAUCUGAAGGAACUCUUUGUUUCCUUCGCCCAUUGUUUCAAUAUGGAAACCAUUCAUUCUUAUAUUUUUAAAACUCAAUAGACUGCUCUUGCUCUUAGAGCUGGGUGAAUAUAAGGCAUCACUGAUUUCUAGAUGCAUACCAUUAGGCAAUAAUAUAUUAGCCUAGCCAUAGUCUUCUUUCAGACUGGCGAUACCUGCUUUAGUACUUAUAUUGGCGUUUUUCAGUGUACUCAUAUAGAAAAAUCAUUCAUUCAUUUAAUCUAAGUAGACAAUGUAAUAGAAAUAAAUUCAAGGAGAUAAAAAUCAGAGAAAGCAUACAAGCAAAGCAAUCACACAAGUUUGAUGUCGAAAUCAGAUUAUCAACUUGAUUCUUUUAGGCAAUAAUAAGUCUCAUAUUCCAUAAGAUCAUCUUGAUCAUGUUCGAAAUUAUUUUCACCAUCUUUAUAGACCAAGUGGGUUUAAGGAUUCUUCCCUUUCAGACUCUCUUUGAUAGAGGUCACAAAAAUGUUUGGGAGUCCGUCAUAUCUUAGCCCAAUGGUUCCCCAUUCCACAUCUAUGGCACACUGAUUUGGUCGAGCUUUGUGCUUUAAAGGAUAUACCAUUGCCACUGCUUUGACCAUGGCUCAAAUUGGGUUGAUACCCACAGCCUCUGCCAUAGUGAUUCCCACGGCUAAAUGUGUUAUAGUGGUCAUGGCCACGUCCUUUCCACUCUCCACAGCCAUGACUGUGUGGUCUAUCAUUCUGGACGUGGUUACCUUUUUUUUUUCUUCUGCGGCUUUAUUGGUAUCAGGUAAUGGUGUUAAUCCAAGAGGUCUCAAUUCACUGUUUCUCAUCAGUAAUCCAUUAUUUUGCCCAACUAGCAAUAGACUCAUCCACGGACUUAUAGUCAUGGAUUCUGGGAUUCCUCCAAUCAUAGGGCCUUUGGUAAUAACACCGUUCUUUGGUGAUCAUAUCUCGAUUUUUAACUAUGUCCAAAAGUCUAGAGAAUUCUCUAUAGUCAGAUACUGAUCUUUGAGACUCUUAAUAAGAUGAUGGCUAAUAAUUAAUAUUUUCAUGUAUCAAUUUUUCUCAUUGGCAUUAUUGACUUCUAUGAUACAUUCACCAAGUCUUUUUGAUUUUAGAAUAAUCUUUGUAUCCAAUGCCCACCGUAAAUAAUUAUCUCCAGAGAGAUUUAGGGCAGCAAAAUCCAGGUUGAUUUUUGACAUCUCAAAUCAUAUAUCACUCAAUAUUUAGGUAUAAUUUUCAUGCGGCCUUACUCUUAAAAAGAAUCAAUUUAGAUUUCAAUCUUGUGAGUACAAUGAGACUAUCAAUCUUAAAGGCAUUUAAUCAAUCAGUCAAUUUCUAGCAAGUCUCGGCAAUACUAUUUCUAUGUGCUCAUAAUAAUAUGGUUUAUCAAGACUAGCAAAAAUGAAUUAAAUUAAUCAUGCAAUUAGGGUUUAACAAUCAAUGAAUUUUAGCAAGACUAGUAAAAAAAUUUAUUAAUCACUCAAUUAGUUUCAAGGCUGAUUUUGGCAAUACUAGAAUAUAGAUUUCAAGCAUGAAUUUCAAUGAAUCAGUUUGAAGGCUGAUUUUAGCAAUACUAGAAUAUAGAUUUCAACCUUGAAUUUCAAUGAAUCAGUUUCAAGGCUGAUUGGUACUUAGCAUAAACCAUGUGUAAAUAAUUUAUCUAGUAUUCGAAUUUAUCAAACCUCGAAAACAUAUAAUCAGAUCAAUCAAUUUAAUCGAACUUAGCAUACAAUCUUAAACCUCAAGACAUUAGAUUUUAUCAUGAAUCUAUCAACCUAGCAUACGGAUUCUCAAUUCUCAAAGACAUCCAAAUCAGAUCAAUAUAACCUAUCAUACGGAUUAUUUAGGGUUUCUAUUUAAAACAUAUCAGAUUACAAAACUAUCAAUCCUAGCAGAUGAUAUUAAACCUCAAGAAUCAUGCAAUCAGAUCAUUCAGAUUUUAAACAAGUAAACCUCAAUCAAUCUAUCAACCUAUCGGAUUAUAUAAGCAAAACAAGCUAGCAACCUAUCGGAUUCAAUCAAUGUUUUAACAAACUGGUCGGUUUAAACAAUUUUAAAUCAGAUAAACAAUUAACAAAGCAGGAUGAGAAAAUAAAUCUAUCAAUUUAACGGUCAAACAAUUCUAGCAACAUAGCAUCAGAUUCAAUCAGAUUUAAAACCUCAAUGAUCAAAACCGAAAACAGUUUUGAUUUCAAAAUAUUUGAUUAGGGUUUUAAUAUGUGAUUUGAUAAUUAUAGUAUAAUUAAUUCUGAUACUUAUAUUAUUUAGGGUUUAUAGAUAUAGGGUUAGGGUUUAUCGGAUUUUAACUUGUAAAAACCGAUUUGGGGUUUUAAUCAUGUAGGAACAUGAUUUAGGGUUUGGGGUAUCGAACUUUUAGAGCUUCGAUUUACUCAAUUAGGAUUUUUGAUCUAUUACCCUAUGGUUUUGAUUCAUAAAGAUUACAGUUUUAGGGAUUCAUUCUUUAUCAAUCAAUCCAUGUUCGAUUAUGGGUUCUUAGGUUUUGAAUUACCUUUUAACCUUAGAUGAUUGUUGAAUCGGACCACCAAAGGAGUUGAGCCGCGAGCUGGACACGAACGGGACGCGAGCUGGAAUGGAUCGAGUCGCUUCUAUCGGGUCGCGGCCGUCCUUUGUUGCUUGAUCAGGAAUGCUUUGAUCGUCGGACGCGAGCUAUCUGAUGCUGUCGCGAACGAGAAAGAGGUCGCGUGCUGGAGCUGCUCUCGGGUCACGAACGUCUGAGCUAGGAUCAGGAACGCCUUGGGCUGAAGCUGAUUGGGGACGCGAGCUGGAACAGAUGCGGGAAUAAGAGACACGAUCGGAGUUUAGGGUUCGUCGGAUCGCCAGCUAGGAUUAGGGUUUUAGGGUUUUUUUAUUUGGUUAUUAGUCUUCCACAAUCUGGUUCAUAACAGAAAUACGGUUUUGAAAAUAAGCAGCCAAAACAUUAUACGCUUCAGUUUCCAAACAAACGCAACUUGUAUCAAAUCGCUUCUAAGCGCCACUUGUCGCGUUACACUAGCAAAGAGAGAGACGGUGACACUGAUCGUAACCACCACCUCCGACCCAGCGUCAAUCAAUCCCGCGGCGGCGCUUCUCGCCAUGCCGGGAUGGACCGCCGGACCCAUCUUGCCGCCGGUAACGUCAUUAUCCCUUCUCCACCGUCGUUUUAGCUUUUUCUCUCGUCUGAACUAACUAACUUCUUGUCGGAUUCUUACUUCAGGACAUGAAGAGUUUCGUUAACAAGCAAACGAGAGUGAUCCAACACGACGGAUCGAUAGUGAAGGAAGACGAUCUGGAUUCAUGGUGGGAAGAAGCGGCCAGCAUAGCUGUUGACGAAGUCAUCUUCCUCAGCCGUCACACCGCCGUCUCGAACCGUCCUGCCCUCACUGUUCACCCCAUUGGUAUGCUUAAAGAUCCAAACUUUCGAUCUGGGUUCUUCUCCUUUUUGUAUAAAGGACAAUGCUUUUUGUUGAUUUGAGUGUAGGAGUGCUUCACCUGAAGGAAGAAGAAUCACCGUCUGUUAUAGUAAACGUUAGAACAGAGUAACAACCAAACUAGAGUUCACCGAGAACUUAAGAAUGGAUAAAUCAAGCCUAGAAAAUGAUCUGAGAUAGAAAGACCACCUUGAAGGAACAAGAUUAUGAUGAUAGUAUGAACUUUUCUCAAGGAGCCUUAGAGAGAAAAUGGGGAUAAGCUGAAUAAUACUUUCUUUGAUAAGAUACUGCAAAUGCAGUCACGCAGUACAUAAAGACGUUCAAGAUAAAGACAAAAGCUAUAAGGACAAAUCCCUUAUGAUUAUUAAACCGACGUAAACCGUAACUUAAAGUUGAGAUAGAUCGGUUAGGUGAUGACAGCUUGUGAGUCUGUCACACUACUCCCCGGUUCAGAAGUUCCUUGUCCUCAAGGAUCAAACUGCGGAUGCUGGGCGAUGAAAUCCUGAUAGAACUCCCAAGUAGCUUGCUCAGGGGGGUAUCCUUUCCACUGCACCAGGACCUUAGUAACUGAAGCAUUGCGAUGCUUAACCAUUUUCUUCUCCAAGAUACAGUCUGGUUCCUUAGAGUUUCCCAAUUCCUGACAAUACUGUGGUAACAUAGGUGUAGCAGUAGGUGGGUUUGGGCACAACUUGAGUUAACUGACAUGAAAUAUAUCAUGUAUAGCUGCUUCAGCGGGUAGGGCAAGCUUGUAAGCAACUGGACCAACCUUUUCCAACACGCGGAAAGGACCAUAGAAGCGAGGAGACAGCUUGUGUGGAAUGUUUCUGUUCUUCAUGGUGUUUUGGCGGUAAGGUUGCAGUUUCAGAUAGACGUGAUCUCCCACUUUGAACUCCCUGUGAGAGCGGCGUGAAUCUGCGGAUUGCUUCAUUCUGUUCUGGGCGCGAAGCAGAUGAAACUUAAGCAUGUUAAUGAUCUCCUCCCUCUUCUGCAUACUGCGGUCUACUACUGCAGAGGAGCUCUCACCCGGAAGAUAGGGGAGGUGAGUUGGUGGAGGCUGACCAUAGAUCACCUCAAAAGGGGUGCAUUUGAUAGCUGAAUGGUACGUUGUAUUGUACCACCACUCGGCGAGAGGAAACCACUUGCUCCAAGAUUGUGGUGCUUCAGCGGUCAUGCACCGUAAGUAAGUCUCGAGAGUUUUGUUUGUUGCCUCUGUUUGGCCAUCCGUUUGAGGAUGGUAAGCAGUCGAGUGCUUCAGGUCGACUCCUUGCACACGAAACAACUUUCUCCAUACUUCGCUGAGGAACGUUGGGUCUCUGUCACUAACGAUGUCUUUGGGUAAGCCAUGGAGCUUGAAGAUGUUGUCAAGGUAAGCUUGAGCUACAUCAAUGGCCGUGUACGGAUGAGACAAAGAGAUGAAGUGUGCAUUCUUACUCAAACGAUCAACAAUAACCAGUAUGCAGUGUUUACCUCCAGACGGGGGCAGACCUUCGAUAAAUUUCAUUCCAAUGUAUUCCCACACUCCAUUAGGGACAUGUAGGGGUUGCAGUAAGCCAGGUUUCGCAGCCAAAUCAUUCUUGUUCUUCUGGUAGACUGCGCAGUUUCUAACAUAAGCAUGUACCUCCACAUUCAUACGGGGCCAGUAGAAGAGUGAUUUGAUUCUUUGCAACGUAGUGUCUCUACCGGAAUGGCCUCCAAUCACAGAGUCGUGAAGCCAUUUCAGAAUGUGAAGCUUAGUUUCUUCGUUGUUGCCCACAACCAGUUUACCCUUCCUGCGCAAUUCACCAUUCACAAAUGUAAAUGACGGGUGAGAGGCUUUAUUUGCUUGCAUCUCAGAGAUGAUCUUCUUCAAAUUAGGGUCUGUUUCCCAUAAGAGCUUGAUGGAAUCGAAGAAACUAUGAUGAGAUUGCGAUAGCGUGAUAUGGAGUAGUUGAGAACCAGAUACUCUUAACAAUGCAUCAGCAACAACGUUUUCUUUCCCCUGUUUAUACUGAAUCUCAAAUGUGUAUCCCAUUAGUUUAGACAGCCACAUGUGUUGAAAAGGAGUUGUCAUCUUCUGUUCCAUCAGGAAUUUGAGGCUUUGCUGGUCUGUCUUGAUGAUAAAGGGUUUAUGGGCGAGAUAAGCACUCCAAGUUUGCACAGCAUAGACCACCGCAAGUAGUUCUUUCUCGUAGACAGAGAUGCCCUGAUGGCGUGGACCGAGGGCUCUGCUUAUGUAACAGAUGGGGUGACUGUCUUGCAUCAAGACCGCACCAAUCCCUGUGUUAAACGCAUCUGUUUCCACCACAAAGGUCUUUGCAAAGUUGGGCAAUGCCAAGACAGGUGCUGUGGUUAAUGUAGUUUUUAACUUGUUGAAAGCGUUUGUUGCAACGAGGUUCCAACAGAAACCAUCCUUUUUGAGGAGAGACGUCAUGGGUUUGGCAAUGAUACUAUAUGCUUGAAUGAAUCGCUUGUAAUAGUUUGCCAGACCCAAGAAACUGCAAAGUUGCUUCUGUGAAGAAGGUGUUGGCCACUGCUCGAUAGUUUUGAUCUUGCUAGGAUCGGUGCUCACACUCUCUGCAGAGAUAAAGUGGCACAAAUACUCGAUAACUGUUUCUCCAAACGUGCACUUGGAGGGUUUGAGAAACAGCUGAUGUUGUGAGAGGAUCUGAAAGACGUCUCUUAGGUGUUGAAGGUGCUCGUCCCAGGAGCGACUGUAUAUAAGAAUGUCAUCGAAGAACACAAGGACGAAUUUCCUUAAAACCUUGUCGAAUACCUUAUUCAUCAAACUCUGGAAGGUGCAAGGUGCGUUGGUGAGGCCGAAAGGCAUCACUAGAUAUUCGUAGUGUCCUGAGUAGGUUUUAAAAGCAGUUUUGUAGACAUUCGGAGCUUGUGGAAGCCUGAGCGGAGGUCAGUAUUUUGCACCGCCCAACUCAUCAAGUAAGUCCUCCAGCAAAGGUAUGGGGUACUUAUCUUUGAUGGUUUGUUUAUUGAGCCCUCUGAAGUCUACACAGAGCCUCCAAGUUCCGUCUUUUUUCUUCACCAAGACAACAGGAGAGGCGUAGGGGCUUGUGCUGCAUUGAAUGAUCAUGAAUGAUCCCUUUGUCGAGCAUUUCGUGUACCGGUAUGGUCUGAGGUUUACUGGAUUGGCACCUGGUUCCAGUGGAAUGCGGUGAUUGAAACCAUCACAGAAGGGAGGAAGAUCAACUGGUUCGUCGAACAGGGUUGAGAAAUCACUCAAUAAUGCUUGCAGGUUGGGGUUAGUCUCCAUUUCACUGUGUGGUGCAGCAAGAUGAGAGAGCAAGCAGCUCGGGUUGAGGCUCGGUGAGUUGUCAUCGGUGAUUUCUCUGAUCUGAAGAACAGCUAUUUGAGUUUGUUGCAGCAUCAACUUGUUGAAGGUACUGCCCUUGAUUGACUUUGCAACUGUUCUUCGUGACGCCUCUGAGUACAUUUUUCUUUACAUUUAGUGUAAACUCCAUGCGUGGGUUGAGGAAAUCCCAAAGGUUGCACUCCUAGAACCAAAUCCCAGCAGUCAAGCGGGAGAGUGCGGAUCUCAGAUGUGUAGGAGUAGCCUUGGACUUUCCAAGAAAAGUUGCUGCACUUGCAGCUGUAGCGUCCAUUGGUUUUGACUUCUCCAGCAAGCAACCAAUCUCGCUGGCGACGUUCAAGUCCAGGAAGUUAUGUGGUGGGGUGGGGAGUAAGGGUUUAGGGUAGGAGAGGUUUUAUGGUGGGUGUUUUGGUUUUGUUUCCAGUUAGGAUUGAAGUGGGUCUUUGGUGCAGGUUUAGGGGUGUGUAGGAGGGAAGAUUCAUGAAGCGUGGCGAUUUUUGCAGCACCAGCCACUGAAGAGACCUCAAACUGUCUAGUAUGAAGGGACAAGGUUGGCCAAGAAGAUGCUUAGAGCGUGAGCUUCGGGGAGGACGAGACGCAUCCGAGCGGUUUCGAACUUAUCAAGAAAGUCAACUACCGAGUCAGAGCCUUGUUUCAACUCAACUAACUCAGCCAAUGGGUCGUCGUAGAGCUCGCUGAAACGGCAAGAGAUGGCCACAAUGUAUUCAGUCCAUGAAGGAAAGAUACCGUAGCGAGUGCUCAUGUAGUUGUGGUGCCAUUGGGUGGCUUUACCGGUGAGGUGCAUCGACGCUAAACGGACCUUCAACUCCGGGGCGGUGCCGUCGAUGUCGAAGAACUGCUCUCAGUUUGAGAUCCAGUCGUGGAGGUGUGAGCCAUCAAAAGAUGGGAACUUUAUUUUGGAGAGGCGAGAGGAAAGCCCGUUGUGAGGGGCUGGGGUUCUUCCGGUACGAUGGUCGGAAUAGCCAGGGGUAUCGGGUGGGUCAGGGGGUUGAUUUGGGAAGUGGUUGGGUGUGUUUGGGGUGGGCGUGGGUGGGUGUGAGGGACCAGGGUCUAAGGGGGCUUUUUCCGCGGCUUGAAGCUGAGAUACGUUGUUAAACAUCAUUGCUUCGAG
rnacentral:lncRNA from 1 species